AUUAUUAAAUUAUGUAAAUCAGUUCCUUUGUCCUUCAUGCCAUGGCUAAAUACAUUUUCAUGCUUGUUGCAGAUCUGUCGUUCAUGUAGUGAGACCUUGCUGGAUCUUGAGUCAUUUAAUGGGAUGUGGCACUUGAGCGAGAAUGGAAAACCUCGUGGGCAGUUUGAUGUAAUUAUUAUUGCUUGUAAUGGUGAUAAAAUGCUGCUACCCUUGCUCUCUCUCUCUCAGCAGCAUUUUAUAGUCUUAAAAUUUUGCAUUAAAAAAAAUGCAUGUUUUGGUAGAGGCUGUUCACAUGGGCCGUAAUUGUGAAUAUGUGUGUUCACAACUCCGCUUCUUCCAGGUGCUAAAAUUUUCUCCAUGUUGCAUUGCAUUACAACACAAGGAAAUUAUGAACGGUAUUUAUCUCACUCCACUUGUUCACAAUUUUGAAGUUUUAGAGGAAACAAAAAUGCUAAAUGUCAAGAAGAAAAUACAGAAAGCUUUAAUUUCCUCCCUUGGACGUUCUAAGUGAUUACUUUACUUACCGUGCAGCCUUACCUCACUGAACACAAACAAAUGUAUGGGGACUCAAAUCUCAAUUGACGCCUGUCCAAUAGUUUGUGUAACUGUCCUUAAAAUUGAAAACAGGAAAACAAAUUUUUUUUUUUUUUCAUUCAAACAAUAUUAGAAAAAAACAAUUAGACUGGAAUGUAAAUAAAUGAAUAAAUAAAUGUAUUACUAAAUUUGAUAAAAUGAAGCUGAUGGAGUGCACUACAGAGCUCUUAUAUAUAUAUAUAUACACACACGCUAGCACACCAGAAUAUAUAUAUAUAGUAAAAUAAAUGAGAUACUGUAUAAAUCAUUAUAAACAUUAAGGUAGCGUUUACUUUUUGGAUUGGAUUGGGAAUCUUGAGGAGUGGGAAUCCUAGGAUUGGGAGUGUGGAGUGGGAGUGGGAGUAGAUUGUUUAUUUACACUGGAAUGGAAGUAUGGAAUAGAGAUCAGAAUCUAAUUUAUGUGUUUACUUUGUCUUGGAUUUGGAGUAAAUAGUUUUAAAUUACAAUUUUAUCCUUAUUUAAAGAAUUAUAGUUUUUAAUUACAAAACUAAUAAAAAAUAUAUUUAAUGAAUAAUAUUUAUUUUAUUAUAUUUAUAAAUUUAUUAUAAUUAUUAAUAUUCUUAAUUAUGAACAAUAAAUUAUUAAUUUUAAUAUCAAAUGAAACCUUAUUUUAUUUAAUAUAAUUAUAUUAAAUUUAUUAUUAUAUAAAAUAAUAAUAUAAUAUUAUUUAGUACAAAAUUAAUAUUUUCUUAGAAUAAACUAUUUAUUAUUAUUAAUAUUAAAUAAAUAUAGUACUAUUAUUUUUGAAAUAAAUAUAAUAUUAUUAUAUUUAUUAAUUCUCUAUUAAUAUAAUAAUAUUAUUUUAAAAUAAUUUUAACUUAUAAUCAAUGCAAAUUAUUAUUUAGUUAAAUAUAAUAUUAUUAUUCAAAUAAAUAUAAUAAUAUUAUUCAAAUAAACAUAAUAUUAUUUAUUUUAUUUUAUUAAUUAUAAAAUAUUAAAUUAAAAAAAAUAAAAGGGUAAAAAAGAGAGAGGUGGGAGUGGAUUCCCACUCCCACCUCCCCCAAUGGAAGUUCCACUCCCACUCCCCACUCCAAAAAUAGGUGGGGCCCACGGAGUGGGAUUCCCACUCCCUUCUUAUUUUAAGGAAGUAAACGCUGGAGUGGGAGGAAUCCACACUCCUCACUCCCACUCCAGCAAGUAAACACAGCAUAAAUAAGACGACUAACGAGCGAAGAAUGACGGCACGAAAAACAUGAAAAAUCAGUCUUUUUCAGGGUUAUAUUAAAAUAAAAGAAAAAAGAAAAAACUCCUUUCCAGCAAUUUGAAUCAGGAAAAUGUAUGGUGUAUAGAAACACGAGAGGAAAAUGAGAAAAAUAAUGAAAAAAAGAGUAGAGAGAAAAAGAGCAAAAUUCUCUUAUCUUUCUCUUGUAUUUCUCUCUCUUUCUCUCUCUUUCUCUCUCUAGCAGUACUCUUUCAAUCAUGUUUAUUUUUUACACACAGACAGGCACAGUUGACAGUUGCACAAAAAGCAGCUUGCCUCCCUUCACGUGUCACCCCAUUUCGUAAGUCGUUUGUCUAAAACAACAUCUUAGUUGAAACCCUCGUUGCCAGGGGGUCACCAAAAUCUAUUACGAAUAUUGAGUGUCAUAUGCUGUAUAUAUUCACUACUCCAUUCGAGCUCACCAAAAUACAAGAAUCUUGCAUUCAAACCUCAAAAAGAAUGUGCCUCGGAAAUAACCCAUAUCAGUGCUCUGUUUUCUGGGAUGAGGAUGAAAACCUCGUUCACUUCAAGUACCCUCUUCCACCAAGGACGAAGCGAGAGGAUGUCAACGUUGAGAUUGAUGAAGAUGGGAAAUUGCUUAUAGAAAUAAGCGAGGGGGCAAGUUCACAUAGUGAUCCUCUCUCUUCAGCUUCUCCCUGGAUGAUCGAUGACGAGGGCUUGCUAACUCUCACUUUCAAGAAGCUCGUGCCCAUUCAUUCCGAAACGCCCUCCGACCUCAAAAACGUGCCCGUGAAGUGGAAGAACAAAAAGGGCGUCUUCCGCUUCAAGGCCUAUUUGCCAGCGGGGUUGAAGAUGGAGGACAUGAUGGUUGGCAUAGAAGGUCGCAAAUCCCUUAUGAUAGGCAUUCGUGAUCUGCCGAAGAAAGAGGAAGGGGACACCAGUACUCUCAUGUGCUCCAAUGGCAAGACCUUUAGGAGCUUCAUUUUUCCAGACGGUGUGAACCCGAAUGGCUUCAAGACUGCAAUGGAUGAUGCCGGCGUUCUAACAGUCACCUUCACUAAACUCAAGCCAGAGAAGAAAAAGCUGGGGCCAGUGGCAAAGAAGACGCUGGGAUGUCUGGCUCAGGCUGUGAUUGCUGCUGGUGUGCUGAUAUGUGACAAGAUAAGUGAGGCGAUUUGUUCAGGAGGCUACUAAUAAUAUAAGUUGGUGUCAAAUAGGUAUUUGCUUUAUGUUCAUGCAUGUUGUUUCUGUCGUUUAUCUGUUAGUGUUUUGGGGAAAAAAAAAAAAAUUGUGUGGUGUUGUAUCUCCUUUGUUUCAGUGAAAUAGAAGAGCUUUCUCUAAUAAAAAUGAUAAAAUGUUGUUGGGUAAAAAAAUAUGUGUGUGUGUGUGUGUUUUUUUUUUUUUUUUUUUUACUAGUGUUGAAUUAAAAAAAAAAUUGUUUGUUUUUCUGUUCCCUAUCGGGAGCUCAAAUGUUUCACUUUCAUCCGCACGUACGUAAUGAGACAGCCACAGGAUAAAGGAGUAACUACAGCUGGGGCAGGUGACCCAUCAUGCCGUAGAAUCUGCAAGAUAGCAAGAUCUAUCCUUUUUUGUUUUUUAAUUGUUUGCGCCGGAAUUUUUUUUUUUUUUUAAAGAAAAAAAUUUGAGUGCAUGGGUAAUGGGUUUGAGCCAAUGGGCAAGCCAGAGCCCCACAUUUCUCCUUCAAUAACCUCCCAUUUCAACGCAUUAGAGAGUAAAGGUGAGUAAAGGUAACUUUUGAAGAUAAGAACGAGAGGAUAGAGAAUAUAAAAUGACCCAUGUCCAUAGAAAUCUACAUCAAAUUCUCAGGUCUCUGCACUGGCACAUACACAAAUAUUUCAAGAUCAUGGCAACUUCUGCAACUCAUUCCUUUGAGCUUCAAGCUGGCCAUCGUACAAAAACUGGGUAAAAUAUGUUACAACAAAGAUUUACCUUCACUGAACUGAAGCCAGAGGAAAAGCCGGUGUCAAGAUCAAAGAAGAUCCUGCGAGGUUUGGCUAAAGCAGUGCCUGUUUGUUUCUUGAUAGGUUACGAGAUAAGUUGAGGAGACUACUAAAUCAGCUGGUGUCAGGUAAGGUAUUUGCUAACAUCAGGUUCAUGUAUGGUGCAUCAUAUUCAUGUAUGUUGUUCUGUGGUUUAUGUAUUAGCAUUUGUAAAUAACUCUAGAGUAUUCUAAUUAAUGGAUCGAUCUUUUAAGAGCUGCAUUUGGCAUAUGAAGUUUAUUGAAUGAAAGCAAAUCAGGAGUUGGUCUUAAAAGCAUGCUGUUCAAGGAAUACUAUACAGACAGUAAAAUUAUUUGAGACAAUUCGUACGGCUUCCCUUUGAGUGAAAAAUGAUCUUUCAUUCGUUUUAGCAUGUGUUUCAUAAUUCUCUCUCUCUCUCUCUUUUUUGGCCCUUCUCCUAUUUUGGUUCCACAUAUUGGGAAUUAGUUGUUGUUGAUUUGGUGAAAAAGGAAUUUGCUUUAUUUGGAUCCUAAGAGGCGGCAUUCAUGAUCCUAAUUCAUUUUUUAGAUUUCUUCAAAGAGUGCAGAGUAGGGCACCAUCAAAGUAAAAAAAUUAGGAUAACAAAACAAGGUUAUAAAAAACACAACUACCAGUAAACGACGACUACUUUCAUUUCCUCUGCAGCUUCAUCUUCUAUGCUUCUUUGUUAGAUCCCACAUGAACUGGGUAUGAGACCGGUUGGUGGUUUAUUAACCCCAAGGCACCCACCUCUUACGAGUUGGUUUUGAAGGAUGGGUUCCAUCUUGUGGGUCCAUAACAAUUGGUAUUAGAUUAGUUCGCUUCUUUGCUUAAAAAAUGUGGAAAUUGUCUAAUUAACUCACAAUGGUAAGAAUCUGCAGUAUGAUAUUAAGCUUUGCUGGACGGUAGUUUCGAAACUUGGGUAUUCGAAGUCUCAAAAUCAUUAUAGUUUUGAGUUUUGACCAGAAAAGGAAGUUAAGAGUAUAUCAAACUAAAAACACAAAUACAUGAUCACAUUAUUUCAGUUUGCUUAGGCUAUAUGGGUAGACUUAAAGAAAUAGUUACGAUAAUGAUCAUAACUGAGGAAAAGAAGAACUAGCAUGAACAUUUUGCACCACUGUGUUAUGACUACAAUUCCUACAAAACAACAAGCUUAUUUAUGUCUGCCACGUAAAUAUUGAAAUGGAGUUGGGUUCAUACAAACAUCUUAUCAAGGCGUACACCAUUAUUAUAAAAUUAUGUAAGUCAAGCUCCUUCAUGCCAUGUCCUUUUCUGGGUCUAGUUCUGUUUUGAUGACUGUUGCAUCUUAAGGUUAAUGGAAUGACACCUGCUGGACAAGUAAUCUUGAGCCAUUUUCUCUUUCCAUUUUUGUUUGUUUGCUUUGGGAAAGAUAUUUAGACUAGGAAUGUAAUUAUAUGUUGCUAUAAACUUUAGUUUGAUUAUAAUGAAUAAAUAAAUGUAUUACUGAAUUUCAGAAAUGAAGCUGGUGCGAAGAAGAAUUAAGCGUAAUUGAGAUUGAUAUAUAGGGGGUACUGUGAUGAUCCAAGCAUUGAAGGCACAAAGAUCCCUCUCUGUUGGAUUACAAACAAGCAAGGACAUCAAAGAAACCCCACCGACUAGGCAAUUUAGAGAUAAUCUGUUCUACAUAGAUUCACUUAUUCUCUAAUAUCAAUUACUUCUUGUGUGUUUUGUCAAGCAUUCAUUGCUUUUUGGGACUUGGUUGAAUGUUGUGCAAGUUCGACAAUUAUGAUAUCUGUGGAACUUAUAUCGUAGCUUUUGUUAUGUCAUGCCAUCGCAGCUUCCGUUUAGUUUCAAUUGUCAAUGUCACCAUCGUGAUUCAUGAUGUUAUGGAAGUUCGUCAGUGUUUAUCUUCAGCUACGUGAGCUAGUUUACUGCUGCAUAUUCUUUUCCUGACGCACAUGUUGUUUCACAGUUUUAGCGGGGGGGGAAGAUUAUAAAUGAUGCUUUCAUACAUAAAAGUAGAAAUGAAAGGUCAGCAUCUCAAGCACAAACUGAUGUACACAAGACUUGCUCAAAUGGGUACGUAUAACAAAAAGAUGGAAGCAUGACCAUUGGCAAUGGCGGAAGUCUUGGCAGUGGGGCCGGUGGUGCUUGCAAAAGAUAGCGAUCGAGCUGGCACACUCAUCACAAAACUUGACAAUCAAUGAAUGAUAGGCUCCGGUUAAACCCCUUAGGUUUCCUUAUCCUUGCAAAACGUGGCAAAAUUUUAUUGUUUGUUAAACAAUAUCUUUGAUUUGCUUUUAUGUUAAUUCCCUUGUUCAUUCGAUUAUAUAUGUAUGUUAUAGAGUAAUGAUAUAGCCACAAAUUUUUAUAUAAAUUUAUUUUGUACAAACUGAUGUGGCGUUAAUUAUUGAUUGAAUUAAAUAUCUCUUGACUUACAUGAUUUAUUUAUAUUAUUUUAUAUUUUUAUUCAACCAAUGAGUUAAUGUCAUAUCAGUUUGUACAAGAUAAAUUUAUACAAGAAUUUGUGGUUGUAUCAUCACUCGUAUCUUAUAUAAUAAAUUAUUAAAUGGAUAACUUAACUAAGGCCUUAGCCGCCUUACCUUGACUCCUCCAUUUAGUCAUUUUCUCUUAAUUAUUAAAUUAUUAAUUUUAGGUGGUGCGGACCAACGUUAGAUCAAUUUCUUGGCAUGCAUGAUCUGAGAGAUGGUGAUGGCAAUAGGACGGGUUCAAGGUGGGGUUUAUGAUCCCCAAACCCAUCCCAUACACGAAAAAAAUUUAAUUGAGGAUAAUUUGGGUAUAUUCCCAAAAGUUUCAGAAUUGAGUGGAGAUUAAAACGGAAGUCGAUCCCUAUUUAAUUUUUAUUUAAAAAAAAAGAAAGAAUACUUUCUAAAGAAAAAUGAAUAAUUUGUUUAAUAUUUGAGUCUCUUUUUUUUUAAAAAAAUUAUAUUUGUGGACAUACAAAUUUAAAAAUAAAAUUACAUCAAAUUUGAACAACCUCCAAAUAAAUGAAAACAUAAUUAUUCUCAGUCUUUAACAUAAUUACAAAUGAUCAAAUUUUACAAGACAAAUCAAAAUAAUGUUAAGCAUCAACCAUAAACUUGUAGUAGCUUCUCCGUAACCAUCACCAUUGAUGCACAUUCUAAGAUUCUUCAUAAACUUAUAACAAGAUAAACAAAGAAAGAAAAUAAAAACAUGUUUUAACAAUUUCAACUAAAUACUUGAAAAAAUAAUAUAAAUUAAAACUAUAUACCUCUACAGCCUCUACGUUUGUUUCAAUCUCUAAUUCCUCAUCAAGACUUUUGGCAUAGGCCGGAGAGGUAGAUGCCACAACUAAUUAAAAAAAACACAAAUAAAAACCAAAAUCAAGUUAGUUAUUAGUUAAGUUAAAUAAAUAAAAAUAUAAACCAUAUACCUCUGCAAAAGAGCAUGUAUCCAGCUUUGACUACACAUCAAAACUUGAGUAAAUAGAGAAAUUUAAAUUUUAAAAUUUAAAAUUUAAUACUAUAUAUAUAUAUAUAUAUAUAAAUGUAUAGAAUUUAAAACAAAAUUAAAAAUUAAAAUAAUAAUAUUCCGAUUAAUAUAACUAGACAUCAAAAUUAAAAUAUAAAAUAAACUAUAUUAAUAAUAUUCCGAUGAAUAUAACCAACCAUAAAAAUUAAAAAUUUAUCUUGUCAGCCAUGGAUAUAACCGAUAAACUCUUAUAAAACAAGGACUUUUUAAUACUACUCCGAUGAAUAUAGCCAGCCAUCUAAUUUGUAACCAUGGUUUGUCCUUUUAAUCAAAAAUACAUUUAAAUAAAUCAAAAAUUAAAUUUUAAGGCCAAAUUUAGAUUGCCAUUUAACUGCAAUGCACAAUUCUUUAAUCACAGUGUAGUCAACUAGUCAUCACAACUCAGCUUAACUCUGCUCUACCACAUUCACUCCCUCUAAAUUCCAUAUAAACAAGCAGAAUCCACUAAAUUUGACCUAAAAUGUAAAAUCAACAAAUACCCAAUACCACAAAAAUAUAAAAAUAAUCAAUAAUAAAUAGUCAACAAACACAAUCACAUCAAUAAAAAUCCUUAAAUUUGAACAUCACAUUAGUAAAGAUCCUUAAAUUUCAAUUAGAAGCUUCUAAGCACAACACCUUAAAAAGUCAAAUUCAUGAAUUUAAGCAUAAAAACUGGCAAUGCUAUAAAGCUAAAAUAGAAAAGUAUCCAAUAUCCAAAAACAUUUUACCAAAAAAAUCAACGAAAAGUUUCUAAAUUUCAAAUAAAACUCACCAAUAGAAGGGCAAUAAUAGACAAUCAAUUACACUAGCCACAUGAUGUGAAGACUUGAAGAAAUAAACUCCUUUUAUUUUUGGCACAUGGAACCUGUAAUUACAAGCAAAUAAAAAAUAUUGACACUACCAAGGAUGGGAACCUUGCAAAUUACAGAGUGAUCAAGCAAAGAGUAGCGGAAACCGCUUUACUGGAGUAAAUAAAGAAAUUGACACCGAUGUCGCAAAGUAGCACCAAACGGAAAUUGACACCGAUGUCGCAAAGUAGCACCAAACGGUGUUGGAUAGCUUAAUAGUGGGAAUUGGCGUCGGCUUGGAGGUGAUGUAACAGCCGGGAAAGGAAGCUCUGGUGGAGACUUGGAAGUGGCGAUGGGACUGAUAGUGUCUUGAGUAUUUUUUUUUAAUUAUGUUGAGUAUAUUUUUAAUAUUUGAUUAAAUUAAAAUAUAUUUUGAUUUAAUAAAUAUUUUGGGUCCCCGAACUUAAACCCAAAAUAUAUUUAGGGCUUGAGUUUAUCCCUAACAUAGACCCAUUUUUAAUUUUAAAACUUUGUCGGAGGCCCAUACCAGACCUAAAUUGAUCGAGGCCCACACCUGAAUCAUUUGAACCUAAACUCAUACCUGUGGAGAAUGUUGCCAUCACUAAUCUUAUUCGUUGGAUGCUCCCGUACGUGUAUGAAAUGCCCAUAUCGGUACUGAUUCUGAACAAUCAUUUUCUUAAUUGAUUGAUAUAUAUUUACAAAAUUGAAAAUUUAAUGUUUUUACUUAAUCAAUAUAUCUAUUGAAACAUCAAAAAUAUUCUCCUCUUAAAAUCUAAACCUAUUAGGUCUUAUCAUGUGCAAAUUUAAAAAAAAAAAAAAAAGUCAUUUGUAGGCACGCUCAUUUUUUUUCCGUGCAGUUACGGUUUAAUAGUUAAUUAAAAUGACUAUAAAACUGCAUGGUUUAAUUGUGAAUUGAAAGUUUACUCUAUUAAAUCACAUAAUUUAAUAGCGUAUCCGCAUAAAAAAAUAAUAAUAAAGAUGCCGGUAUAUGUAUGUGUGUGUAUUAGUUGUCUGAUAUUAUAUAUAAUUAACCUCCUUGCUGAUAGACAAUGUCAAAAUUAUAUCUCAUCCACUCCCUUCUAAUAUAAAAUGGUAAAUUACUCAUGUAAUUGUUUUGAAAAAACAAAUUAAGGCAGCCAAUAAUCGUUUGAAAAUAAAUUGGUAGGCUUAAUUUCGUCCAACUUCAUUAAUUGAUGCAAAAGAGUACAACAAAGAGCAAUAUUGACAAAGUGCGUUGAACACAUGCGUUAUUUAAUUUUCAACAAUAUUUUCAAGCCUAAUACUGGACGGGACAUAUUUUGCAAUUUAAAAAUAAAUUAAGCCAAUUGUGAAAAAACAAAAUGCACAAGCCAACUUUCAUUUGCUAAAGCUAAAAGGCCGACCAAGUUUAUAUUAUGGGAUUUCGACUUCCGGAUCCUUUCCAGGCUUUGGGAGCACAUUCCCCGCCGCCCGGCCACCCCCACCCCCCCCCCCCCCCCCCCCCCCCCCCCCCCCCAAAUUCGAAUUCUAGGACAACUGACAAAAGACCUCUGUUUACAUUCUUCUCUUUAAUUUUUUUUUUUUUUUGAAUAAUGAAUGAAGUGGAGCUUUCUGGGUCGUUAGAAUGGAGAAUUAUUUCUCUCCUAAUUUUUUUUUUAAUCCUUUGAAGUCAGUCUCUUCUCUGCAUCAUUUGAGUUAAUCUUUGAUCUCCUUAAUUUUUGUUAAGGAGGAGAAAAAAUGUCAUUUUUCAAGUAAAUUCUGUAUAAAACAAAGCACCUAAGAAAAUUCGUUACCACGGGAGGCUGGUAUGGUAUGAGACCACAAGAAGCAAAUUCGCUCAGGUUGAUUCCACGCUGCUGCUACAGUCUUCUUCGCUAUGAUUCUAAUCUGGUCUUCUCUUCAUUUCUCUUUGAAUAAGAGACGAAUUAGGAACAUGACACGCGUCCUCUCAACUGAUGACGUGUUGUUUGACGAUUGUGUUUUAUUUACUUCAAAUUAAAAAUUUUAAAGGACGAGAAAUAUUGGUGUGAAGGGGCAGCUGCGCGUUUACUAAGUUCAACGAAUCGAAUACAAACAGAGAAGAAAGUUGAGUUGAGGGAGCUGAGCUUCGAAUGAAACAAACCAAAAUGCGAUAAUAUAUCAAUUUUCAACCCUCGUCCUGCUCUGCAACAACUUUACGUGCCAGUCCUUUUCCCGCUCUUUCAUCUCUCUUGUCUCGUUUCGUUGGUACGUGUUCUCCGUUUAUCUCGUCGCUAGUAGUCUCCAUUAAUUAAUAUUAACAUUAAUAAUAAUGAAAUAACAUCUCAAACAGUCCAUUCUUAUUACUGAAUUAUUUUAUAAAUUUAACUCGUAAAUGAUAUACGUAUUUAAAAUGUUGACUGCUGUGUUUAAUAAUAUAUUCAUUUCAGUAGUUUUACUCAGUUCAGCAAGCGUGCAUGCGUUAUUUAUUUAAUUAAUUGUUAAUUGCGUUUUUUCAUUUCUUCUUCUUCUCUUUUUUCGGUCAUUUUAGUUUUCGAGCGGAUGGAUUAUAUUCUGCUAAGAAGUUCUCGAGCUGUGAUUGUGCAAAUUUUUUUUUCCCUUCAAUUUAAUUCAAUUAGUUCCAGCUGGAUUGGCUUCUGGGAUAUAAUCAGUCAAUUGAUUUGCUAUCCCCUGGGUUUUGUUGCGAUAUAAAUUAUAAAAAGAGAGAGAUAGACAGGUUUGUAGCGUGUCCAAACAAACAUACUUGAAGGAAUUUAUUGAAUUGACUUUAAGAAGACAACUGCGAUCGUGUUUUUUUUUUUUUUUUUUUUUUGAAAAAAACAAAAAAAAAAAAAAACAAAAUGAACUUAUUGUCUCUGUGAUGUGAAAAUCCAGCUCCUGAGAGCCGGAAUAAAGUGUAAAACGGAUUAUUUAGUUUGCUUUUGCAGUGGUAGAUACUCAUUUUGCCAUGUGUUUGCUUUUUCUUUCAGCAGAGGUUGGUAUACCUGGUUAUUCUUGAUUCAACAUCUAUACAUAGCCACUUCCGAUGGGAUGGGAAACAUUUACCGGAGACGCAUGAGUGUACUCUCAAUGGCUAUAUUAAUUUACCUUGACUAUAAGGUAUUAAGUUUCUUGUUUAUUGCUCAUUGUCUUGACUUCAAAUGAAUGGCAAUCUCAUUUCCAUUGCUGCUUUUACUGCAGGCUGUACAGCAAAGAGAGAAAUGGAUAAACAAGUCUAAGAUAUAUGGCAGAGGGCUCAUGAGCGCAAUCCUAAGCGUGUUCUCAAUUUAAUAAUAAAGUUGGAAGGCUUGUGGGUGAAACUUGGACAGUACCUAUGCACACGAGCUAAUGUACUUCCUGAAGCUUACAUAUCUCUUCUGAAGCAGUUGCAGGACUCUCUUCCUCCUCGUCCUGUACAGGAGGUAGUAGUUUGUCUGGCUAUUAACUUUGGAGGUCAACCAAUAGUAUGUGUGUGACUGAGAGAGAGAGGGGUUUCAAUUCAUCUUAGUAUUGGGUUCUAAUAAUUGGUUGAGGAGAAAAAUGAACCUUAUUCGUCAAAUAUGGAAGUGGCUGCAUGAUAAUCUUUUUGUGCUUUUCUCUCCCCCUUCCUCCCCCUUUCCCCCGAGUGUGGGUGCAUGCAUGUUUUUCCUGCAUCUUAUGAGUAUCUAAUUACUUUGUCUUGCUAAGUGGUAAGUUCUGUUGUGCAGGUUUCUCAGACCAUAGAAAGGGAAUUGGGGGAUUCCAUGGGUGAUAUGUUCAUGGAUUUUGUUGAAACUCCUUUGGCGACAGCAUCAGUAAGAUCCUCAAACUGCAGUUGGUAGUAUUACACUAGUAUGAGAUCUUUGAUUUAAUUUUUCUCAGAAGGCAUGGUAAAAAUCAGUACCUUAUUGGGGGAAUCCAUGGGAAAUGGACUUAGAUUUCCUUCACUCCCAUAUGGAUGUUCCGAAAGAAAUAGCCAGUUUCGUUUCAGCUGCAGUGACUCAAUUUUAAGUGGUUUGUGUUGAUCUGAAUUUUAAAUUUCUUUUCUGUCAGCUGGGUACAUAUUAUGUUGUAUAUAAAGAGUCAUCCAUUUUAACAUGGACAAAAUUGUUGUUUUGUCUAACAUAUUGAUAGCUUAAGCAUUAGUAUGAACUUGAGGUGGCAGUUUUUGAAAUAUAUAUAUAUAUAUAUAUAAAACUUGUCUCGAGUCUCUCUCGGCAUUCUUUCUUCUAAUUUUGAUCAUUGGAUCAUAAUCCUGACAUCUGUGUUCAUAAUAUAACUUUGUGAAUUACUUCAUUUUUUGGCUCCUUUGGAUUCCUUGUUUCUUGAAUCAAAACUUAAUUGCGGGUUCAAUUCUGGACUUCUUUUAAUAGUUUGCAAACCAAAUGUAGUUUUGGAAUCAAACUUAAUUGCAGGUUCUAUUCUUGACUUGUUCUAUUGAGAGGGCAAUCACUUACAACUUCUCAUAGUUUGGUAAACAAAUGUGGUUUGGAAGUUCAUAAACUUGCUGUGUAAUCUGUCUAGUAUGUUUGGAUGAUACAAAUUUCAAUGACAAAAAACAAAAGUAAAAUUUGUUACAAUUUAUACAUACAAUUACAAUCUAAAAUUUAUUGAGACUCUAAAUGCAUUUCGAUGAUACAAAUUUCAAAGACAAAAAACAAAAGUAAAAUUUGUUACAAUUUAUACAUACAAUUACAAUCUAAAAUUUGUUGAGACUCUAGAUGCAUUUCUUUAGUAGUACAACUUAGAAUUCUGACGAAUCUGCUAAGCAGUAGCUUGGAAAAUUAAUCUGGAGAUAUCUACCCUUAAUUAUUUAGUUAGAUUGAAUUAAAAAAAUCGAAUAGAUCAUAUGAAAGCUAAUCCUCAACACAAGUUUAUGGGCCAAGUCAAGAAGAAUACAUCAGUAAAAGAGUGCAGGCAGCAUCAAGUAUAAAACAUAUGGUAAGAGACAGACUGUAACAAACGAAACUACCAGUAAAAGAUCACCACUUUCAUUUACUAUGCAUCUUAAUCUUCUCUGAUUCUUCAACCCGCUUAAACCCUCAAAACCCUCAAGACUGUCAAAGGCAAAGACAGUAACUUCAACCAUUAUUAAAGCAACUUCUUCUCAACCGAAAACCAACAGCACAAAUGCUCAAAAACGCACUUUUAGAAACUGCCGAAGAGGAUCAUCAUAUGGCAGUCCAAGAAGGUCAGCUCUCAAGAAAACAUUCACGCAAAAGCAAUUCACCAUCACUGCACCCGUCUCCAGUAACCCGCAUGUGAAGAUUAUUGGCGGAGGCAUGGCGGUUCUGGCUUGUGCUUUGAGGUUGGAUAAAAGAGGUGUCAAGUCCACUGUUUUUGACAUGGUUGCCUUUUCUUUUGUACUUUUGUGUUUUUGAUGUGGGUUAUGUUUGUAUUUGAUGAGAGUAUAUGCUUGUUUAAUGGUAAUUGAAAAAAAUUGAUUUAAAACAGUCUAGCAUGUGUUGUUUUACAUUGAAUACUGUUUUCGUGAAAAGGGUUUUGUAUAUUGUUCAUUGCCUGUUGCUAUUGUGAUAGACAGUGUGUAUGUACCUUUGGCAAGCUCAACUCUUUUUGGAAUGCAUUAUUGAUUUGAUUAGAAGCAUGUUUAGAAUUGGGUUGUAGUGAUUUUUAAGCUGUAGUUGUUGAGGAAUGAAAUUAAAACAUUAGCUGCUAAAUAAAGUGGGGGUUUAUCAAAUAUUUUGGUCAACCACAUGCAUGUAAUUAUUUUUUAUUUUUUCUUCUUAACAAUGUGCUUUGCUGUAUCAAGGGAAUCCUGAUUUGGAAGGAAGAAUGGGAACUAGAAUGAUUGGUCGUCAACCACUGAUAUUUGAUCAUGUUGCUCAAUUCUUUACUGUGAAUGAUUCUCGGUUUGGUGAGUUGGUUGAUGGUUAGUCGCAAAGAGGUCUGGUAUGACCGUGGGAAGGUGUGAUUGGAGAGUUGAAGUAGGUAGAUGUAGCAAAAUGAAUAAACAAAUCAAAUUCGAAUCGAAUCAUAAACGAAUUAGGUCAGAACUCUGCUAACUCAGAUUCGUUUUGUUUAUUAAACAAAUUAAAAUCUCAGGAUUUAGAUUUGAUUUAUUUAUUAAACAAAUAUUCGGUUCGAUUCGUUUAAUUCAUUUAAUUCAUUUAAACGAAUUGAAUCGAAUUUAGAUUAGUUUACCAUUCAUUUAUCCUACAACGAAUUCAUAAUGAAUCGAGCUGAAUAUGAAUUCGUUUACAAAAAUAUAAUUAAUAAACAGAAAUUAACAAAAUAAAUUAUAAAAAAGACCACAAAUUUAGCAUCCUAUAAAAUACAAACUUAUUAUUAUUUAUUAUUACUAUAUUACCUUCAAACUUUAAAAAAAUUUCAUGUAUAUAUUUAAGGAUAAAUAAGUAAUUUAAUUAAACGAAUAAUAAACGAAUGGAUCGUAUUCAAUUCAUUUAUGUUCCAUUUAUUGAACAAAUACUAAACGAAUAAACGAAUCAAUAUACUCAAGCCUAGAUUCGAUUCUCUAAUUAGUGAAUCGAAUCAAAUUCACCCAUUUAUAAUGAUUCAUUUUUUUUUUCAAAGCCAAACCCAUUUAACUAGCAUCGAAUUGAUGAAUGGAAAAUUCAUUCCAUUUCCUUCUUUACCUCCAAAAUAAAUUGGUGUUAAUGGAAUGCGCCCUCUUGCUGACUCUUUAUUGGCCUUGGUAACAAAUCUUUGUUUCGCUUUUGUGUUCCUUUCUUGUCGAUUCUACCAUGCUUCUUUGCAUCAAAAGGGGAAAAUUGUCUAAUUAAAUCACAAUGGUAAGAAACUGAAGUAUUGUUUUGAAGUUUGCUGGAAGAUAGUGUUGCUGCUUGGGUAUUCCAAGUCCCAAAAUCUUUAUAUUUUUCAGGUUUGACAGGAGAAGGAAGAUAAGAGUGUAUGAAACUAAAAGCUACAAUUAUAUGGUCACAUGAUUUCAAUUGUUUUGGUUGCAUUGCUAGACUUAAUGAAGCAGUGCUGAUAAUGAUUGAAAGAAAACGAAAACUCUACUGAUCUGUACUGUUUGGUUACUAAGAAAAUCUGCUCUGUUUUACUGAGAAAACUUCAGAGCAUCUACUGGUUUUAUUUCUUCUUUUCUUAUUUACAAAUGAAUACAAAACACACCUUUUAUACAUGUUGUUAACAGAAAGGAAAACUAAUCAGAAUAAAAUCUCAGCAAGCCUUAACUAACUUUGCUGAGCUGGCAUUGCUUACUCAACUAACUUCAGCUCAACAAAUUCUCCCACGUGCUAACCUUGAGCUGACUGCUUGUUGCUAACCUUGAGCUGACUGCUUGUACACAUUAUGAGCUUCCUUAACAGCCCCCCUCAAACUCAAAGGGCAUGGCUGCACAUUGAGUUUGUUUCGAAAGUAAUUAAAAUGAAUGAAUGUGAGAGGUUUUGUUAAGAUAUCAGCUAUUUGUUCUUCACUUGGAAUGAAGUGAAUUUCCAGCUCCUCUGCUAAAACCUUAUCUCUGAUAAAAUGCAUAUCCAGUUCAAUGUGUUUGGUACGUGAAUGGUAGACUGGAUUUUUAGCUAACUUUGUUGCACUCAUGUUGUCACACCAGAUGAUAGGUACUGAGAUGCAUCUUAUAUUCAGCUCACUGAACAAAGAUUGAAUCCAUGCUAUCUCUGCACUUGCAGAAGCCAAAGCUCUGUAUUCGCUUUCGGCACUAGACCUUGUCACUACAGACUGCUUCUUGGAUGACCAUGACACCAGAUUGUUUCCAAAAUAGAUACAGUAGGCACCUAUAGAUUUUCUGUCAUCAAUAUCGCAUGCCCAAUCUGCAUCUGUAAAACCUGUGAUUUCCAUUUUCCCCCCAGCUGAAAACUGUAGACCAUAAUCCAUGGUUUCCUUUAAGUACCUUAGAACUCGUUUACAAGCCAUUAUGUGCUGCAAAGUUGGAGCUGUCACAUAUUGACUGAGUUUGUGCACAGCAAAGGCUAUCUCUGGUCGGGUUAACACCAAAUAUUGCAAGCCUCCAACCAAACUUCUAUAACUGGUUGCAUCCUCAACAUACUGACCUAAGUAACCUUUAACCUCUUUUUGAAGUUUCAAUCCAGUCACUAUAGGAGUAUCACACCCUUUACAGUCCAACAUAUCAGCCUUAGACAAAAGAUCAUUAAUAUACUUUCUCUGAGAUAGGUACAUACAACCAUCAGCAUAAGAGACUUCUAUCCCAAGAAAGUAUGAUAGUAUUCCUAGAUCCUUUAAAGCAAAUGUCUUACUGAAUUCACUGAUAAAUUUCUCUAAUUCUCCACUGUCAGGUCCUGUAAUAAGUAUAUCAUCCACAUAUAUAAGCACAAGUAUUAUUGAGCCUUGAAUCUCUUUGAAGAAAAGAGAAGUAUCAGCUCUGGAAUUUUGAAAACCCCAAUUACUAAUCAGACAAUUUUUCAGCUUGUCAUACCAAGCUCUAGGAGCUUGUUUUAAGCCAUACAAAGCCUUCUUCAACUUGCAUACAAAGCUAGAUUUUUUAUCAUCAAUGAAACCUGCUGGCUGAUGCAUAUAAACAUCUUCUGUCAACUCUCCAUUUAAGAAGGCAUUAUUAACAUCCACUUGCCUUAUUUUCCACUUAUUCAUCACAGCCAAACUAAAAAUAAGUCUUACUGUGCAAGCCUUUACCACAGGACUAAAAGUCUCAAAGUAGUCAAUACCCUCAGUUUGCUGGAAACCCUUUGCAACUAACCUAGCUUUGUAUUUAGCUACACUCCCAUCUGUGUUUUGUUUGAUUCUGAACACCCAUUUACUGUCAACAACCUUGUAUGCCUCUGAAAAUGGUACCAGUGACCAUGUUUCAUUCCUAAGCAAAGCUUCAUAUUCAUCUCUCAUGGCUUGAUGCCAAUUCUGAUCACUUAGAGCUUCUUGAACAGUACUAGGUUCUUUGUUGGUGAAGGUGGUUAUGUAAACUUUUGGCUUGAAGAUUCCAGAUUUUGAUCUGGUUACCAUUGAAUGUGAUGAUUGUGAAGAAAGGUUUCUGGUUUGAGUUUGAUUUAUGUGCUGGGAAGUAGAUAGCUGUGGUUCAUUUUGUGGUUGUGAUUCAGUUUGUUGUUGUGUUGGUGACAAUGGUAUGGUUGAUGAGGAAUGUUCUGAUAUUGUAGUUUGAGAAUGCUCUUGUUGAUGCAGAUUAUUUGUGUGUGCAGAAACAGAAGGUACCUGUUCACUGCUCUCUGAACUUGCUGAUUGAAGAUCUUCCAAGCUACUGUCAGUUAAGGAUAAUGUGGAGAGAUUAUAAAUUUGUUGCUGGGAAAAGUUUGACACUGAUAAUUCAGAAUUUGAACUGUUCUCUGAUGAAUGAAAGACUUUGUUGGUUGAGUAAGGGAAUGUAUUUUCAUCAAAGACAACAUGCCUUAGGAUAUGGAUUUUUCCUGAACUUGUUAAACACUUGUAACCCUUGUAAGAAGGAUUAUAGCCAAUGAAGAUGCAUUUGGUGGUGUGAAAAUCAAAUUUGUGUUUAUUAAAAUCUCUCAUAUAUGGAUAACAUAGGCAACCAAAACACUUAAGAAAAGAAUAAUCUGGUUUGUGUUUAUAAAGCUUUUCAUAAGGAGAUAAAAGCUUAAGAACAGGUGUUGGUAACCUAUUAAUAUGAUAUGCUGCUGUGUGAACAGCUUCCCACCAAAACUGAAAAGGGAGACUAGCUUGAGCUAAGAGUGUCAAUGCUAAUUCAAUUAUGUGUCUGUGUUUCCUCUCAACAAGACCAUUCUGGUGAUGAGUAUAAGGGCAUGAAUGUCUAAACUUGAUCCCAUUUUGAUUGAGAAAAUCACUGAAUACUCUAAACUCUCCCCCCAGAUCAGAUUGCAAUUCCUUAAUCUUGGUAUUAAACUGAUUUUCAACUUGUGCCUUGAACAGUUUGAAAACUUCAAAUGCUUGUGAUUUAAGCUUAAGUGGAUAGAUCCAGGUGUAUCUAGUGCAGUCAUCCACAAAACUAAUGUAAUACUUGUAUCCAUUUCUGGAUACAGUGGGUGAGGGUCCCCACAAAUCAGUAUGAAUCAGUUCUAAUACUCCUUUUGUUUUUGUUUCAGAAGCUGGAAAACUUUGCCUGUGAACUUUGCCUAACUGACAUGCCUCACACAAAGAAUUUGUACAAUCCACAAUAUCUUUAUGAGAGAAUUUAAAUUGCUUGCAAGACUUAGCUAAAUGCAUCAGAAUCAUUGAACUUGGAUGACCAAAUUUUCUAUGUAGCAAAUUCAUUACAUCAGAUUUGGUUUUGCAUUUAUUGGAAACAGAAUGAUAACAAGCUUUAGAAGAACUAUCAAAGCUUUGAAAGCUAGACAACAUUGAGAUAGGUUUAUUUAGCUUGGUAGGAAGAUGGGAUGAAGAAAAUGAAGAAUAGGGAUUAGAACUCAACAGCAGCUUGUAUAGACCUUUUUCAGCAAGUCCCUGCAGCAGAACUUGUCCCUUCAUGUCCUUCACAAAACAAACAUUCCCACAAAAUUCAACAGUUAUAGGGUUAUCAGAUGUCAGUUUAGAAAUGCUUAGUAGAUUUUUGGUAAUUGAUGGAACAAGUAAUAUAUCCUUAAGUACUAUUCUGGAAUGUGCAGAUAAGGAAUUUGAUGCUCUUUGUGACAGAAAAGCAAAACCAACAUGAGUGAUAGACAAACCUUCACCAUUACCAAUUAUGAGCUGAUCAGUACCUUUAAACUCCUCACUGAUCUGCAAGUUCUCCAUGUUGUUGGUCAGAUGGUGAGUUGCCCCACUAUCCAAGUACCAUCCAUCAUCAGCAACUCCUUCAAAGUUAGCCAUAAAUGCUGCUCCAGGAGUACAAGCAUCAAGACCAGAAUAAUAGCUACUGCCAGACAUAGGAUUAUAAGCUGAAGACAUAUAGUUGAAGUUCUCAUAAUCUUCAAAGUUUGGAUUUGGAACAGGACCAUCAAAAUUGGACAGAUAUGCUGCUCUGGGUGCUUUUCCUUUUCCAAAACCCCUUGGCAUUGGCACAUAAUCUUCAACAAAUCUAUGCCAACAGAUAUCAGCAGUAUGACCAGAUUUAAAACAAAUCUGACAUAUUGAGUCCACUGGAUUGAAAGCUCCCUGUGAUCCAUUCUUGAUAACAGAUGGUGAACUCCUUGGUGCUACAGGAUUAUUACCAUUAAAAGGAUUACCAACAGGAUAUCCUCUACCAAAACCACCUCUAAAACCUCCAUUAAACAUUCUUGGAGAAAGGUUCAUAUUUCCUCUACCAGAGAUAACAUUCCUUCCACCAUAAUAACCUCCUCUCCUAAAAUUUCCUCUAGGUUGUGCAUAAUAAACCUUAGGAUGAAAUGCACUAGUAUAGGCAUUAGUAUAUGCAUAGUUAGCAUUGAACAUACUCUUAUCAUCCUGAUCUUGUUCCAACCUAGGUUCAUGAGUAAGCAAUAACGCAUAAGCAUCAUCAAAUUCCAUACGUGAACCAGUUAUGAAGGUAGCAAUAUCACGGUAUCCUGAUCCUAAUCCAUUGAGUAUGGUUAGCAUUAGAUCCUUUUCUGUUAUCGAGCUACCAGCACUAGCAAGCUUAUCAGCUAUUGCUUUCAUUUUAACACAAUAAUCUUCAAUGCUAAGAGAUUCCUUUUUAAGAGUGUUCAGUUCAUAUCUAAGCUGAAGAACUCGAGCUUCAGAUUGAACUCCAAACUUCUUUUCUAACAUUUUCCAUACACCAGAUGAACUUUCACAGUUAAUAACAAGACUAAGGAUACCUUCACUUAAUGUUGACAGCAGCCAACCAAGAAGGAUUUGAUCAUGUGAUCUCCAGAUCUGAUACUCAGGAUUCUCAAUUUGUUGUGUAGAUCCAUCAACUCCAGCUAACAAAAUAUUUUCUUCAGGUGCUGAUUUGAUUCCAGUUAUGAAGUCUUCCAGUCGAUUACCUCUAAUCGAAGCCAGAACUUGUGAACGCCAGAGCAGGUAGUUUGAUCGAUCUAGUUUAAUUGGAUUCGUGAAAGAGAAAUUGAUUUGAGUGUGUUGAUUGGUAUUAUUGAUUGCUGAAUUUCUCAUCAUUGUUUGCUGAUUACUAUAAGGCUCUGAUACCAUGAAAGAAAACGAAAACUCUACUGAUCUGUACUGUUUGGUUACUAAGAAAAUCUGCUCUGUUUUACUGAGAAAACUUCAGAGCAUCUACUGGUUUUAUUUCUUCUUUUCUUAUUUACAAAUGAAUACAAAACACACCUUUUAUACAUGUUGUUAACAGAAAGGAAAACUAAUCAGAAUAAAAUCUCAGCAAGCCUUAACUAACUUUGCUGAGCUGGCAUUGCUUACUCAACUAACUUCAGCUCAACAAAUUCUCCCACGUGCUAACCUUGAGCUGACUGCUUGUUGCUAACCUUGAGCUGACUGCUUGUACACAUUAUGAGCUUCCUUAACAAUGAUCAUAACUGAGGAAAAUAAUAACCAGCGUGAACAUUUUGCACCACUGUAUUAUGGAUGCAAUUCCUGAGAAGUAACAGGCUUUCUAUGGAUUAUUAACUUGAUUUGGACUUAGUUAUUGCAACAUUUGCACAGUAUAUCAUUACUUUUAAAUUAUGUAAAUCAUUCAUACCAUGGCUAAAUAUGUUUUGAUGCUUGUUGCAGACCUCCAUGGUUAAUGUUGUGAGAACUUGCUGGAUAAGUAAUCUUGAGCCAUUUAAUGGGAUGUCGUACUUGGGAGAGAAUGGGAAAACCGCAUGGGCAGUUUGAUGUGGUUAUUACUGCUCAUAAUGGUGAUUCAGUGCGGCCAGCCUUUCUCUUUCUCUCUGUGUGUGAAUGUUAUAGUCAGGUAGUCGUUUGCAUUACUAAAAUGAAGGUUAUUGUUUUCCGCAGUUGCAUGAAUGUUACAAUGCGCUUUGCUAUUGGAAAAUAGGAAAAAAGGAAAAAAGGAAAAAAGAUAUCUGAUUUUACAUUCUACCUUACAAUGGAUUAGGAAUGGUGAAGAAUCUCAUUUGGUACUGGGAAACCGUUCCAAAAUGCAAAAUCCUGUAUAGUUUGUUGAUAUAUUUUUUUUAUUUUGUGGGAUACUAGAACUUCAGAAAGAUUGGAAAUUCAUAAAAUUUAAUACAGAUUUUUUCACUCUAAAUUUUGAGAAAAUGAUAGCUAGAUUACAACUAAGAUUAAUAGCAACUCUUAGCUAUAAACAACUAGAAGGCUGGUACUAAAUGCCAAUUUUGAAAUAGAACCUGAAGCCGUAAGCUCCCAAGCAGUGGCAGGAGCCCGGGGCUCUGAUCGUGUGCCCGUUGAAGAAUGAGCCGGCAGCAGUGGCUUGGUUAGGGAAAGCCACCGAAGUGAGUCUCCAUUGGGCAAUUGUCACUGCUUAUGGACCCAAACAUGGGUGAUCUAUCCGUGACCAGGAUGAAGCUUGGGCGAAACUGAGUAGGUUAGAAUAAUAUGAGGUGACUUUCAAUCUAUGCCAUUCAUUCAAUGACUUUGGAUAUGUCCACAACUCAUCAUAUUGAUAAUGUCCUAUCAGUGUCUUGUAAACUUCCCUUAUGAGUAUUAAAUAGGUUGUUAUGAAAGAAUUGAAAUCAUCUUUAUAAAUGUAAUGACCAGAUAGGGUUCUAGACCUAGAAGAUGAGGUUAUGUUUGUUUCCUUUCUGUUUCUUAUUGAUUGUAGACUGUUUAUUGCUUGUGUCUGCUGUUCACAUUUUGGCUUUGUGUUGUGUGUAAUAGUUCCCUGAUGUAAUAGGAGGAAAAUUUGCAAAUUGGCUGCUUGGUUCAUCUAGCUUACCUCUAAUAGCUAGACAAACGAAGUUAUAUAUACUUUGAAAUAUUAAGUUUUUUUGUAUUAUUAUCUAGCCUAUCUUUAUUCAGUAUCGGCCAUUUAUAAAUUAUUUCAAAGAUUCGUGAUGCAUUUUCUUGGUUUGCAGAGGCUGGAACUAAGUUUUAUAUGGGCCCUUCUUGUCGCAUCUGAGGAUCCCCUUCCACCAGGCAGUGCAGUGCAGUGACUUUGGAGGAGCCUUUGUUAGAGGUGUUGAUUCUGUCUCAUGGAUGGCAAAUAACUCAACGAAGCUUUUGAGUUCUCAAAGUGAUGGUUCUCAUUGUUGGACCUUCUUCAGCACUACAGCUUACAGGGAAGGAAACAAGGUUCCACUGGUCAGUUUGUUUGUAAAUGCAUGUCUUGUUUAAAUACUUAUGAUUAUAUGCUGGCAUUGUCACACUUUUCUAACCAAUAGGCUAGGCCUCUAGUUGAAUUCAUUCAUCCUUCAGCUUGCAAUCUCAAGCUAUUGAAACAUGGUUUUUUUUUUCCGCAUAUUUAUAUAGAGUUUGCAAUAAGAUUAGCUUUAUCUUCCCUUUUGUACUUGAAUCAAUAUGACAUUUCAAAUUUUACAGCAAAAUUAUGUGCUGCGUUGAUAUGUAUAUGUUGCAAUUUAGGCUUUUUGCAAGAUUUUUACGAUUGUUUUCAUAAUUUAUUAGGAAAAUAUGCCAACUGCAACAGCAUCGAAGGUGAAAACAGGUAUGCUCGAGGGUGUUGGAGCCGUUGCUUGGCCUGCCGAUAGGUCUUUUCGGAAGCCCAUUUAUACUUGAGUCCAAUUAUGGUAAGGAUCCACUUUUAUGGACAUGACCUUGCAAUUUCAUUUAUAUCAUGUCCCAUUUGGAUCCCUUGUGACCUACUUGGGCAGCUACCAUUUGCUGUUGCUGUUGCUGUUGCUUUACAAUGAUUGGUUCACUUGGACAAUCAUCAAGUAUAAUAUUAAUACAUAGGUAACAAACAAGAUUAGGCUCAACUGGAACUCUUCAAACUAGUGAGACUUGAAUUUUUUUGGUUUCUGAGUUUGUCAACCACAGCGAUGUUGGAAAUAUUCAGGUUCUUUUAACUGUGCUUUGCUGUAUCAGGGGAAUAUGGGUCGGGAGGACAAAUGGGAUAAGACCCUGCAAACCAAAUAUACGAGGCAAGCCCAAGAACAAAUGAGAGCCAUAGUCUCUUUGUUUGCAUUUGGGAAAUAGUACACGAAACAAUAGUCUCUUCGUUUGCAUUUUUUUCCAACUUGCUGUAAUUUGUAUAUACAUUGUGGGGUUUAAAAAGUUCUCAAACUGAAAAAAGAAAUCAUGCGUUGAUUUAAUUGUAUAUGUCUUUGUUCGUCUUUUAUUGUAAUUCUGAUUAAGAUUAAAUUUGUAAAUCAAAUAAAUUACUGUAUGUUAAAUAUUUGUUUUUCCUUUUUCUAAUUUUAAGGAUGGAACUUUGAUUACUUAUAGAAUGACAAUCACAUAAUCAUACCAAAUAAAUUACUGUAGUUUAUCUAAUACAACUUUGUAUUUAUUUAGUGCAAACUUUGUGAUUGAUGUAAUCUGCAUCAUUAUGUAAGAAAUCUCUUAUCUUUAAGAAUAAGUAAUAAAGUAUUGGACAGCAAUGCUUAAAUCUUAAUUGAGUCAGAGUCCCCCCAGGUACUCAACAUUCUACUCACAUGAACGUAUGGGUGGGGGUACAUUCAAUAAAACUACAUAGGUCUUUUAAUUGUUAGCGCGGGAAUUUAUAUGAUUAUGCUAUUUAAUUUUUGAUAAUUACUAUUUCAAGUACAAAUGUGCAAUUUGAUCGUUAGGAUACGGGUCACAGCAACUUUGGUAUUGUUUGUUGGGUGGAAGAAAAAAAUUGUAGGGUAAGUACAUACACUUAGUAUAUUAUUAUUGCUAUUUGAAUGCGUAUAUUAUUAUUGCUAUUUGAAUGCCAUUGCUACAUUAAUGGCAAUGACAUUGAAAAAAUUUCUUUUGGGCCUACAGGAACAGGCUAUCCUUGUAAUUGUCCUAUUUCCUUAACGGAUGUGUCUUUUAAGUUAUGCAUUUGGCAUAUGAAGUUUAUUGAGAGAAAGCAAAUGAUCAGGAGCUGGUCUUAAAAGCAUUUUGUUCAAGGAAUGCAAUACAAACUGUAAUAUGAUUUGAGACAAUUCAUAGAGCUUUCCUUGAGUGAAAAAAAGUCAUAUGCUUUUUUCAGUUUAUUCAAAGAAUUAUGAGAAUAACCUCGGGUAUGUUAAUUGAAAAAUACCCAAACCGGACAAUUCACAUUCAUACCAUGCAACCCAGGUUCGUUAAUUUUAAAUUCCAAUUAAAUGUUCUAAACUAUCUUCAUCUAUUUUAGCAUGUGUUUCAUAAUUCACGCUUUCUUCUUCUUCUACCUUUUUUUCCCUUCUUAGCUUCCAUUGGGUUAUUGAUGUGGUGAAAAAGGAAUUAUUUUGAUCGGAUCCUAAAGCACAAUCCUAAUCCUAAUUUAGAGCAGAUCCUUAAAGCGUAUGUUUCCUUUCCAUUCGAUACCGUUCAUAUUUUCGGUUUCUUCAAAUAUUUUAGAUUACAUAUCAAUAUAGUAGUUUUUCAUACCAUGCCAUGACACUGUUCAUAGUAUAGAUCUAAGAUGAGAUUUAUGUAGCCAUCGUGACACUUAGUGUAUAUGCAACUUAGGGUAGCACAAUCCUUUUUGGACUGCAUUCUUGAUAUGAUUAUUGCCAUGUUUGUAAUUGAGGAGUUGUGACUUUUAAAUUAGUGAGGAAUGGAAUUAAAAAUUUAAUUGCUAAAUAAAAUUGGGUGCUUAUCAAAUAUCUUAGCUAUUAUGCAUUCAAAAUUAUAUAGAAGCAUAGUAGAUAGAAAUGCACCCGAAGUACCUGCAGAUCCUGCCUCCAAAAGAGGACUCAACUCGAGUUAUCCAAAGUUGUGAAACUUGAAUUUUUUUUUUUUUCAAAUUUCAAUGCUAAGUUAGUCAAUCACAUGAAUGUAACUAUUAUUUAUUGCUAAUUUACUAUUAUUAUCAUUAUUGCCAUUAUUUUCCUUUUAAAACGGCGCCUUUGCUAUAUAUUAUCAGGGGAAUUAUGGGAACCAGAAAAUGAUUGGUACUGAUUCAAAAAGUCCCAAAAUAGUCACAGUUUUGAGGUUUAACCCCACAAGGAAGAUCAUAAGCUAAAAUUACAUGGUCACAUGAUUUCAUGUCUAUUUGGUAUGAUUUAUUUAAUGGUUCUAAGUGCUUAUUUAAUCUCAUAAGCUCUUAUGAUAAUUUUUGUUGUUGUUUGAUUAUUUUUCUAAUAUAGCUUUUGAAGCUUAAAUAAGUUAUUUUGCAUCUACCAGUAAAAACUCAAAUUUUAGGUUUUGGAGAGUAGAGGUUGAAAAACUUUUUUUAAAUGUUAAAAUAUUUUAAAAUAUCCCCUACUUAUUUGACAAUCUUAUUUUAUUCUUUUUAUAAUAUAACUUUAAAAAAUUUAUCUAUUAAAGUAAUUUCAUAAAUUUUUAAUAAAAAUUCUUAUUGACAAUCAAACAACUAAAUUUGUUUGGCUAAAAGCUCUAUUUAUAAAAGCUAUACUAGUAAAAACUCUACUUAAAUAAGCUCUACUUGAAAAGUUAUACCAAACGGAGCCUUUAAUUGCUUAGGCUAGGUGGACUUAGAGCAUCACCAAAAGGCUCUUCAAAUAAGAUUUUAUUAUUUAUUUGAAGACCACAUCAACAUUUAAGCCUCCAAAAGACACUUCAAUUAAAAUUCUUCAAAUAAAAAAUGAUUCUCUCUCUUCAAAGUUGAAGAAUUGCUUUCUCCCUCUUCAAUUUAUAUUUUAUUACUUUUUAAUUGCUAUUGACUUUUCUUUUAAAAAAAUAAUUAUUUGACUAAAAUAAUAUUAACUUAUUUUUAUUUGAAGAGUUUUUUAGAGAAUAAUAUAUUUUUUUAUUUUUUUAUUUGCCACAUAGAUAAAUAAAUAGAUAUUUAAAAAAUAUAAUUUAUAUAAAUUUUUAGAGAUGCUCUAAUAAUUAAAUGGCGGCUGGGAUAAAAAGACAACUAACAGGAACAUUUCUCACCACUGUAUCAUGACUGCAAUUCCUGCACAGUAAAAAGCUUAUUUAUAAAUGCCACAAUAAUAUUUUGCUUAUUUACCAAGGCACAAAUGAACUUUAAAUUCAAAGAUGGCAAUUCAAAAGCAAUAAUAUUCCAGCAGCUAAUACGAUAAAAGUCUAUGGUUAGCAUUAACAUUGUGACACGGGGUACAUAUACACGCUUACCAUUGGUUUGAGUUGGCAAUGGUGGAAGUGUUGGAAUGGCUGGUGCAAAACUUCGCGGGUCCCUUCAAUUUUUCAGACGGGGAAAAUUAUGGAUAAUUCAUCAACACGUGUAAUUUAAACAGUUUUAAAAAAUAUUAAUAUUAUCAUAUGAUAUAAUUAUGAAACGUCAAAAAGUGUAAUUAGAAAAUUUUGCUAAAGUAGAGAGAGAAUCAAAUAUCACAAACCUCCUUUUAUUUACUACUUUAUAUGUGCAUUGCUUGAAGUUUUAUUAAGUAAAUCUCUUUCACUUAUUAAACGUUAAUUUUAAGUAUUAAUUAAUAAACUAAUAAUGCUUAAUUAAAAAAAAAAAACUAGGGGAUAGCCGUGAAAGAUUAAUUGAUUAGAGUAUGUUCUUAAAUUCAACUAAAAGUUCAAUAGUGGCUAUAAAGUACAAAUAUAUAAUUUAAUAAAUGCUUUUUUUUUUCAAUUAACAAAAAGUUAAGAUUGGUUCAUAUUAAAUUCGUUAUUAUUAAUCUUUACUCUAAUGGACUCAUGUCGUGAGAUAUUAAAAUUUAUAUACCAUUAGAAGACAAUGUCAUUGCCAAUAAAGAAUCGGCGGGGAAAGAAUCGGCCAAUAAAAACAAUGUGAUUGCCAUGGCUACCUAUCGCUAUCGGCGGGGAAAGAAUCGGCCAAUAAAGACAAUGUGAUUGCCACGGCUGUCUAUCGCUAUGGGCGGGGAAAGAAUCGCCCAAUAAAGACAAUGUCAUUGCCACGGCUAUCUAUCGCUAUCGGCGGGGAAAGAAUCGGCCAAUAAAGACAAUGUCAUUGCCAUGGCUAUCUAUCGCUAUCGGUGGGAAAGAAUCGGCCAAUAAAGACAAUGUCAUUCCCAUGGCUAUCUAUCGCUAUCAGCCCCAAUAAAGAAGCCAUGGCUAUCUAUUGCUAUUGGCGGGGAAAGACUCGGCCAAUAAAGACAAUGUCAUUCCCAUGGCUAUUUAAACCCUUCUCUUCAGUUCUUCAGUUGAAACCUCAAAGAAAUGCAGGAACCCGUCAAUUCAAACCUCAAAAAAAUGUGCCUCGGAAAUAACCCAUAUCAGUGCUCUGUGUUCUGGUACGAGGAUGAAAACCUCGCUCACUUCAAGUACCCUCUUCCAUCAGGGGCGAAGCAAGAGAAUGUGAAGGUUGAGAUCGAUGAAGAUGGGAACUUGCUUACAGUAUUCCUAAGCUUCCCGAAGAAAAAGGAAGGAGACACCACCAACCCCAUAAUCUCAAUGAAAUUCAACUUGCCAGCCGGUCUUGACCUGGCUGGGUUUAAGACUGCAAUCGAUGAUGCCGGCGUUCUAGCUGUUACCUUCACUAAACUGAAGCCACAGAAGCCAGAGAAGAAAAAGCCGAUGCCAAGCCCAAAGAAGAUACUGGGUUGGUUGCUUAAAGCUGUUCCUAUUUGUUCCCUGAUAGAUUCCAAUGUGUGUCAUGAGAUGAGUUCGGGAGGCUACUAAUAAGCUGAUGUCAAGUUGUUAUUUGCUUCGCGUUCAUGUUUCUUGUUCUCCUGUUUACGUAUUACCGUUUGAAAAUAACUCUGGACUGUAGAGUCUAGACCACGUGUCGUUGAUUUGUGUGUUCUGCUGUAUUUCCUUUUUUUUUUCAGAACUGUCUCAUAAAAAAAGUUCCUCUGUUUAUUACAGCAUCAAUAAUAUUUUUAAUUGUGCACCAUUAGAUUUAAUUAAUAGUACACAAUAUUUAUAAGUAAAAAAAAAAAUAAUGGUAAACCGUUAACAAAUGUGUAAGGGGUGGAGAAGUUUAUAAAAUAAUUAGGACCACCCUUAGAGUUUGAAACAAUUUCACUUAAAUAGCAUAUUUUAUUUAAAAUUAUUUUUCAAUCCUCCUUUAAAUUUGAAAUGUGAUAAUCUUUUUUAAAUAAAUCUUCCAAAAUCUAUUACCAUUAAGUAUAAAAUAUAAUGGUAGGUUAUUUAACACAAAUCAAAUAAAUAAGUUGCAAUUGCAAAAUUUAUAUAUGAUAUAACACUAAUAAAUAACACAACUAAGUACAUAUACUUAAGUAAAUGUCAUAGUUACAUCAAUAAACUCAUUGUUAAGAUUGCUUGUAACAUAAAAAUUACUUGAUCACACAUGUUUUCAUAUAAUAUUAAGGGUCAUUGUAUAAUUGAUCAUGAAGUAUGUAUCAUUUUUAACACCCAUUUAACAUAGUUAUUUUCUGAACUUUAUAUUUACCUUACAGUUAAUAUCCUUACAUGGUAGGAGUUUUAAGUUUUAUAAGCUUAUAUAUUUUCAUUUUAUUUUCAAAUAUCACUUUGUUAAUUUCAUAAAAGUUAAAUCGAAUAUAUAUUCCUAAUGAGUUUUAGUUUAUAAAUCAUGAAAGAUUAUUUUAUUGAUAUCCUUGGAUUGUAAUUAUAAAAUUUUAUGUUAUGAAGAGUCAUUACUUUUAUUAUGAUAGUUAAUAGUGACAAUAAAUAAAAUAUUGCCUCCGAUAAUAUUUACAUGGGAAAAAAGUGAAAGAAAAUCAUUUAUAUUUUUAGAUUUUUAUUGACAUGGUAGAAAAUUAUUUGAGCCUCAUAAAAUUUAACUUUCACAAGCUUAUUUUCAUUUUAUUUUCAAAUGUCACUUUGUUAAUUUCAUAAAAGUUAAAUUUAACACAUAUUCCUAAUUAACUUUAGUUUAUGAAUCAUGAAAGAUUAUUUUAUUGUUAUUCUUUGAUAGUAAUUAUAAAAAUUUUGUGUUACGAAGAGUCAUUACUUUUAUUAUGAUAAUUAAUAGUGACAAUAAAUAAAAUAUCACAUCAAAUAAUAUUUAAUGGACAAAAUGAGGAAAAAAAAUCAUUGCAUGUUUUUAUCUUUCCAUUAUAAAGAUAUGGUUUGAGAUACUUUAACUUAAAAUUUUGCUACAAUAUUUGAGCCACUAAUAUAUCAUAAUCUAAUGGUUGAUAUUGAAAGUCAAAGCAAUAUUUCAUAAUGUUAUAUCCUCCACCAUUGAAUUGAAUGAAAUAAAUAGUUUAAUUUUUUGUUAAAAAUUUAAAUCAAAAUAUUUAUCACUCUAUAGUUAUAUAGACAUAUAUAUUUUUCAAUAAUAAUUGGUGAAUAAAAUAUUUGUCAUUUGUUGUGACUCAUAUAGUAUCUAUCUAUCUAUAUAUAUAUAUAUAAAGUUGGGACUUGAUGAGAGGAUGUGGCAUCAAUAUUUCUCAUCUUUGUAUAUUCUCUAUAAUAUAAUAAAUAGAGAAAUUUUCUUUUAGAUUUGGUUUUUCAUCUUCUCAUAAUUAAUUUGAUUGUUAUUACACAAUAAUAAUUAUGUAAAGAUUUUAAUGAGGCAUAUUCUUUGUAAUGAGCAUCCAAGGGAGAGUGUUAUGAAUUUAUUAAAAUAAAUGUAGAUGUUGAUAACAUAUAUCUUUUAGUCUCUCCACUAUCUCUCAUUAGCAGCCUUUAGCUUCCCUAUAACUCCCACUAUCUCACAAGGAAUUAUGAUCUAUAAUUUUUUAUUAAUUUCAUGGAGUGAUUAUGUAACUAUAAAAGAAGAGCCUAUCUUUUUGUUUUGUACACACACAAUUGGAAUGAAUAAAAUCACUCUAUAAUAUAUUAUCUCAUUCUAUUCUUUAUCUUGCGUUGCUUCUUUAUUUGUAUUGCUGGCUAAUAGCUUUUUUUUUUUAUUUUUUAUAAGGCUGCCUCAUCUUAAAAAAAAAUCAAUUCAUAUUUUUUAUCAGUUUUAUCAAGUGUAAAAUACGAAAAAAAGAUAAUACUAAAUUCUUUUUUCGAAGUCGCGUGAAGCGCGGUUCUAUUUUCUAGUAUAUAUAUAUAAAGUUGGGACUUGAGGAGGUGAUGUGGCAUCACCAUUUUGCUUCUUUGUAUAUUCUCUAUUAUCUAAUAAAUAGAGUUUUUUUUUUAAAUUUGACUUUUUAUCUUCUCAUAAUUAAUUUGAUUAUAUUUAACUCAUUUAAUAAAUAGUAACUUUAUUAAUAUAUAUCAUUCCUCAUCUUUUUAUAUUUUCUAUUAUCUAAAAUAUCUAAAAUAUUGGUAGAUAUUCUUUGUACCUUUUUUCUCUUUCUAUUUAAAUUCAACAAUAUGUAAUCAUUAAUAAUAAUUAAUUAUAAGUCUUUUGAAACAUUUAUUUAUUUUAUUAUGCUACCAAUUAAACUUUAGUGGCUUAAAAUACAUGAAGUAAUUAACAUAGGAAGAGAAGUUCUUUCAUUUUCCCUCAACAAUGCCACUAAGGCCUAAUUUUAAUUCCAUAAUCUCAUAUUUAAUUAUGCAACCUUUUGGUGAGUGUCUUUUGGUUUCUUCAAAAUUUAUUAUACUAUCAAUUAAACUUUAGUGCCUUAAAAUACAUCACCUAAUUAAUAUAGGAAGAGAGGCUCUUUCAUCUUCCCUCAACCUCAUCUUUUUAUAUUCUCUAUUAUCUAAAAUAUUGGUGGAUAUUCUUUGUACAUAUAUCAUAAUAUGACACUCAAAAAAAUAAAGAUAAAAAAUAUAUUAAUAAUAAAGAUAUCAGUUAAUAUAUAAUUAUCUAAUAAAUUGGUUGAAAUUAAAAAAUAAUUACAUUAUAAAAUAUUAAAAUAGAAAAUAAUUAUUAGAUUAUAAAUGUUACAUGUCUUUUCCUCUUUCUAUUUAAAUUCAACAAUAUGUAACCAUUAAUAAUAAUUAAUUAUAAGUCUUGAAACAUUCAUUUAUUUUAUUAUGCAAACAAUUAAAUUUUAGUGACUUAAAAUACAUCAAUUAAUUAAUAUAGAAAGGAAGGUUCCUUCAUCUUCCCUCAAUAAUGUCAUUAGAGCCUAAUUUUAAUAUCAUAAUCCCAUAUUUUAUUAUUCAAUCUUUUGUUUAGUGUCUUUUGGCUUCUUCAAACUCCAUAAACAUUAAAUAUUUAAGAUUUAUGGCAUCAUUAUUUCUCACCUUUUUUUAUUCUCCAUUAUCUAAUAUAUUGGUUGAGAUUAAAAAAUAAUUACAUUACAAAAUAUUAAAUAUAUAUAUAUAUAUAAAGUUAGGACUAGAGGAGGUGAUGUAGCAUCACUAUUUCUCAUCUUCUUGUAUUCACUAUUAUUUAAUAAAUUGGCUGAUAUUAAAAAAAUAAUUAAAUUACAAAAUCUUAAAAAUAAAAAAUAAUUAUUAGAUUAUAAAAGAUUACACGUCCCAUCCUCUUUCUAUUUAAAUUCAAUAAUAUGUAACCAUUAAUAAUAAUUAAUUAUAAAUCUUGAAACAUUUAUUUAUUUUAUUAUGCCAACAAUUAAACUUUAGUGGCUUAAAUAUAUCAAUUAAUUAAUAUAGGAAUGUAGGUUCCUUCAUCUUCCCUCAACAAUGCCAUUAGAGCCUAAUUUUAAUGUCAUAAUCUCAUAUUUAAUUAUUCAAUCUUUUGUUUAGUGCCUUUUGGCUUCUUCAAACUCUAUAAAUAUUAAGUAGUUAAGAUUUGUGGCAUCAUUAUUUCUCAUCUUUUUUUAUUCUCUAUUAUCUAAUAUAUUGGUUGAGAUUAAAAAAUAAUUACAUUACAAAAUAAUUAAUAGAUUACAAAAGAUUACAUGUCUCUUCCUUUUUCUAUUUAAAUUCAACAAUAUAUAACCAUUAAUAAUAAAUUAAUUAUAAGUUUUGAAACAUUCAUUUAUUUUAUUAAGCCAACAACUAAACUUUAGUGGUUUAAAAUACAUCAACUAAUUAAUAUAGGAAGGAAUGUACCUUCAUCUUCCCUCACUAAUGCCAGUAGGACCUAAUUUUAAUGUCAUAAUCCCAUAUUAAAUUAUGCAACUUUUUAUUUAGUGUCUUUUGGCUUCUUCAAACUCUAUAAAUAUUAAGCAUUUAAGAUUUGUUAUGUUUGAGUUUUUUUUUUUUUUAUUUAACCAACAUCCUCUUUAGAAAUGUUAUUGCGUUUUUAUUUUUUGACUUAUUUAAAUUUUUAGUAUUGUGUGCUUCAUAGAGUACUCUUUUCUUCAUAAGUUAAACAACGAUAAAGAUAGUUGGAUGAUAAGGGUUAGACUUUGUAAGAUGUGGGAGUCUGUUAAUACCAAGAAAAAUAGAGAGUUGAUUAGUGUGAACAUGAUUGUUAUUGAUGAAAAGGUUGAGUACACUUAACUAUACACAUUAAUAUAUUUUUUUAAUGUUAACAAAAAAAUAAUAAAUUUUCAUAAAUAACAUUAGCGUUAUAAGACUGAGUCAUCUUUGAAAAAAUAAUUUAUAUUUUUUAUCAGUUUUAUCGAGUACAAAAUAAUUAAAAAAAGAUAAUACUAAAUUCUUUUUUUAAAACCGCACGAAGUGCGGUUCUAUUUCCUAGUUAUUAAUAAAACACAUAUAAAAUAGUUUAUUGAAAUGCCUUCUAUUAUCAUUAUAGGUAUUAAUGGUUUGUAAUUAAAUUCAUACAAUACAAAUUAUUAUAAGACUUUGUGUUAAAUAACCUACUUGAUAUUAUAUUUAUACUUAAUGGUAAUUGAUUUUGGAAGAUUUAUUUAAAAAAGAUUAUCAUAUUACAAAUUUAAAGGAGGGCUAAAAAGUAAUUUCAAAUAAAAAAUUCUAUUUGAGUGAAAUUAUUUCAAACUCUAAGGGUGGUCACAAUUAUUUUACAAAAAUUCUCCACCCACUUGAACUGUUAACAAACUAUUUACUAUUAUUUUUAAAUUAUUUUUUUAGUACAAAUAUUGUAUAUCAUUAAUUAAAUCUAAUGGUUCAAAAUUAAUACAUUAUUGAUGCUGAACCCUUUUCCCUAAAUGACAAUUUUACGCCUGUUUCAAUUAUAUAAAGACAAAUAUAGGUUCCUACACAAUUGCGUUGUUACCCGUUUUAAUGAUGUCAAAUAUAUAGAUGGAAGUUGUGAAGCUGCUAUGUAUAUGAUGAAAGAAAGAAGAGAGAUUAAACAUAUUUGUUGUCAUGUGAUAAAGGAAGUGAUCAGAGAAUUAAAAUACCAUCUCAAAGUACAAUUGAACAAAUUGAAUAUGAAAACCCAAUAACCCAAAGUAGUAGCUUAAUUAAAAGCAUCAUAUUAAUUAACCUAUAAAUUAUACCAAUGAGCAUCAGCUUUUAAUUUCUCAUAGGGAUCAUCAUCAUCAUCAACUGAGUCCGGAAUCUUGGCCAUAACUCUCUCCCUAAUCUCCCUAAUCUCGCGAAUCUUCUCUUGUAAUUUAUCGCUAGCCAUCUCUUCAUCGGUCAUGGUAGGAAGCUUCUCCAAGAAGAAUCUUUCUUCUAAAGUCAGGAUUUCUUGAAUUCCUAACACUGAACAAGAUGGUUCUAUACUGGGGUUUGUUUGACCCAGUGAUAGGACCCAACGUUUUAAACAGCGCUGAUUCUACUGAUGCAGCAACUCCAACUGGGUCACAAGCUCUUAAUUGCUCCUUCAUCAUCUCUUCAUUAUUCUCUUCAUAAACUUUAGACAAUCCCUCUACAAGACGCUCACGAAAUUGGUUACGUGUAGCAUCAACAUCAGAACACUUGAACUCUUCAUUUUUAGAAACUGUAGCAGGAGGUUUCUUGGAACAAGUAAAAGCCGCAUGCUCCUCUUCUUCAAAUUUUCUCUUCUUUUUUAUAUCCGAUGGCAACUUGGAUUUCAUGGAUUCAGCAUAUUCCCUGCUCCUUCUGUUUCUUGACAAACCCAUGACCAUUGAACGCAAAAGGGAUCGACGCUUAAUGCUCUGAUUUCUUAGAUUAAUUUUAAAAUCAAUGUUUCUUGAUAAACCCAUGACAAUUAAACUCAAAAGGGAUCGACGCUUAAUGCUCUGAUUUCUUAGAUUAAUAUUAAAAUCAAAAGAGAUCGAUGAGAAAGGGAAUUGGGUGAGAUCAGAUGAACGAUCGAGGGGACUGAAUGAAUAAAAAUCGCAGAGAGAAAUUAGAGAACUGCUUAUGAAAGAAUUAAGAGAAGAAAGUCUCACAAACUCACUUGAUAUAUAUAUUCACGGUUUCAUUGCGACGAAGGGAUUCCUAUACUCAAUAGGAAAUCCUCGUGGGCGGUGAUUAUCGGCAACCCCUCGAUUCUCCUCAUAAAAUUCCUUUUCAAUUAUUUUUAUUUUAUUUUAAAAAAAUAUCUUUUUUAUUUUAAAAUAUGUCAUCUAGUUUUUUUUUAAUUAUUAAAAUUCAAAGUCGGAUUUUGUUAUUUUUCUUUUCUUUAGUAAUCUUGUUGUCGCCCUACACAUAAAUUUUGAAAUUUUAUGAAUGAUGGAUUUUUAAAUGUCAACCAUUAACUUAAAUUGCACUUGUUUUAAAUUAUAAUUUGAAAAGAAUUUUAAGUAUAAAAAUAUUUAAUUAAUUAAAAAUAAAAAUAAUAAUAUAUUAUUUAAAAUUUGUACAGCUUAUUUUAAUUUGAUAGAUUGAAGUGAGAGGUAAAAAAUAAAAAAAAUUAAUUAAUAAUGAAUUCAAGUAAUUUAUUGACAAACAUUUAAGUGUGUGUAAUUAUUAUUUUCUCUUUAAAUGUAAAUUUAUCCGAAAUGGAGUUUAGAAGUAAAAUGAAACGGUGCGAAUAGCUUCAGUUUUUCGAUAUCAGCAUUGAUGAUGAUGCAGUACUGGCGGCUGAGUGGUGAUUCGCGGACUUCUGAUGAUGUGGCGCAAUCUUUGUUGUUGCUCGCUUGGUAAUGACGCGUCAUUUAAAAAGCAGGUGCCACAAGUAGGGCACUUCCACUUGCACACUGCGGAAUUGGAUCCAUCAAUUCCCAUCCUAAGAAGAAAAUCAACUCCGUAUUUGUCGUAAACGCCCAAAUGGCAAACGCGAUAAAUCUAUUUAACGGGGCCCACUAGACUUAACCCCAUUGGCCCCACCAAAUCCCCCCUCCACGUCCAAAUCUAUUUAGCUCACUUUUACUUUUUGCCCUUGUAUAUUAUAAUUUAAUAAAAUAUAAUUUUUUUCGGUCUUAAUGGUUCCUUAUUGACUCUAACUAUUUUUCUAUGGACCAAUAGGCCUUUGGUUCAUUAAGAGAAUUCUUUCACUUAUAAUAAUGAGUAUAAGAAUUUCAGCCUUUAUAAAAAUAUUUAUAGGGUUUAUUUAUAAUUCUCUCUUAAUUAUCAAAUAAUUGAGUGGAGUCAGUCUAUUCCUCACGAAAUGUGAAUGGAAUUGACAGCCCUCGAAUAUUUAAGAAGGUUUGAAGAAUUUGAGCAGUACUUCAGAAGAGUACAUGCCACGAAGAAGGUCCCAAUUAUAGAAUUAUAGAAUCUGUUUGUAAAUAUUAAUUCUAAUACCUACAAUCUUGUAUAACAGUAUUAAAAAAAAAAAUUAUUUUUCUAUAGGGUCCAACUGUAAUACAACGGCUGUAUCUCGUACAACCGCUUUUUAUCAUUUUUUUAUUUGCGCAUAUAACCGGCCACCAAAAGUAGCGGUUAUACUUAUACAGGUAAAAUAAAGGCAAAAAUUAAAGGUCAUUAUCGUAUAGCUACCCUUCUUUAAGCAAAUAUCAAACUAGAAAACUACCAAAGACCCCCCUCAAAUUACAUGAAAUAUACUUUUUUAUUUUUUCAUAAAAUUGAAAUAUACUUUUUUUAAAGAACAUUAAAAGAUACUUAAAAUAUGACACUUCUAUAUUAGUAAGAAUAAUUUAAAUAUAAUUUAAUGAAAUUGAUUUUAAAUUAAUUGAAUUAUUUAUAAUAUUAUAUUAUAAAUUUGAAGAUAUUUUACAUAAAAAAAUAAGAAUAUUUUUAUUAACAUUUUGAUAGUGCAAUGCAGUUUUUCUGUAGAAUCGUAUUAAAUUAUAUUUAUUUCUAAAUAAAUAAAUAAAAUCAAUCUCUAAAUGCGCAUAAAGUGACUCAAACCUCUACCUACCAAUAUGAGAAUAACUUUUAUCCAAGUAUUGGAUAAUUAUGAAACAAUUAUCUUGUUCAUGGUAUCAAAUAUUCUAAUUACAUAAAAUAUUAUUAGUUUUCUUAUUGUGAUUAGUGGUAGUGGCUAGUAUCUAUAUGUUAUAUGGAUACCUUCUAAAAACAAUUUGUAUAUUAGAUAAAUAUAAUAUAUCUAAUGUUUCAAUUUUUAAAUAAUAUUCACAAACAAUCAAUUGUUCAAAUUAAUUCAUACUACAAAUUUAUGUGAAUUUAGUUAUUUUAUUUAUUCUUUAAUACUAUAUUAUUUGUAUGGUUAUAUUUAUUCAUUGUUUUAAGUCAUAUAACUUUCUAUAGAUACUUAAAACAAACACAUUAAUACGUAAUGUUAAUUUUGAUCUAUUGCCAUUAGUGGUAUCAUGACUAAUAAUCUAAUAACAUUAAAAUUCAUUUUUUUUUUUAUAUUGGUAAUAACCAGAAUUGUCAACCAAUAAUGAAAAAGUAUAAAUGAGUAUAUCAUACAUAAAGUGAUAAAGAUCAAAGUAUAAACCAAAUUAAGAUCAAGAAAUUUGAUCAAGUGGUUAAAAAAAGACGUUUUAAAAUUAUAAUUGAAACAAGAAAAAGUUAAGAAUGAUGAAAAAAUGACUAAUGAAGGAGGCCAAGGAGAAAUAAUUUCGUGGGUGUUAGAAGAAAAUAAUAUAUUAAUAAAUUAACCAUAUCAAUAAAUAUUGUUACUGUAUACAUUCUUAUUACAUUUAACUAUAAAUCUCCAGCACAUGAUGAUGAUGAUGAUAUUCGUAGUAAUAGUAAAAAUAAAUAAUAGUAGUAAUAGUACAAAUAAAAUACUGGGCUUGUUUUGAUUAAAAGAAAAAAUAUAAAUAUAAUGAUAAGACUAAUAAUAACAUGAAUUUUUUGUUAAAGUGAUAAGAAAAUAAUGAAACUAUUUUGGAAAGAAAAUAGAGUGGAAAAAAUUUAAUAUGAAUUCAAAAGAAAAAAAACAAAACCUUAAAGUAAAUGAUAAAUUCAAUAAAAGGAAUAAGUAUAGAUCUAAAAAUAAACUUGAAAUAUCCACCUAAAUGUUGGAAUCCAAUAAAAGGAGUAGGAAUAUAAAACAAACAAUUAAUUAAAACAAAAGUAGAAGAGUCAACUAAAAAAAUUGGAAUGGCUUAAUAAGAAUUAGAUAAAUUGCAUACAGGUCUAUAUACUUGGAACAUCUAUGCAAAAUGUUGGAACUUAAUGAAAAUAAUAGGAAUUUGUAUAAAAGAAAUGUUGAUAAAAUUCAUGAUCAAAUCUCCUGAAGUAACGAAUUUUGAUAUUGAAUAAAUAAAGAUAUUUUAGCACUGGUUUUAAUUUUUUUAACUUAUAAAAAUUGGUUGUGAUGGCUUAAUAAUAUAAAAAUAGUUCAAAAAUAGACUUUAUUGUUGAUUUUUCAAAAUUAUCUUGUAAGUUGAUAUUUGUAAAAAUAAGAGGGGGUCACACAUAAUUUACAUCAAUAACGAAAUCAUUUACUGUAAUAAAAUAAGACUCGGAGCAGCUACCGAGAAUUUUGGCAUCAGUGAAUACAAUUGGAAUAUAAAACAAAAAAUUGGUGGAAAUAAGAGUUGAAGAUUUGACCUAAAAGUAGGGACGAUUUACCAAUGAUUUGAUAAAUUUCAAUGGGAAGUAUAAAUUUAACAGUAAACUUGAAACAUUUACCUAAAUGUUGGAGUUUAAUAAAAAGUAUAGGCAUAUAGAACCAAAAAAUGGUGGGAAAAAAGUGGGACAGUCAACCUAAAAGUUGAAACUACUAAACAAUAAAUUUGAUAAAUUUCAACAGAAAUUGAGAUCUAAAAAAUAAACUUGAAACUUCUACAAAACAAAUUGGAAUUUAUUAAAAAAAGACAGAAUAUAGAACUAAAAAAUAGUGGAAAAAGAGUUGACGAACUUAACCUAAAAAUUGUAAAGGACUUACCAAGACUUUGAUAAAUUCCAAUAGCAAGUAGAAAUUUAAAAAAUGAACUUGAAACUUCUACUCAAAAUGUUAGAAUUCAAUAAAAAAGAGUGGGAAUAUAGAAUCAAAAGUGGUGGAAAGAAAAACCUCACCCAAACUUGGGAGUAACUCACAAAGAUUUUGAGUAAUUCUAAUUGGAAGUAGGGAUACAAAAAGUAAACUUGAAAAUUUCACAAAAAAAAUUAAAAUUCAAUAAAAAGAGUAUGAAUAUAAAACCAAAAAGUGGUGGAAAUAAGAGUUAAAGAAGUUAACCUAAAAGUAGGGACAACUUACCAAGAAUUUGAUAAAUUUCAACAUGAAGUAGGGAUCUAAAAAAUGAACUUGAAACAUCCACUCAAAAUAUUGAAAUUUGAUAAAAAGAGUAGAAAUAAAUAACCCAAAAGUGAUGGGAACAAGAGUUGAAAAGCUUGACCUAAAAGUUGGAAUAACUUACUAAGAAUUUGAUAAAUUUUAAUGCAAAGUAGAGAUAUAAAAAAAAAACUUGAAAUAUUCACCUAAAAUGUUGGAAUUUAAUAAAAAGAAGAGGAAUGUAGAACCCAAAAGUGAUGAGAAGAUGAGUUGAUGAACUAAACCUAGAAAUUGGAAUAACUUACUAAUAAUUGGAUAAAUACCAACGGGAAGUAGAGAUCUAAAAAUGAACUUGAAACUUCCACCCAAAAUGUUAGAAUAUUUUAAAAAGAAUAGGAAUAUAGAAUUUAUAAGUAGUAGGAAUAAGAGUGGAUGAACUUAACACAAAAGUUGGAAUAACUUAUAAAGAAUUUGAUAAAUUCUAAUACGAAAUAUGGAUCGAAAAAGUAAACUAGAAACAUCUAUCCAAAAUAUUGAAACUCAAUGAAAAUAGUAGGAUUGUAAGAUAUAAAAGUUGUGGAAAAAUGAGUAAGAAUAACUAACUAAAAACUAACUAAAAAUUAGAUAAAGUCUAACAGAAUGCAGGAUAUACAAAGUAAACUUGAAAUAUCUAUCUAAAAUGUUGGAAUUUAAUGAAAAGAGUGGAAAUAUAAAAGAAAAGACGGGUGAAAAAUGAGUUUGAAACAACUUACGAAAAUUUAGAUAAAUGAUAAUGAAAAAUAGGAAUUUGAAAAGUAAACUUGAGACAUGUAAUAUAAAUAUUGGAAUGUAACCAAGAAAAAAAAGUAGGAAUAUGACUUUUUUGUGAAAUAUUUGAAGUAUUUUUAUAACUUUUUAUACUAUUUAUAAUUUUAAAAUUAUUAAAACUUUUUUAUAUGAUUUAAAUGCAAUUUUCACUUUUUUCCCUUUUUUUGAUAGUUUUUCACACUAAAAACAAUUAAAAAUGUAAUUUUUAUUUAUUAACUAGUUAAAAACCAAUUGUACCGGUACCAUGCAUGCGCUGCAUGAGAUAAAGCGUUGUAUGGUACGUUGACUCUAAUAAUUAAUAUAAUCCAUGUAGGUUCAAAACGUCAAGUCACAAGUUUUUGUUUUCUUACAUAUCUUUUCAAGGUCAUAUUUUGGGGAUUACGGUUUGGUGUUCUUGCUUAACUUUUAUGCAGCGUUUACUAAAUUGAAAUCGGAAUGAGAGAAAUGAGAAUAGUGAAUGCGAAUCAGAAUAAGUUGUUUACUUGAACUGUAGGAAUCGAAAUCGGAAUGAACUGAAUUGCCAUUAUAUUUACUGUUUUGAAAUUGGAAUCGAAAUGAGUUAGAUUGUAACAAAUUACUAAAAAGUACUUAAUGAAUUAUUGCCAUCAUUAUUAUUAACUAAUAUAUCAAUUAAUUGUAAAAAAAUUAAUUAAUUAAUUAUAAUAAUAUACUAAUUAAUUAUAAUAAUUAUAUUACUAAUUAUUAUAAAAAUAUAUUAACUAAUAAUAUUAAUGUUAAUUACUUAAUUAUAACAAUAUAUUAAUUAUUUUGAUUAUUUAUUCAAGAGCUAUAAUUAUUAAUAUAUUAUUGUUAAUAAUAUAUUGACAUAUUAAUUAAUAGUAAUACUUAUAUUAAUUCAUUGAUAAUAAUAUAUAAAUUAAUUAUAAUAAUUAUAUUAAUAAUUAUUGUAAUAUUAUAUAAAUUGAUUAAUUAUAAUAACAAUAAUAAUGUAUUAUUAUUGUGAUUCUUUAUUCAAAAAUUAUAAUUAUUAAUAAUUAUUGUCAAUAAUAUGUUAAUAUAUUAAUUAAUAGUAAUAAUCAUAUUAAUUAAUCAAAAAUAAUAUAUAAAUUAAUAAUAAUAAUAUUAUUAAUUAUUAUAAUAGUAUAUUAAUUAAUUAAUUACUUAAUUACAAAUGAGUACAAAGUGGGCAUUUUUAAUUUUGGGGGAGGGCAAAAUGUCAAUCAUGAGAAUGAGAGACUCAUUCCCACCUCCCCCUUAGGAAUGAGUCUCCCAUUCCUCAUUUCCAAAUUGUGGUGGGUCCUAAGAUUCCAAUUCCGAUUCUGAUUCCAGGCUCUAUUUUACAAAGUAAACACUGUCAAUAAUUCCGAUUCUAGAUAUGAAUUUCCUAAUUUGGGAAGUAAACGCAACAUUAAAGAUUUUAUUAUACCUAUCUACUUUAGUUAGUAAUGACUAAAAUUUAUUCUCUUUUUAAUUUUUUUCUAUUUUUCCAAAAUGUAUCAUAUUGAAAUAAAAUCUUAAUUCUAGAACAUCCCGCUUGUUUGCUUUUAGCCUCGUCGUGCAUAAUUAAAAUACACUUCACUUCCAUUAUCAUCAUUGUGAUAUCAACCGAAAAAAGUUUGAAAAGAGCAAAAUCCAAAAAAGUUAGUUUUAUUUUUUUGUGCAUAUUUUUUUCGUUGAUUAAAAUGGCUAUAACAGACAUUAAUUAAGAAAAUUUUGAUUUAUCCUACAAACCAAGACUAGGCAUGGAGUUUGAUUCAGACGAAGUAGCAUACGAAUUCUAUAAUAGGUAUACCUUAAGUAUGGGCUCUAACAUCGGCUGCAUGGCCACUUACUAUAAAGCGAAGGUCGGCCGCUAUGACCGAAAGAUGAGAGAGGAUGUUCAAUCGGCCAAAACCAAAGCUGACGCUGCUGAGAAGAAAGUAGGAGAUCUGAACCUCGAGAACCUGAAGUUGAUAGAGCGGGAGUCCCUCGCGCAGGCAAAGGCAAUCACUCUCGAGGAGGAGCUGACUAGGGCCAAUGAGGACCUGCAGAGACAAAGGGCUGCCUACGAGGCUCAGCUCGAAUCUCUCAAAGAUUCUCACUAGGUUCAGGUUGAGAACCUAGAGAAGGAAGCUGAUAACCAUUAUGACCAGGGGCUUCGACAUUCUUAUCGCUACAUCAUGGCCGUCCUUGGGAAGCAGCAUCCUGAUCUAAAGAUGGACGAGCUUGCUGCUGGUGUUGCCCAAUAUAUGGAUGAGGAGGCAGCCAAAGAAGAUAUUGAAGAGUUGGAGCCAAAUGCCACCGAGGAGGGAACCUCUGCUCCUCGUGCGGUUCUUGCUGAUGUUGCCGAGGCAAGUACCCCCCCUAGAGCAACUGGGGAAACCCCCCUGCUCCUAAGGUGCAGCAGCCAGUAGAGGCAACCCAGCUUACUGACCUGCCGUCCUCUUAAGCGUGUCUUGUGUUGUAGUUGCUUUUUUCGAACAUUGUAUGUUAGGAUUAGCAGCUUUGCAAACUAUUGGCAGAUUAAUAAAAAUGUUCUUACUUGCUUUCUCGUAUUGUAGUUGCAAAUUUUAUAACGCUUGGGAGCUUGCUCGUUUUUUCUUGGUCGAGCAGAUCCUGGCACGCUUGGCUUUUGUUCUCGCCAUAAAACAGGCUUUGAGACUUAGCCUUUGUAUGCCUUAGAAAUUUUUCAACGCUUGGGAGUCUGCUCGCCUUCGCUUGGUCGAGCAGAUCCUGGCACGCUUGGCUUUUGGUCUCGCCAUAACACAGACUUUGAGACUUAGCCUUUGCAUGCCUUAGAAAUUUUACAACGCUUUGGAGUCUGCUCGCCUUCGCUUGGUCAAGCAGAUCCUGGCACGCUUGGCUUUUGGUCUUGCCAUAAAACAGGCUUUGAGACUUAGCCUUUGCAUGCCUUAGAAAUUUUACAACGCUUGGGAGUCUGCUCGCCUUCGCUUGGUCGAGCAGAUCCUGGCACGCUUGGCUUUUGGUCUCGCCAUAAAACAGGCUUUGAGACUUAACCUUUGCAUGCCUUAGGAAUUUUUCAACGCUUGGGAGUCUGCUCGCCUUCGCUUGGUCGAGCAGAUCCUGGCACGCUUGGGUUUUGGUCUCGCCAUAAAACAGGCUUUGAGACUUAGCCUUUGCAUGCCUUAGAAAAUUUUCAACGCUUGGGAGUCUGCUCGCCUUCGCUUGGUCGAGCAGAUCCUGGCACGCUUGGCUUUUGGUUUCGCCAUAAAACAGGCUUUGAGACUUAGCCUUUGCAUGCCUUUGAAAUUUUUCAACGCUUGGGAGUCUGCUCGCCUUCGCUUGGUCGAGUAAAUCCUGGUACGCUUGGCUUUUGGUCUCGCCAUAAAACAGGCUUUGAGACUUAGUCUUUGCAUGCCUUUGAGAUUUUUACACCGUUACAAGUGACUGAAAUUCCUCGACGUUUUAUUAAUUGCUGAAUUCAACUUACAUAAGAAUACAUAAUAACGAGAACAAAUGGAAAUAACUUUAAGACAUUAUCAGGUCUUACUGGAAUUACUUCUUGAGGUGCGUUGCGUUCUAGGGGCGUUUCACCUCGUGGCCAUCCGCGCGAACAAGCUUGUAGGCUCCGGAUCCAACUACCUGCUUGACCCUGUAUGGCCCCUCCCAGUUUGGUCCAAGUACUCCUUGUGUCGAGUCUUUCGUAUUCUGAUUCACCUUCCUUAGUACCCAAUCGCCGACCUUGAACUGUCGUAUACACACCUUUUGGUUGUAAUAUCGAGCCACUCUUUGCUGGUAAACGGCUGAUCACUUCGAUGCUUGCUCUCUCUUCUCGGUCAGCAGGUCCAGAUUCAAGCACAUCUGGUCGUUGUUUUCCUGCUCAUCGAAGUGAUCGGUCCGGUGUGUGGUCGUCCCUAUCUCGACUGGUACAAGCUUCAUGUCUGAAGGCCAAAGCGAACAGAGUUUCACCGGUUGCUGUUUUGUGGGUUGUCCUGUAUGCCCAUAAUACACCUGGUAGCUCAUCAACCCAUAUACCUUUUUUUACUCCAAGCCUGGUUUUCAGGAGCCUCUUUAUUAUCUUGUUGGCUGCUUCUACUUGUCCAUUAGACUGAGGGUGAGAAGGCGAGCAAUACUUCAGCUCUAUCCCGAGGUUUUGGCAGAAAUCCCUGAAGUUAUGGUUGUCAAACUGCCUGCCAUUGUCUGUUAUCAAGGCAUAAGGGAUCCUGUACCGACAGACCAGGUUUCUCUAUACGAAGUCAGUCGUCUUUUUCUCUGUGCUCAUGCUGAGGGCUUCCACCUCUAUCCAUUUCGUGAAGUAGUCUAUCGCUACUAUUGCAUGUGUUGUUACCCCUCGUCCCUUUGGCAACGGCCCAUAGAAGUGAGCUUCUCUGGUGGUUGGGUAGAGAAAUUUGCAAAGCUCUAGCAGCUCACGCAACUCCGGGUUUUCUCCUGCGCAUCCUGGUGCAUCGUCGGCCAGAAAUAUCCCUGCCUUAGAGCCUUGUGGGCAAAGGAUCUCGCGCCAGAAUGAUUUCCGCAAACCCCUUCGUGUACUUCUCUCAGUAUGUAAUCCGCGUCAUCCUCGUCCAAACACCGAAGGAACGGUAGAGUAUAUUCUCGUCGAUAUAGCACCCCAUCAAUCAUCGUGUACCUCGAGGCCUGGGCUCUGAUCUUCCGAGCUCGUAGUUUAUCUAGUGGUAAUACCCCGUCUAUAAUGUACGAGAUUAUUGGGUCCAUCCAUGAGCAUUUCUGUUCUAUCCAUAUCACCUCCAAAUUCUGCUCGAUAUUGGGGCUGGACUUCACCUCCAACGGGAUCGACUUAGGCAUUUUUGGAUCUGCUACAGCUGCCAUCCUGGCCAGAAUAUCUGCUCGACUAUUCUCCUCCCUUGGAAUUUGUAUCACCUCAACCGCCUCAAACUUCCCAAUCAUCUGCUUGACUCUCUUCAAAUACUGUUCCAUCUUCCAAUCUCUUGGUUGAAAUCUUUCACUGACAUGAUUUGCAACCAGUUGGGAAUCAGUUUGGAUUUUCACCCUAUCUGCUUUCACUGCCUUGGCCAAUUGCAAGCCUGCUAUUAAAGCUUCAUAUUCUGCCUGGUUGUUUGUGGCUGUGAACUCGAACUUUACAGCAUAUGAGAUUUCCUCCCCUUCUGGGCCUUCCAAGACAAUCCCUACUCCAGACCCCUGCUCCCUUGAGGAUCCAUCUACCGACACCUACCACACUCGAUUCUCGUUGUUGGCUCUAGCGGCAUCCGGCUGGUUGAAACCUACUUCGGGCUCCGAGAAUUCUGCCACGAAGUCGGCCAUUGCCUGGGCCUUUAUUGCUGCUCGGGGCUUAAAGCUUAUGACGAACUCACUUAACUAUAUGGCCCAUUUCACUAGCCGACCAGAAGCAUCCGGCUUGUGUAGAGUCUGCCGUAACGGUUGGUUUGUGAUUACCGAGACGGGGAAUGCCUGAAAAUAUGGCCUCAGCUUCCGAGCAGCAACCACAAGAGAUAGUGCCCAUUUUUCUAACGGCGGAUAUCUGGUCUCGGCAUCUAGUAGGGCCUUGCUCGUGUAAUAUAUUGGAUAUUGAACCCCUUCUUCCUUUCUCACCAGAACAGAACUCGUGGCAUGAUCCGAUACCGCCAUAUAUAGGAACAGCACAUCCCCAUCUCGCGGCGUGGACAACAGAGGUGCUUGCUGCAAAUAUUGCUUCAAAUUCUGGAAGGCUUCCUCGCAUUCAGGGGUCCACUCUGUUUUCUUUCCUCUCCUUAUCACUUGAAAGAAUGCCUGGCACUGAUCUGUUGCCUUGGAUAUGAACCGAUUCAAGGCUACCAACCUCCCCGUAAGGCUCUGUAUCUCCUUCAGGUUACGAGGAGAUCUCAUCUGCACGAUUGCCUGGAUCUUCUCGGGAUUCAUCUCGAUCCCCCGAUGACUUACUAUGAACCCAAGGAAUUUUCCUGACUCAACCCCAAAUGCACACUUCUCCGGGUUGAGCUUCAUCUUGUAUUUCCUCAAAAGUCCAAAUGUCUCCUCGAGGUGUUCGACAUGUUCCUUCGGGAUUUUUGAUUUGGUUAUCAUGUCGUCCACAUACACCUCCAUUUUCUCCCAAUCAGCGGCCCCCGUAUUUUUAAAACCGAAUGGCAUUACCCUGUAACAGAACAAACCCUGGUUAGUAAUAAAUGUCGUGCUCUCCUCAUCUUGCUCGAACAUUGGGAUUUGGUUGUAUCCCGAAAAUGCAUCCAUGAAGCUGAGCAAGCCAUGUUUGGCUGUUGAGUCAACCAGCUAGUCGAUCUUGGGUAAGGGAAAGCUAUCUUUCGGGCGCGCCUUAUUGAGGUCUGUGAAAUCUACACACAUCCUCUACUUGCCAUUAGCCUUUUUCACUAAAAUCACAUUCGAUAUCCACUCAGGGUAGUUAACUUCCCGAAUGAACCCUACUUUCAACAGCUUCUCCACCUCGCCAUUUAUAGCCUCAUACAUCUCCUGGUUGAAGCACCUCAUUUUCUGCCUUACUGCCCGAGCACCUUUUUUUAUAGCCAGCCUAUGAUAUGCGACCUCGGGGUCGAUUCCCGGCAUGUCUUCAUGUGUUCAAGUAAACACAUCUGCAUGAGCUCGUAGGCAUUGUACCAACUCCCGUUUCUGCUCUUCUUUAAUCCUCGACCCGAUUCGGAUCGUUUUUCCUGGAUCAUCUUGUUCCAAGCUUACUGUCUCCAGCUCCUCUACAGGCUCCUGUCUGCCAUUCUUGGCCCCCACUCGAGUAUCAAGGGAUGUAAUCUGCAUUGCUUCCCUUGCUGCUGUGGAGUAACAGCUUCGGGCAAUUCUCUGGUCUCCUCGCACCACUCCAACUACCCCAUUCACCCGGUACUUGAGAGCUAGAUAAUGGUUGGAAAGUAUCGUUUUGCUCAUCCUCAGAAAGGGAUGGCCUAGGAUCAUCUGGUAAGGACCCUCUUCAUCGACCACCACAAAAUCCAGUAUCAUAGUCUUUUCUGUCGGGGAGCUACUAAUUGUGAUGGGCAGUUCAACCACGCCAAGAGGAACCAACUUUCCUCCUCCAAAUCCCUUCAGGGAGGUAUUUGUAUGUUCUAACCUCAGGUCUGCUAUUCCCAUCUCCUCCAGAGUUGACUUGAACAAAACAUCGACCGAACUUCCUGUGUCUACCAGAAUCCGGUCAAACUUCUUGCUAGCAGCGGUGACUUUAAUGACUAAGGCAUCCUCAUAUGGAUAUAGAAUCCCUUCCCCAUCCUCAUAUGUCCACAUGAUCAGAACUUGCCUAAUUCUUGCUCGCUUGGCUGCUGGGGUGUUGAAGAACACUUCUCUACUAGUCAUGGCAUACUUAGCGUAGUUCUUCCUCGAUCUGUUGGAAUCUCCCGCCAAUGUUGGGCCCCCAGCAAUUACUCUUACCACAGGCUGCUCGUGGCUCAAGUUCCUGUCACUCUGCUACCCUUCAUCUGACGAGGCCACCAUAGGGAAAGUCUCAUCUAUAAACUCGUUCAGGUAUUGAUUUCUCUCCAAAUCUUCAACCUGGGUCUUGAGAUCUCUGCAUUCAGUCAUGGUAUGACCGUAAGUGCCAUGGAACUUGCAAUAGCAUCCCCUAUCUCUCCUGUUGGGUAGUUUUGUUAUUGGGGUAGGGAGGUACAAUAAUCUCCGGUCCUUUAUGGCCUCAUACACUUCGUCCAGGGGCAUCUUCAAGGAAGUAUAUCACCCAUAGUCUUGGCUCUGGUCGAUCAUAUGUACCGCCCUUUCCCUGCUUGUGCCGCUCUGAACUGGAUGGGAUAGCAGUGCUUCUGGCCUGCUUCCUCUACCACCGUGGGGGUGUGAAUGAGGAUGACUAUAUGUCGGGUCAUGUCUUCUCCAUGAAUCCUUGGCUGGUGAACGAGGAGGUUGCGCCCUGCUGCGCUGAUAUUGGGGUGGCCUCUGAUGAGGUUGGUAAGAGGUGACCCGACCUCCUACUUCGCUGCUUGCGGCAUGGCGGUCCCUCCUCUUAAUCGACCCACUUUUUGGUAGGGCUCUCUUCUCUUUCCUCCUCAACCCUUCUAGCUGGUCUGUCUUAAUCCGUGCGACCUUUUCCUCCUCGAUCUCUCUGUCUCUUUUAGCCUGCUUGUAAGCGGCUGAAUAUGUCUGAAUAGUUGGGCUUCUCAAAUUGUACCACAGCCGUCCUAUCUUCACCCCUUCUUUCAAUUCUCUUAAUGCAUGAGGAUGGUUGAAGGCUCCCAAGUCGAGGACAGCACGGUGGAACCUUUUGAUGAAUUCCCGAAGGAUUUCCUCCUCUCUCUGCUUCAUGCUCGUCAGCUCCAUCAUAUCAUCUUCCGGUGCCAUUGCCCCACGAAACUGCUUUGUAAAUUCUUGGCACAUCUGCUCGAAGGAUUUAACGCUCCCCCGAAGAAGUUUCUUGUACCACUCGCGUGCUCGUCCCUCUAGAGAUAGUGGGAACACUCUGCAUCUUUGAGCUUGGGAUAAUCUUUGCACCCCAGUUAUGUCGUUAAAGCGCUCUAUGUGCACCAAUGGAUCAGUUCACCCCGAAUAUCUAAAGUUUGGGAGGCGAAAAUCCCUCGGAAUGACUGCCCUCAUGAUUUCUGCCGAUAGCGGGGAUUCUCCGUCUAGCAUGAUCCUCAAACCUGGUGCUCUGCUUCGUCCUUGCAUGUCAUCUAUUAUCUGCGCUAAUCUGCGUACUUCUUCUUCCAGCUGUACAGCACGACCAGGGUCACAUGCUGCAACCUGAUCUCACUCUUGCUCAACAUCAUGCAGGUGUUGUCAGAGUUCUCUUUCCUCUGCAUUCGCCACUCCAUCAUCGUUAUCUAAAAUCUGUCUCCCUGGGAAUUGAUCUUCUCCUCUAUGGCUUCCCCUCGUAGAGACGAGUUACCCCCCUCACCACCAAAUCUUCUGGUGGUCCGACCUCUCAUCAUAUUAUCGUGCCCUGGUGUCAUUUCGUCACUUCUCACCCCUUCCUCACGAGCACCCCUUCGUUCACUCCUCAUUUCAUGUAGAAUGGUUGUCAGGGUCUCCAUCUUCUUUUCCAUCUAUUCUAUUUGAUUAUACAUGGCUUUUUCCCGUGCUUCAUUGGCUAUCUCCCUCAAUGUCACAGACUCAUUAAGCCUCAAGUCACCUCAUUGUGCACUACUUCCUCCUACAUACAUUGUUUCUUCAUUUGCUUUACUCAUCUUCUUUCUAUCAACAGAAACUUUUUUAUCAGCUCCCCACAGACGGCGCCAAAAUGUUGAUGCGAGAUUCUGGUUUUCUGCUCGUCCGUGACCAGGAUCUCUUCUCAACUAGUUCUACCACGACCAGGAUCCCUCCUUACAAGACCUCUUCUCCACAGAUUCCUGCGUAUACAGAAACAAGUCAGAGCACGCCGGGUGUUUUCUCGGCGUAAACCCUCCGACGCUCAAGUCAAAAACGUAGGUUUCGCUUUCCUGGGAAAAUCGGCCACUAAUCUUAUGGCUCGUUUUCAAUCUCUCAAUCAAGAGCUCUUUUUUGUCUUAGUUUUAAUAUAAAAAAGUCUAACCCUUUUACCUUCGUUGGCUACCUUUUUAUAGGCUCUCUCUGAAUCCCGGCCUUUCACAACCCAUGUCCAUUACCCCCUCAACUCUUGGGAGUGGACGCUCUGUUAUCGUAGUCGUGGUUGGAUGAACUUUGUGCCUUGAUUCUCGAGUAGGAGUGCACAUAUGUCUUGCCAACCGUCAUUAACCGGGUCUCCUCACCUCGACCUCUAGCAGGAAUGGUUUUAUGCUCUUGGUAGAAGGCCGGCUCCCGUUGUGGCCCCGUGGAUGGCACAUUCGUGAACGAGCAGGAAUAUUCCUGCUUGUGUUCCCCUGCUACCAGACUUCUGUGGAAUAUUCCAGUAACACGCAUGUGGGGAUUAUUGGCGGAGGCAUGGCGGUUCUGGCUUGUGCUUUGAGGUUGGAUAAGAGAGGUGUCAAACCCACUGUUUUUGACUUGGUUGCCUUUUCUUUUGUACUUUUGUGUUUUUGAUGUGGGUUAUGUUUGUAUUUGAUGAGAGUAUAUGCUUAUUUAAUGUUAAUUGAAAAAAAUUGAUUUAAAACAGUCUAGCAUGUGUUGUUUUACAGUGAAUACUAUUUUCGUGAAAAGGGUUUUGUAUAUCGUUCAUUGCCUGUAGCUAUUGUGAUAGAUAGUGUAUGCACCUUUGGCAAGCUCAACUCUUUUUAGAAUGCAUUAUUGAUUUGAUUAUAAGCAUGCUUAGAAUUAGGUUGUAGUGAUUUUUAAGCUGUAGUUGUUGAUGAAUGAAAUUAAAACAUUAGCUGCUAAAUAAAGUGGGGGUUUAUCAAAUAUUUUGGUCAACCACAUGCAUGUAAUUAUUUUUUUAUUUUUUCUUCUUAACAAUGUGCUUUGCUGUAUCAGGGGAAUCCUGGUCUAGAAGGAAGAAUGGGAACCAGAAUGAUUGGUCCUCAACCACUGAUAUUUGAUCAUGCUGCUCAAUUCUUUACUGUGAAUGAUUGUCGGUUUGGUGAGUUAGUUAAUGGUUGGCCACAAAGAGGUCUGGGACUUAAUGAAGCAGUGCUGAUAAUGAUCAUAAAUGAGGAAAAGAAUAACCAGCAUGAACAUUUUGCACCACUGUAUUAUGGAUGCAAUUCCUGCGAAGUAACAGGCUCUAUAUAUGAAUUAUUAAUUUGAUUUAGAGUUAGUUAUUGCAACAUUUUACAUGGUAUAUCAUUACUUUUAAAUGAUGUAAAUGAUUCGUACCAUGGCUAAAUACAUUUUGAUGCUUUUUUUCGACCUCUAUGGUUAAUGUAGUGAGACCUUGCUGGAUAAGUAAUCUUGAGCCAUUUAAUGGGAUGUGGUAUUUGGGAGAGAAUGGGAAAGCCUCAUGGGCAGUUUGAUGUGGUUAUUACUGCUCAUAAUGGUGAUACAGUGCGGCCAGCCUUUCUCUUUCUCUCUCUAUGUGAAUGUUGUAGUCAUGUAGUCGUUUGCAUUACGAAAAUGAAGGUUAUUGUUUUAUGUAGUUGCAUGAAUGUUACAAUGAGCUUUGCUAUUGGAAAAUAGGAAAAAAUGAAAAAGGAUAUCUGAUUUUACAUUCUACCGUUACAAUGGAUUAGGAAUGGUGAAGAAUCUUAUUUGGUACUGGGAAACCCUUCCAAAAUGAAAAAUCCUGUAUAGUUUGUUGAAAUGUUUUUUCUUUUGUGGGAUACUAAAACUUUAAAAAGAUUGGAAAACUUCAUAAAAUUUAAUACAGAUUUUUUCACUCUAAAUUUUGAGUAAAUGAUAGCUAGAUUACAACUAAGAUUAAUAGCAACUCUUAGCUAUAAACAUCUAGAAAGCUGGUACUAAAUGCCAAUUUUGAAAUAGAACACGAAGACGUAGGCUCCUAAGCAGUAGGAAGAGCCCGGGCCUCUGAUCGUGUGCCUGUUGAAGAAUGGGCUGGCGAAUUCUAAGCAGUGGCUUGGUUAGGGAAAGCCGCCGAAGUGAGUCUCCAUUGGGAAAUUGUCACCGCUUAUGGACUCAAACAUGGGUGACUAUCCGUGACCAGGAUGAAGCUUGGGUGAAACUGAGUAGGUUAGAAUAAUAUGAGCUGACUUUCAAUCUAUGACAUUCAUUCAAUGACUUUGGAUAUGUCCACAACUCAUCAUCUUGAUAAUGUCCUAUCAAUGUCUUGUAAACUUCCCUUAUGAGUAUGAAAGAAUUGAAAUUAUCUUUAUAAAUGUACGUCCAAAUAGGGUUCUAGACCUAGAAGAUGAGGUUAUGUUUAUUUCUUUUCUGUUUAUUGUUGAUUGUAGGCUGUUUAUUGCUUGUGUCUGCUGUUUACAUUUUGGCUUUGUGUUGUGUGUAAUAGUUCCUUGAUGUAAUGGGAGGAAAAUUUGUGAAUUGGCUGCUUGGUUCAUCUGGCUUACCUCUAAUAGCUAGACAAAUGAAGUUAUAUAUACUUUGAAAUAUUAAGUUUUUUUGUAUUAUUAUCUAGCCUAUCUUUAUUUAGUAUCGGCCAUUUACAAAUUAUUUCAAAGAUUCUUGAUGCAUUUUCCUGGUUUGCAGAGGCUGGAACUAAGUUUUAUAUGGGCCCUUCUUGUCGCAUCUGAGGAUCCCCUUCCACCGGGCAGUGCAGUGCAGUGACUUUAGAGGAGCCUUUGUUAGAGGUGUUGAUUCUGUCUCAUGGAUGGCAAAUAACUCAACGAAGCUUUUGAGUUCUCAAAGUGAUGGUUCUCAUUAUUGGACCUUCUUCAACACUGCAGCUUACGGGGAAAGGAAACAAGGUUCCACUGGUCAGUUUGUUUGUAAAUGCGUGUCUUGUUUAAAUACUUAUGAUUAUAUACUGGCAUUGUCACACUUUUCUAACCAAUAGGCUAGGCCUCUAGUUGAAUCCAUUCAUCCUUCAACUUGCAAUCUCAAGCUAUUGAAACAUGUUUUUUUUUUUUCACAUAUUUAUAUAGAGUUUGCAAUAAAAUUAGCUUUAUCUUCCCUUUUAUUCUUGAAUCAAUAUGACAUUCCAAAUUUUAAAGCAAAUUAUGUGUUGCGUUGACAUGUAUAUGUUGCAAUUUAGGCUUUCUGCAAGAUUUUUACGAUUGUUUUCAUCAUUUAUUAGGAAAAUAUGCCAACAGCAACAGCAUAGAAGGUGACAAUAGGUAUGCUCGAGGUUGUUGAAGCCAUUGCUUGGCCUGCGGAUAGGUUCUCGUCGGAAGCCCAUUUAUACUUGAGUCCAAUUAUGGUAAGGAUCACUUUUAUCGACAUGACCUUGCAAUUUCAUUAAUGUCAUGUCCCAUUUGGAUCCCUUGUGACCUACUUGGGCAGUAACCAUUUGCUACUACUGUUGAUGUUGCUUUACAAUGAUUGGUUCACUUGGACAAGCAUCAAGUAUAAUAUUAAUACAUAGGUAACAAAUAAGAUUAGGUUCAACUCGAGUUCUUCAAACUAGUGACACUGGAAUUUUUGUUUCUGAGUUUGUCAACCACAUCCAUGUUGGAAAUAUUCAGGUUUUUUUUAUUGUGCUUUGCUAUAUCAGGAAAAUAUGGCUCGAGAGGACAAAUGGGACGAGACCCUACAAACCAAUUAUAUGAGGCAAGCCCAAGAACAAACGAGAACCAUAGUCUCUUUGUUUGCACUUGGGAAAUAGUACAUGAAACAAUAGUCUCUCCGUUUGAAUUUUUUUCCAACUUACUAUAAUUUGUAUAUACAUUGUGGGGUGUAAAAAGUUCUCAAACUGAAAAAAGAAAUCAUGUGUUGAUUUAAUUGUAUAUGUCUUUGUUCAUCUUUUAUUGUAAUUCUGAUUAAGAUUAAAUUUGUAAACUAUGUGAUUGAUGUAAUCUACAUCAUUAUGUAAGAAAUCUCCUAUCUUUUUUUUUUUUUAAAUAAAAAGAGGGCUCUAAAAGAGAAGAGCUAGAGAGACACAAAACGGGAGUGUGCCACCCUAUACAUAUUCGAAUACAAAAUAGCACUCAAUCCUAAAGGAACAUAAUUAAAAAAACACACUCCAACAAGCAAACGCAAAGCAUGCGUAUUAAGGAAAUCAGCCACCAAAUUUGUUUUGCGGUAGAUGUGAUUAAUUUCAAUACUCUAAUCCCUCCUCAUGAGCUCUUGAAUUAUCUGGAUUAUAGCCGAAAUGUCAUUGACAUUAACAUUGUCCUCCUUUAUAAGCUGCACUACACUAUAGUUAUCAAUUCCAACUUAGAUACGUCUAUAGCCAAGGUCCCAUACCAUUCUUAAUCCAUGCAAAACACCCCAGAGUUUAGCCUUUAUAGCUGAACACACUCCAAGAUUUGUGCUGAAGCCAUGAAUGAACCUACCAUGACAGUCCCGCAACAGACCUCCUGCACUUGCAUCUCCAUUUCCUUUCCUUGACCAUCCGUAUUUAAGCACACAUAAGGCGAUGGUGGAGGAGCCCAACGAAUCAAUUUCUAAAUCCUUGUAUUUCUUCUAUAGACUAUGGUUGAGAGGGUAGAACAAAUAUUCUCAGCCCUUGCCUUAAUAUCACGAACAAUCGAGUCACAAUUCUAGCUCUUGUUGUUAAACAUCAAUUGAUUCCUCCAAUACCAAAUUCUCCAAGCAGCAACACCAAACGUGACCUGCUAAUAUAAACUCUCCAUAUCACAAGUCCUUCUCUUAAGAUUCGUCAUGAGCCAUUGCCGAAGAGGAUGGCUGAAAAAGUCAUGUUGGCUAGCCACGGGAACAAUCUUCCUCUAAACACAUUCCAAGUAUGCACAGUCCCGAAUUGCAUGCAAAGAGCUCUCAAUCUAUGCAUGGCAUCGCCCACAUAAUGGAUCAAUGUCAAGAUGCCUUCUAACAAGCUCAUAUCCUGCCUUCAAACGAUCAUGGCAUAAUAACCAUUAAAAAAAAUUCUUACGCUUUGAGGCCUUCUCCAUUGCCACAAAUGCCGCCAGUCGUGAUUGUCUUCAACAGGAGAAUGAUUCGUAAGCACCUGAUAAGUUAAAUGGACUGUGGAAGUUCCCGUAUUUGAAUUACCCCAAUACACCCUAUCAUCACCUCUCGUUGCCGAUAGAGGAGCCAUGGAAUCAAUCCUUGUUGAUUUUCGAGCAAGAAUCAAUAUAAAAACUUGAAAAUCCAAAUUUAAAAACAUACCCGAAUUAUAUGCGAAAAACACGAUAAACCAAGGUUGUGCUACUGAUUUAUAGUCGGAGAAUGAUCAAAAAAUUGGAAAAUCCUCUCAAUUCACGUUGCAAGAACCCUCUAAGCUUCUCUUGACUUGAAUUUUCUCUAAAUUGCACUUUUACUUAUUUUUUGCUUUGCUUUGCUUAACUUAUUUUCUCUAUAAAUUUGCCCUCUAUUUAUAGCAUUCCAAGAGUAGUGAUCAUCUUCUCAAUGAUCACUUAAUAAAGUUAAACAAUUGUUGGAGUGAUCAUCUUUUUAAUGAUCACUUAAUAUCUUUCAAUAUAAUAUUGUAAGAUAUUAUAAAGUUCUAACUUAAAAUUAUCACUUGCUCUUGGUCAUGCAUCCCUCAUGGGUGAUCUCAAAGUGAUAGAAACCUAUAUAUAAAUAUAUAUUUGCAUAUAUAUUUUUAACAUCUCCCACUAACACAUGAUGAGAUGUUUAAAGUGCAACGAGAACUAUUUGUUCAAGCCUCAAAACUCAAUUAUCAUACUAGCAAAUGCAACAUGUGACCCAUGAACAAUAAGCAUGAGUUUUAUUGCUUUAAAUCUCAAUUGUAUUCUAUACAAAAGAGUUGUUCAUCUUGUAUCCUAGAUUCCAUAUUAUUACAUCAAAUUCAAGCAUACUAAGUCCCAUAUCAAAAGCUAUGCUUGACAAUAUACACUUUAUGUAAUCACAAUUGUAUCAAUCCUAGAUUAUACAAUUGGUACCAGUGAAAAACAUAAGGUAUAUGUAAGUAAUGAAUAUUCCCAUCACACUCAUAUUUCUUAGUUUUAGAUUAACUGCUUUCUUAAACUUGUUUCAUAAACUGAAUAACAUCAUAACUUUAGAAAAUAAGUUUAAAGUAGCAAACACUAAUCUAUCACCUCAAAAUAUAGUUGAUAGUAUGUAAGGAUACCUUUUGAGGUUUAUAAUACCUCAAAGAAACUUUACACAAUGAGAAAUAAAGGAAAUUUUCUCAUUUUUCUUUAUUUGGUCAUCAAAGCACACGUUGUAUGAAAUAUGUGCUACAGUGAAUUCUCUUUUCUGAGAGCGUAUGUCAAAAAUAUUUCACUGUAUAGAUCUUAGGUCAGUCGCUACUCAAGCACCUAACCUGAGUUUUUAAUAACCUCACUUAUUUAAAGCGCCAAAUUAAAUACUCACAUAUGGCUUUAAUCAGGUUUCCAUGAUUAUUGGGUAUAUCAUGGUCGGUUUUAUAUUUAUUAUAUAUAAACCUCAUCUUCACCCAGUCAAGGCAACACAUUUUAUAAAUGCUCCAUGAGAAUGUACAUAGUAUCUAAUUCUCUCUCUAUUGUCUCAUCUCAGCUUGCUUUUCUAGCAACUGAGGCAAUCGCUUGUGUAAGAAAGCCAAUCAUAACCUGAUGACAUAACUUUACUCUAAAUAUGUGUAAUAAAAAAAAAAUUUAUAUGGACAAACGAUAAUAAGAAUUUAAUCAUAUGAAAAAUUUAUCACAUGUCCAUUACUCAAAAAAUAAUAUCUCAUUAAGUACAAUUUUACAAUCUACGUAAGCCUAAUGAUCGAGUAUGUUUCAAGUAAACAUCUCGUGUUAUGGCUUUGGUAAAUGGAUCUGCUACCAUAAAAUGUGUAGAUGUGUAUUGUAUUAGCACUUCUUUUUGUUCUACAAUUUCUCUCACAAAAUUGUACUUGGUCUCUAUGUGUUUUGACUUAGUGGUAUUUGGCAUCUUUGGUAAAAAGAUAUGCGUAGAACCCACUUAUUUGUAAUGGUUUUUUGUUUAGGUGGUAAAUCAACCAAGUCCCAGACCUGAUUUGAUUUAAUGGACUCUAUCUCUUCAUUCACUGCUUUCAUCCAUAAUUCCUUAGCAGAUGAUGCAAUAGCCUCACUUAAAGUUCUUGGCUCAUCUCUAUCGUGUGAAGCAACCAUAAAUGCCUCCCCCUCAAUCUCAAAACGACGAUGUGGGAUGGAAAUACGAUUACUCCUUUGAAUUAAGGUAUAUGGUGAAGUCAUUCCAUAAAAUGGUUUAUUCCCACUAGGAUUAGAAAUCCCAGGUAAAUCUAGAUUUUCCUCAAUUCGAUUGACAAUACUCAGUGGAUCAUUCAUUUCAUAUAAACGAAUAUCUUUGUCAACAUCUGUUAUGCUAGAAAAUUCAUUAUCUAAGAAUAUGACAUAUCGUGAUUCUAGUUCAAUUAUAGUUCCAUCAUCACGUUCACCAAUCAAUACAUACCCUUUUAAGUGCUCAGGAUAUCUUAUAAAAAUACAUUUUUUUCCUCUUGCACUCAAUUUUCCAUGUGUAUGAGAAGGAUUGUGAACAUAAGUUGCAGACCCACAGGGUCGCAAAUGAGUUAGAAUAGGUUUUCUGUCUGUCUAUAGCUCAUAUGGAGUGGAACUAAUUGACUUACUUGGGACUCGAUUAAGUAUGUAGGCAGCAGUCAGUAAUGCAUCCCCCCAGUAAAAUAUUGGGAGAUUUGCUUGCGCCAUUAUAGACCUAACCAUCUCAAGUAAUGUCUUAUUCUCCUUUCCGCAACACCAUUUUGUUGUGGAGUCCUAGAAAUAUUUAACUGUCUCUCAAUACAUUUUUCUUGACACAAUUCCUUGAACUAUUAAGAAAGAUAUUCACGUCCAUGGUCUGUUCUUAAGACUUUGAUCGUUUUGUCUAAUUGAUUUUCCACUAAUUUUAAAAUUUUUUAAAAGCAACUAAUACUUCAGAUUUGUGAGAAAUCAAAUAGACAUGACCAAAACGUAAGUAAUCAUCAAUGAAUGUAAUAAAAUAUGAGGCGCCAUGUCUGGCCCUUACACUCAUUGGACUACAGAUGUCAGAAUGGAUAAUUUGCAAAAAAAUUCAGCUCUAGUUCCUUUACCAAAUGGUUUUCUUGUUGUUUUUCCAACUAGACAACUCUCACAUAUAGGCAACUCUAUUUUAUCGAGUGAGCCCAAAUAGCCCUCUCUAGAUAAUCGAUGCAUUUUGUCUUGCCCUAUAUGUCCUAGUCUGGCAUGCCAUAUAUUAACAUCCACAGAAUCAGAAGAUGUGAUUAAUGAAAAACAAUCUUGAUUAUAAUUCUGAUUAAUUACAUUCAAAAUCAUAAAACCAUUAAGUAAAUAACCAGUUCCGACGAGAGUUUUAUUAAUAACUAAUUGCAUACAAACAUCACAGAAUAUCACAUGGUAUCCCAUGUUCAGAAGUACAGUGACAGUUACUAAGAUUCGUCGGAUCUCUGGUGCAUAUAACACAUCGUGGAGAUAAAGUAUUUGGCCACCAUGCAGUUGUAAUUUGCAAGUGCCAAUCCCUUUAGCUUCAACCCUUGAGUUAUUCCCCAUGUAUAUCCACUUAGUCCCUUGACUAAAUCGACAAUAUUCCACAUAAGCUCCACGUUCAUUGGCUACGUGUUCCGUUGCUCUUGAAUCUACAAUCCACAAAGGAUGAGUUUCAGUCAUAUAAACGGAGCCUAUUACAUACCUAUUAUGUAAUUUUAUGGAUUUAGUAUGUACCUUUUUUGGCUCAGUGCAAUCACGAGCGAAAUGGCCAAGUUUGCUACAAUUGUAGCAUGUCACUUUGCUCAUGUCCUUCUUCUGACCAGCACGUUUACCUCUUUUGCGCUUACCCAAACUGGAUUGCCCUUGAUCAGAUUUCUUCCUACUCUGAGAGGAGAUUUUACCUCUUCUUUUGCGUUUAAAGCCCGAAGCUUUUCGCGAGUUGGUAUCAGCCAUAUAAAGUUGAGCAGAAGAUUUAGCUGCCUUUAGGCGCUCAUCUUCUAACUCCUAGUGACAUUGUAUAUCUUUAAACAUCUUGACACUCUCAUUGUGUGUCAUGUUAACUUUUAUAUGCUCCCAAUUGUCUGGAAGAGAUCGAAUAACUGCCUGAACUUGUUGUUCAUCAAUUAUAAUGCUAUUAGCAUUUUUUUAACUCUCUUAUUAAAAGUGACAUUUCUCUUAAAUGCUCUUCUAUCGAAGUAUUAUGGUGCAAUUUGUAAGUGUCAAACUUAAUAGUGAGUUUUCUAAGUUUGGUGGUAGAAGUACCACCAUACUUUUCUUUCAAGGCAUUCCAUAUUUGGUGAGUCAUUUGGUAUUCCUCAUACUUACACAUAAAAUCAUCUUCCAUAGUGCUCAGCAACAAAAUGCGCGCACUACGAUUUUUUAUUUUCCGAGCUCCAUAAGUUUCAAGAUCUUUUUUAUGUUUAGUAGAGUUACCCUUUGGUGGCUCAGUCAUAAUGUUUACCGUACCAAUUAUCAUAAUUGUUACCGUCCAUUGUUUAAUUCAGCCACUAUACCGUUUGCUGCCAUUUCUUCUAAGAAAAACACAAAACACGGAGAUAAGAAAAAAUUUCUUGAUUUUACUUACACAUAUUUAAUUAUUUUUCUGCAAACAAAUAAUCCAAAAUAUGAUAAGUUUAAUGUAAAGAUUGGAUUCGAAAAGUCGUCGAGGCUUCCAAUCAUCAUCCUUUCCAAACAUUAAGUUAACAUAAUUUUAGCACAUUGCGCAAAAUAUUAAUUCAUUAUUGUUUAUUCCCUCAGAAUUUUAACAAUAAUAGAACUCCCACUUUAUAAAACAUGUCAUAAGAAUACAUCUAUCAUGCAUCUGUUCACGUGGAUAGUGCACCAAAAAAAUUCCCAAGAAGAUGGUGGAGAUUCAAAAAUCCCUCUAAGUACCAAAGUUCCUUAAGUUCAUGACCUUUUGUCAGAAUUUUCCUAGACAUGCAAUUCAUCCAUAUUACUAUGCUAGGAUUAUUCUCAUUUUAUUUUUUUAAUAAUUUUGUUAUGCUCCCACUGAAGCACAACCCUCUUAAAGAUGUAUCAUCAUAUGCAAAAAAUAUUUUUCAUAUUUUUAAUACUUGCAUAAAGUAUUAUUCUCUAAUUUUCCGAGCUCCAUAAGUUUCAAGAUCUUUUUUAUGUUUAGUAGAGUUACCCUUUGGUGGCUCAGUCAUAAUGUUUACCGUACCAAUUAUCAUAAUUGUUACCGUCCAUUGUUUAAUUCAGCCACUAUACCGUUUGUUGCCAUUUCUUCUAAGAAAAACACAAAACACGGAGAUAAGAAAAAAUUUCUUGAUUUUACUUUCACAUAUUUAAUUAUUUUUCUGCAAACAAAUAAUCGAAAAUAUGAUAAGUUUAAUGUAAAGAUUGGAUUCGAAAAGUCAUCGAGGCUUCCAAUCAUCAUCCUUUCCAAACAUUAAGUUAACAUAAUUUUAGCACAUUGCGCAAAAUAUUAAUUCAUUAUUGUUUAUUCCCUCAGAAUUUUAACAAUAAUAGAACUCCCACUUUAUAAAACAUGUCAUAAGAAUACAUCUAUCAUGCAUCUGUUCACGUGGAUAGUGCACCAAAAAAAUUCCCAAGAAGAUGGUGGAGAUUCAAAAAUCCCUCUAAGUACCAAAGUUCCUUAAGUUCAUGACCUUUUGUCAGAAUUUUCCUAGACAUGCAAUUCAUCCAUAUUACUAUGCUAGGAUUAUUCCCAUUUUAUUUUUUUAAUAAUUUUGUUAUGCUCCCACUGAAGCACAACCCUCUUAAAGAUGUAUCAUCAUAUGCAAAAAAUAUUUUUCAUAUUUUUAAUACUUGCAUAAAGUAUUAUUCUCUAAUUUUAAAGCAUUUAUUUGACUAAAAUUGAAAUUAAAUAUAUAACCAUGUUAUAAAUUACUUUUUAAAAUUCAGUAAAAUAGAGAAUAAAAAAUUGAAAUAGUCGCCAAAAACGGCGCCUCAAAAUUAAAUCGGGAAGGCGGCGUGUGUAUUACACUCUCUACCGCCGCGAGGGAGAAUGAACAGUGAAAUCGUCUUCAACCUCCCAUAUUUUUCUAGAUUUUGAACCAGAACUUGUAAUGUUCCGUUCUCUCUCAAUACACGUCAGAAUUUUGCAUAUGAUAUACCGUUGGAAAUAUUUUUUCAUGCUCUUUCUAAUGAUACCAAUUUCAUAUUCAUAUGUUAUGUAUCAUGAAAGAUAUGAGUAAACUAAACUUACGGGUUCAUAUCCUAAGUUUUCAUUUUACUCUUUACAUUUAUCAUAUUAAUCCUCACGGCAACUAGGAAUUAAUCUAUACACCUCAAUAUGUUUAUUAAUCCAAUUGCAUGGCAUCAAAAAUAAGUAAAUUAUUACAUGCCAUUAAUAUGUGUUCUUGAUGAAAAAAUAACUUUCUUAAAUAACAUGCUUGGGUUUCAUGCUUUACAUACUUAAAUCAUAACACAACCUAUUUAGCUCUGAUACCAAUGUUGAUUUUCGAGCAAGAAUCAAUAUAAAAACUUGAAAAUCCGAAUUUAAACACAUACCCAGAUUAUAUGCGGAAAACAGAUAAACCAAUGUUGUGCUACUGAUUUAUGGUCGAAGAAUGAUCACAAAAUCAGAAAAUCCUCUCAAUUCACGUUGCAAGAACCCUCUAAGCUUCUCUUGACUUGAGUUUUCUCUAAAUUGCACUUUUACUUAUUCUUUGCUUUGCUUAACUUAUUUUCUCUAUGAACUCUAUUAAUAGCAUUCCAAGAGUAGUGAUCAUUUUCUCAAUGAUCACUUAAUAAGCUUAAACAAUUGUUGGAGUGGUCAUCUUCUUAAUGAUCACUUAAUAUCUUUCAAUAUAAUAUUGUAAGAUAUUAUAGAGUUCUAACUCAAAAUGAUCACUUGCUCUUGGUCAUGCAUCCCUCAUGGGUGACCUCAAAGUGAUAGAACCCCAUAUAUAAAUAUAUAUUUGCACAUAUAUUUCCAACAAUCCUUAAAACAGCAUAGUUAUUCAACAAAUAACUAAAUUUGUUCCACAAUCAAUUCCCAUUCUGAUCAACACAUUCCGCCAUCGUCAUAUUACACAUGCUAUCAGGAAUUGAGGCCACCGUAUAGUUGACUAAGGGAUCACCAUUAGUAACCCAAAUAUCAUCCUAAAACUUCACCGUUUGGCCGUUUCCAACACUCCAUCGCAAACCCUUCUGGAAAUCUUUCCAAAUCCUACCCAUUGAAUGCCAUAAAUAAGAACCAUUUUUAGUAGGAACAUCAGUAAUAGCCAUAUCAUUAGGCAAAGCAUAUUUAGAAAUUAAAACCUAAGAACAAAGCUUGCGAGGAUUCAUGGUUAAAUCCCAAGCCACUUUUAUUAAUAAGGUUUUGUUUAUAAUUUCCAAAUCUUUAAACCCGAGCCCUCUAUUAAUCUUCGGUCUACAAUUGUUGUUCUAGCUAACAAGGCUUAGCUUACGUUGAGAGCCAACCCCACUCCAUAUAAAUCUUCUACAAAGUUGAUCAAUUUUAAUUCUAACACUAGACGGGAGAUACGUGGUCUGCAUAACGUAAAUCAGAAUUGCCUGAAGCACCGAUUGAGCAAAAGUUGCCUUGCUAAAGACAAGUGCUCGGCUGCCCAUCUUGAUAGCCUCUGAUCAACUUUUUCAAUGACAUUCUGAUACAUUUUCUUAGAAACCCGAUCAUGUAGAAGAGGCAUGCCAAGAUAUCUUCCCAAAUUAUUUGUAAUAAAAAAGCCUAAAGCAUUGUCAAUUCCACUAGCUAACAUGAUCGGGAUGUUUUUAGAGAAAAAUUUUUUGGUCUUAUGUUUACUAACUUUACUCCCAAGCUCCUACAGAAAUUCUCCAACACGCCAUUCAACACAUCAACCUGAGCGAAAUUUGCUUCCAAGAAGAGAAGCAGGUCAUCCGCAAAAAACAAAUGACUUAGCGGGGUGCCAAUUCUAGUCAACCGAAUGGGCUUCCAUCUACUUUGAUUAACCGCCUGAAUAAUACCAUGGCUUAAUCUUUCAAUACAUAACACAAAAAUAUAAGGCGAGAAGGGGUUUCCUUGUCUAAUUCCUCUUCCUGCCUGAAAAUCUUUAGUCAUUUCUCUGUUCCACAAAACAUUCCUACGAGCUGUGGACAAGCACUCUAUUAUGAGAUGAAUAAAUCGCUCUGGUAGCCCAACUUCCCCUAGAGUUUCCUAAAUAAAACACCAACUCAACCUAUCAUACGCCUUUUCCAAAUUAAUUUUAAUCAUCAAUGGUCUUUUACCCCCCACAUUCGUCUUUAUUGUAUGAAUUACUUCUUAAGCAAUAACAAUAUUCUCUGUGAUAUGACGACCCAGUACAAAACUAGUUUGCUGGGGGCCAAUAAGAUCUGGAAGUAGAGCUUGUAGCCUGUUUGCAAUAAUUUUCGUCACAGUCUUAUAUAGGACUGUGCAAAGGCUGAUCGGCUGAAACAUCUUGAGGUUUGUUGGAUAAUCAACUUUAGGGAUGAGGACCAACAAGGUUAUGUUGAUCUCUGCAGGGAUAUGAUUAGAAUUUAAAAUAUUCUUAAUGAAAGAACAAAUAGAUAUACCAAUUGUACUCCAUUACGCUUGGUAGAAACCAACAUGAAAACCAUCAACUCCAGGGGUUUUGAAGGGACUCAUAUUGAAUAUAGUCCGUCUACCUUUCCUCAUCUAUGACAACAGACAGCAAGCUUAAGCAAAUAUCAUCAAAGAUCAUAGGGAAACACCCUCUGAUAUUAUACGGGCUAUGCACCCCUUGUUUAGGAGUGUAUAAAUUUGAGAAGAAUUUUCUAGAAAGUUGCUUAAUGAUCUCAACGUCAUAUAUCCAUUGCCCUAUCUCAUUCUGAAUCGCAGUUAUCUGAUUCUAGCGACACCUGGUUAGAGUUUUUUUUUUAUGGAAAUAGGCAGUGUUGCGAUCACCAUAUAAAGUCCAAUCUCUCCUAGAUUUCUGAAGCCAUAAUAAUUCUUCAUGAGUGAGAACCUCUUCGAGUUCCUUCUAAAGCUUAUUUUCAAGUCUAGUAAGGCUAUGAUUGCACUUAGUUUCCAAAAUCCGCUGGAUCCCACCUAUUCUAGCCAACAAUUUCCGCUUUCUAUAAAUAAUAUUUCCAAAAAUUUCCUUGUUCCAUCUCAUUGUUUAUUUAGUAAAAUCAACCGCCACCACAUCUAGAAAAUUAGCUACCUUGUUCCAGCUACCAUUCACAAAAUUCCUAAACCUCUCAUUUGUGAGCCAUGCAACCAAAAUCCAAAACGGCCUCGAGCCUCUACUAAUUGAAUCCACGUUCUGGAAUUUGACUAAAAUAUUAUGAUGGUCAUAAUCAAUUUUCAAAAGAUGCAUGACACUGUUAUUUGCAUGUUUUAUUAGCCAUCCAUCAUUACAAACUGCUAUGUCCAGGCGUUUAGAAAGGUUGCUCCUAGACCAAGUGAACCGAGGGCCUGAGAAUUUUAGAUUAAUCAUCCUGCAAUAAUGAAACUAAUGAUUAAAUAAAUUACAAAUGCCACUUGUUCAGUUAGAACCCCCUUUCUUCUCAUGUGCGCACAAGAUAACAUUGAAAUCUGUGUCAACCAACCACAGGUCGUACAUUUGAGAAGCAAUAUUUGCAAAGUGAUACCAUAACUCUCGUUAGACUGUUGGAAUAGGACUAGCAUACACAACAGUCACCUAGCUCUCCAAACCAUUGCUAGAUAUAAUCUUAAAAUGAACAAACUGCUUAUGAUUUAAAAUUAUCUCUACUGUAAGAAAAUCCCUCCAUAAAAUCCAAAUUCCUCCAGAAAAACCCACCGCCUCGAUCCUAUGGGAUCUCUAAAAACCACAGCCCCAAAUGAAGUUGUUAGCUUUUUGGCCACUAAUUCUUGGUUCAAACAUCACCACCAUAGACGGGUUAUAACAUUGAAUAAUUACAUCAAAAGAAAGUCAAAAAUUUGAGGCCCCUGCCCUUUGAACGUUCCAAAACAUAACUGAAAUUGACAUAAUCAUAAGAAUAUACAAAGGGGUGGAGAUUUCCUUAUUGGCGAACUCGUGGGUCCCAUCCUCCUCAUUCAUUGGCGUAUCCUCCACAAAAGAGUCUUCGCCAUCCGUCGUAGCAUCAUCCUCCUCAUCCUCCACAUAAGUCAGGUCCGACUCAUCAUCCUCCAUUUCAAGAUCCAUGUUACCACCAUAUAAAUCUAGGGGAUCUCCCGAAUAAGGUAAAGUGUGACCUUUGGCCCGCAGAUCCGAAUGAUGUAGGUUGACACCAUCCAUCUCCUGGGUAUCUAUAGGCUUAUUACUUGGGUUAUAGAAAACAAUAGUCCUAUGCUUUAAAGGGUCAAGGGUCGUGGGUACAUAGUGAGGAUUCAUCAUGGUGCUGGGUUAAGUUUCAAUUGGCAUAGUUGAUGUUUUAGUCCCAUUAAGAUUCACCACAUGGUUUUGUGUGUCGGGUUUAGGGUGCAUGGUUUUCCUAUUGGUCCUGGUUUCUUUGGCUGCAGUAUGGAACUUGCCCUUGUCUGCAAUCUUUUAUGAGAGUCUAGUGGAGUAUAUACGUUUGAAUUCGGGUGCAUGGGGUUGCAAAGCAUAGUGUUUGUUGGGCUGUUUUAGGUCCGCAUGGCUAGUCCCUUUUUCAUGAAUGUCAGUAACCACAUUCUGAGGUUCAUUGUCCCCUGGAUCUUGUGAAGCAAGCACGACAAAACGAGAUUUAUUUUGGUGUAUAAACGGCUGAUCCUCGACAGUGCCAUGAGAAUAAUUCUUACCAAAGUAAUUUCAUGGUUUGUUUUUGCGUGAUACAACCAUCCAAGGACCAAACUUGUUCCCCCUCGUUUCAGCUACUCUAGUAUUCGUUUCAUUAUUCUUCUCGUUGGCCCCUACUGGUGCGUUGUUCUCCACUGGAUUAAUUGUACUAGCCGCCACCAUAUUCUUCUCCCCACAAUCCUCUAUAACAUAUCCAUAUUUUCCACAGGAAAAGCAUAUAAUUGGAAGCCCCUCAUACUCCAUCAGUUGAAUUUGCCCAUUCACCUGAAUUUGUAAGACUAAAGGUUUCUCAAGAGAAACCCUAACUGCCAGUCUAGCAAAUUUCCCUCUCUUAGAGUCCUCCGUAUUGUAAUCAAUUUUAAUAACCUCUUCAAUUUAUUGCCAAGUCGUCGCAAACUACGUUUGUCAUAAUACUGAAUCACCAUGCCUGGCAAACGUACCCAUACCAUAGUCGAUGUGAGGUCAUUGGAGAAGCAAUCAAAUUCCAGCAUCCAAGGUUAAACAAAGAGGUUUCUACCCAUAACAGUCCAUAGUCCUUCUGUUAGGGCACACUUAGCAUCAACUGCAGUUUGGAACUUGACAAAAAAGUAAUUAUUUUCUAGAUCAAUGAUUGAGAAAUCUGCCACCAUCGACCUCUAUGGGACCUCCAACCUAUUACAUAAGACCCGAUAUCCAAUCUGCCGUCCCAACAAUUUAACUAUUACUGAGAAUCGCCAUGGUUGCUGCAAUUUCUCUUGAACCCUUUUGGAGAAGUAUAUCGCAAGGAUACCCUCCUCUAUUCUCUCAACCACAUCUUCAUCUUCAAUAUCCCAAUCCUCCACCGCACUCCUCGUUUGCCUUGCCAUCACCGUGACUGCCUCCAUAGCCUUAUCUCUCCAAGAGGGUUUAUAGGGAUUAUCAACAUCAAUUCCCUCAGCCCUAAACCGUGCCUUCUUAGUUGUCCUGUCCUCUUGCAGUGGUGGUGGAAUAAUUUUCUCAAACCCUAGCCCUAGGUUUCCGUCACUUCCAAUAUUUUCGGAGCUCAUAUUUUUUUAUUAUAGAAAUCUCUUAUCUUUAGGAAUAAGUAAUAAAAUAUUGGACAACUAUGCAUAAAUCUUAAUUCCCCUUAGGUACUCAAUAUCUACUCACAUGAAGGUAUGGGUGGGGGUACAUUCAAUAAAAUUACAUAAGUCUUUUAAUUGUUAGCGCGGGAAUUUGUAUGAUUAUGCUAUUUAAUUUUUUAUAAUUACUAUUUCAAGUAUAAAUUUGCAAUUUGAUCGUUAGGAUACGGGUCAUAGCAAUUUUAGUAUUGUUUGUUGGGUGGAAGAAAAAAAUUGUAGGGUAAGUACAUACACAUAGUAUCUUAUUAUUGUUAUUUGAAUGCCAUUGCUACAUUAAUGGCAAUGACAUUUGGUUUAUGACAUACUCAAAAAAAAUUCCUUUGACCCUGCAGGAUCAAGCUGUCCUUGUAAUUGUCCUAUUUCCUUAAUGGAUGUAUCUUUUAUGUUAUGCAUUUGACAUAUGAAGUUUAUUGAAAGAAAGCAAAUGAUCAGGAGCUAGUCUUAAAAGCAUGUUGUUCAAGGAAUACAAUACAAACUGUAAUAUGAUUUGAGACAAUUCAUAGAGCUUUCCUUGAGUGAAAAAUAGUCAUAUACUCUUUAUAUUGACAUGAUAUGCCCUCCAGGUUAUUUAAAGCAUUAUGGGAAUAGCCUCAGGUAUGUUAAUUGAAAAAUGCCAAACUGGACAAUUCACAUUCAUACCAUGCAACCCAGGUUCGUUAAUUUUAAAUUCCAACUAAAUGUUCUAAACUAUCUUCAUCUAUUUUAGCAUGUGUUUCACAAUUCACGCUUUCUUCUUCUUCUACCUUUUUUUUCCCCUUCUUAGCUUCCAUUGGGUUAUUGAUGUGGUGAAAAAGGAAUUAUUUUAAUCGGAUCCUAAAGUGCAAUCUUAAUCUUAAUUUAGAGCAGAUCCUUUAUGUUUCCUUUCUAUUCGAAACCAUUCAUAUUUUAGGUUUCUUCAAUAUAUUUUAGAUUAGAGACAAAUAUAGUAGUUUUUCAUACCAUGCCAUGACACUGUUCAUAGUAUAGAUCUAAGAUGAGAUUUAUGGAGAUUUAUGUAGCCAUUGUGACACUUAGAGGGUGUUUGGUACCCCUCAUUACAUGGGAUUGCAUUGCAUUAGCAAUGCAGCCCCGUGGCUGAGGCACCAAACUGGAUUAGCUUAGGUUUUUUUUUUUAACUUUGUAAUAAUAAAAAUAAAUUAAUAUAAUUUUUUAAUUUAAUAUUAUAUUAUAUUUUUAUUUUUAUAUUAUAAUUUUAAUAUAAAUUAAUAAAUUUUUUAUUUAAAAAUAUUCUAUUAUGUUUUAAUUUUUAUUAUUUUAAAAAUAUAACUAAAUAAUGUAUUAUUUAAUUAUAUUAUAUUAUAUUAAUUAAUAUAUAAAAUUAUAUUAAUUAAUCUUUAAGAAGUUAAUAUAACUAGUAAUAAUCACUUAAAUAAUAUAAUAUUACAUUAUUAAUUAUAUUACAAUAAUUAAAUUAGUUAUUUUUAAAUAAUUUAAUAUAACUAAUAAUAAAUAUUUAAAUAUGAAUAAAUUUGAAUAAUAUUAAUUGAAAAUUAAUAAUAUAAAUAAUUACUGGAUUAUUUAGCUCAAUUUAAUAUGUCAAGGGUGCGUUUGGCACACUGUAUUGUAUUAUGCUGUGUUGCAUUAUUUUAAUGCUGGUGUAUUGUAUUAUGCUGUAUUGCAUUAGCACUGUAUUAUAAUAAUAUUAUACAAUGUUUGGUGCUACACUGUACUGUAUUAUUUUUUUGUGAUUAAUUUAAAUUAAAUAUUAUAUUAUAUUAAUAUAUUAUAUUAUAUUAAUAUAUUUAAAUUGUAUUAAUAUUUUAUAUUAUUUAUAUUAUUAUUAAUUUUAAAUUAAUAUGAUUCAAAUUUAUUCAAAUUUAAACAUUUAUUAUUAGUUAUAAUAAAUUAUAAAUUUAUGAAUAAAUUAUUAUGUAAAAAUAUUAAUUUAUUAAUAAAUUAAUAUUAUUCAAAUUUAUUGAACACUAGGGUUUCAAAUAUACAAACUUAUAUUUAUAGCAUCUUUGAAAUUCUUAUUGAUAUAAAUACAGGUACUGUUAAAAUUGAAUCAUUUAUUGAUUUAUUAUAUGUUAAAGUUGAUGUACAAUAGACACAAUUCACUUGACAUAUUAAAUUCUUAGUCCACAGCAAGUUCCAAGAAAAUAAUAAACCUAAUAAGAAUCUAAAUAAAUGUGCUUCACUAUAAUUAGUAACCAAGAUAUUAACUUAGUUACAAAACUCAUAUAUCUCUAUCUUAGGAGCAUCUACAUAGCAUUUUCCCAUGGAUUAUUCUUCUUCCCAAUAUUAAUUUUGCUCCAAUAAGUAGUCUUUGUGAUGUUGCUUCUCUUUUUAUUGGAAAAAAAAAACCUUCAAACAUGUCUUCUAAGAUCUGGUUCAGCUUCUCUUCACUUAUUCUUUCCCUAGCAAGCAGCAAUCUUAAGGCUUCUCUUCAUCUGUAAAAUUAAUGUUGAAUAUUAGAAUAAGAACAGUUAUGCUAUAUCCAUAAAUAAUUUCAAAUAUCAUCCCUUACCAUGCGGGCUCUCUUCAGCAGCAACAACACCGCCAUUUACAAUGCUGCUACUAACCUCAACAACUUCACUAUUGCAGCAACAAUAGCAACACCAGCUUCAGCAUCUUCAGCAAUCACUCCAUCUCCAUGCUCUUCAGCAACAUCGCAAUCUUCAAGAUUUUCAAGAGUCUAAGGCUCCAUCAUCAAAAUUCAAAACUACUUUCAACUUAAUUUGAAGGAUAAAGGAAAUUUAAAUAGAGUGGAAAACAGUGCAUCCAAAUGGGUGUGAUAGGAAUUUCAAAUGCACUCCACUCUUACUGUGGCUUCUCCUAAUCCAUUCAUUCAUUUCUUCCAUUUAAGGAGGCCAUCACCAUUCACCCCUCAAUGUUAUUGCAUGCAAUUACCAAAAUGCGUUCUGAGCACCCCAUGAGAAGAUGUGAGACAUGAAUAAGUAUGCAUGAAUUCACAAGAAGGCAUAUAAAAUCUUAAGUAAAGCACCAUAUUUAAAACUUCUCAUAUCAUUCCUAGGACAAAAUCGGACCAAAAAAUACAACUUUGCAAUCAUGAGUAACACUAGUGUUAAUUGUAAUUAACCUAAUUCAAUAAAUUGUCAUAACCUAAUUCAAUAAAUUGUCAGUUACUUCAGGUUCCACAGUAUUCAAACUCUUAAUACAGCAACCCAGCACGAAAUAGGAACUAUACAGUUAACAAGAUAUAUUAACACAUAAGCUAUACAUAGCAUUUUAAGUUACUUCAUGUUAAAGUUAUUUAAUCAUACUUCAGAUACCCAUAUUAUCAAAACAUGCCCCCUUCAAUUAAGGGUUUGUAACCUAUGCCUAGGUAAUAUAUAUUUUUUAAGGAAUAUAACCAGAAUUUGCUCCUUUAACUUCCACAAGCCGUGUACUCUUCAUGGUUUGUUGGAGAGCAAACCAUCUGUGCCAUCUUGGUUUCAUCAUCGGCCACCAACUCAGGCUUCCCCUGAAUCACCAAGAGUUGGAAAAGUGAAACAUUGGGAAAAAGAAAAAAAAAAAAAAAGUAACUGACUGUUCUAGCAGCAAUCAUCUAAUUCCUGCAAGAAUCAGCCAUGAUUUUCUUUUUUUUUAAAAAAAAUUCGAAUCACCAAUAUUUUUACAUUCUUCUCCAAAUUCUUAACAUUCACCUCAUUCCCACAACAAUUGCUAGAAAACAGAACACAAACAUUCAAACCAACAAACAAGCCAACAAAUUAAAAAAAAAAAUGCCCAUCUCCUAAAUUCAUCAAUUCAACACCACAAUCUCCACUACCCUCUUACUCACUCUCUCUCACAUCAACGCCUCUACACUUCCAGAUUUCAUGAAAAUGAUUUCAAUAGAUUAUUAUUAUUAUUUAUUUAUUUAUUUAUUUCGCUUUAUAGAGCCAUCAACUAAAACACUUGAAUACCUAAAUGGAAAAAUGAAAUCUGCACGUGAAUUCGUUCGAAUCUCGCCAUAGCACCACCGCCACACCACGCUGUUGUUCGAAUUCAAAUGACACCGUCGCUCCAAUUAAAGAUUUAGAUGCUGCGGCUGCACCACUCAUUUAAUGAUUCACGCUGCACGACGGCUGGGCUUGGCCGCACUGACAAGGCAUUUGCUAUGUUUGGCUCUUGAGAAAUUGAAGGAGAAUGGAGGAAAAUCAGCGAAUAGAUGAGUGAGUUUGAGAGAAAAGUAUUGUUUUGGGUUUUGAGAAGAGAAAUUUUGUUUCAUGGUCGUGGCUGAGGAUUGUGUUUGGAAGAAGAAAAUAUUUUAUUUCUCUUUUCGAAUGCAAUGCGGCCUAAUUACGACUCCCCCACGGGUGUAUUUUUUGCGGCGUUUGGUGUAUUAUAAUGAGGUUUAAUACAAAGUUAAUUUUUUACCAAAUAUGAUAUUGUAUUGAUUUAAUACAAUACAGAGCUUUAAUGGGAUGUAAUACUGCGUGCCAAAAACACCCUGAAUAUGUCAUAAUAAUUGUAUCACUUUAUUAUUUUAUAAUUAUCUUUUAAUAUUUAUAAACUUUUAUUCUAUCAUCCUAAGAUAAUUUUUGAACUAAUCUUGAAGAUUUUAACUAUUUAUUUUUGUUGUUAAAUUAUUUAGAGAUUAUUUGAUUAAAUUAUUUACUUCGAUCUUUAUUUCACAAGUUAUGUAUUUAGAAAAUACUGAAAAAUACACUUCCAAAAAUUUAAGACUAUAAGUUUAGAAAGAAUUAUGACAUUUUAAUAUUUUUUAAUAGAAAUGUUAAAUUUCUAAAAUUUAAAAAUCUUAUAUUUAUUAUUUUUAAGUACUAAUAAAUAUUAUUUUCUAAAUAUAUAAUUUACAUUAAUCACAAAAAAAUUAAUACAUUAUAGUGCAAUACCAAAUAUAAUAUAAUUAAAAAUUAAUACAGUACAAUGUAGCGUCAAACAUUGUACAUCAUUAUUAUUAUAUAGUAUUAAUGUAAUAUAACAUAAUGCAAUACACCAAUAUUAAAAUAAUGCAAUACAAUAUGACAAACGCACCAUUAGUAUAUAUGCAACUUAGGGUAGCACAAUACUUUUUGGACUGGAUUCUUGAUAUGAUUAUUGUCAUGUUUGUGAAUGAGGAGUUGUGACUUUUAAAUUAGUGAGAAAUGGAAUUAAAAAUUUAAUUGCUAAAUAAAAUUGGGUGUUUAUCAAAUAUAUUAGCUAUUAUGCUUUCAAAAUUAUAUAGAAGCAUAGUAGAUUGAAAUGCACCCGAAGUACCUGCAGAUCCUGCCACCAAAAUAGGACUCAACUCGAGUUAUCCAAAGUUGUGAAACUUGAAUUAUUUGUUUCAAAUUUCAGUGCUAAGUUAGUCAACCACAUGAAUGUAAGUAUUAUUUAUGGAAAAUGAUGUUUGCCCCGGGUCAAACCCCGAAAAUGAUGUAAACGGCAUCGUUUUGAUUAUUAUUUUUUUUCUUUUGGAAAACUCUAAAACGACGACGUUUUGUGAUGAUAUUUUGAGAAGAAUAAAAUCUAUCUUCCUCUUCGUUUUUUUUCUUCGUUUCACCUGUGAAAGCAACAGAGCAACAGAGAUCCCAACUUGGUCUUGUUCCGUUAUCUCUUCAUCUCUUCAUUUCUUCGUUUCUUCGUUUCUUCGUUUCUUCGUUUCUACGUUUCUUCGUUUCUUCGUUUCUUUACUUUCCUUCCUCUCCCGAGGUCCAGGCAUUCGGGAUCCACGACGACCGACUGACAGCCACGAUCAUCGUCAACGUUGGUAACGCUGGUACUCGAAGCUUGUUCGGGAAACUGAACUCACAAAGCGGCAAAGUUCACAGCCCGAGGUAAUGCUUCGUUUUUUCCUCUUUAGGUUAUGGAAAAAUGGGGACGAUUUGGUUGAUUUAGGUUAGGCUGCCCUGGUAAUGCUUCGUUUUUUCCUCUUUAGGUUAUGGCAAAAUGGGGACGAUUUGCUUGAUUUAGGUUAGGCUGCCCUGUUGAAUUUAAUUUCAUUGCUCAGCAAGUGCUAAAUUUUGUUCCUCUUUGAUUUAAUUUCAUUGCCCUGUUGAAUUAUUGAAUUUUGUUCCACUUGAAAGCUCUAUUUGCUAAAUUUUGUUCCUCUUUAAUUUAAUUUAAUUUUUGAAGACCACACUUUUAAUUUUUGAGUUCUAAUUAGUUAGGCAUCCGACCCACAAUCAUGGAAUCAGGGUCUCUGAUUUAAUUUUUGUAACAACAAUUACAAAACUAUGAGUUAAUCUCUUUGAAUUAUUAUUGUUGCUAAAGUGUACACUCAAUGGAAUAAGUUGGUCUUGGCGGGAAUUUUUCUAAUUACAGUGGUUAAUUGUUAAGCACAAGAAGGGUUUGUGAUGGAACAAAUCGAUAGAAGCGGGAAUUGUAAAGCGAAACAGCAAAACUUAGCCAUGACAGAGAGUAUUAAGUAGGGCAAAUCCAAAUCAGAUAUCCUUAUUUGAAUCAAUUGCAGCUGUUCUUUUUCUGUAUUUUAUGUUAUUUUUUGAAUUAAUGUAACCGAGUGAUGAGAAUUAAUAUUAUUGAUGGAGGGUUGUAUUUUAUCUCCAGUUGUGUGUGUAUAGAUUGUGUGCAUUUUGGCUUGGGUUCUUUGAUAGCCUUUCUGGCAUGUUGCUUCUAGUUUUCAUAGCUACUGGGUGGUUGCUGGGUGGUAUUUUGGUAUUAGCCGGGUGGUAUUUUCUGGCAUGUUGCUUCUAGUUUGGAUAUUAGCCGCUGGGUUUCUGGCAUUUUGGUAUUAGUUGCUGGCAUGUGGCUUGGGUUAUUGGUGGUAUUUUUUGGCAUGUUGCUGCUAGUUUGUUUUUGGCAUUUUGGUAUUAGCUGCUGGCAUGUGGCUUGGGUUCUGGGUGGUAUUUUUUGGCAUGUUGCUGGGUGGUUCAGGCAGUAAUCAUGUUGUUCAUAUGCUCCAGUUUUCUUUUCUUUUAAGUCUAACUAACUGUAAUUGCAAUUAAAAUUUGAUUUGGGUAAUUUCUUUGGCAUUAUUAACUGUAAUUGUUUCCGUUUUUGGGCAGUUUAUUCCCAAGGGACUAUUAACCACAAACAAUGUCAUCCGAGCUAAGUGAGAAUCGGAGCUCAUUGCAAAUGUGUAAUAGAUGCGGUAAUCAUAUGGAGUUGUUAACGUCACGCACAACACAAAAUCCAAAUCGGAAAUUUUGGAUUUGUAGAGGAUGUAAGAACUUUCAAUGGGCAGGAGAUCGUAAACCUACCGAAGAGAAAAUAGACUUGUUAGCGGAUGAAAUUACGAAGUUAGGCUUAGAGAUCGAGUGUUUGUCCGUUAAAUUUCAAUUAUUGCAUAAAGAACUUGAGCAUAUGCGAGAACGUGAAGUGCAGAGGCAAUUAUUGGACGACGAACUUCGAAAGAGAGAGGCACCACGAUAUGAUUUUAUUAAAAUACUUAUGAUUGUUGUAUUAUGUUUUCUCUUAAAGUAUUAUUUUUAAGUUGUUUCAAGUUAAAGACUUGUAGACAUAUGUAAUAGCAUUUUCAUGUUAAAUAUAAGUUUCCGAGUAGUUUGACUCUCUGGAUUUAAUUCACAGUAUUAUGAAAUUAUAAUUUGGCCCUAAAAAUUAUUCUCAAAAUUAUACUAUGGCCCAAAUCAUUCUAAUAUUUUCGGAAUUAAUCCAAUUCUAAACUUUUGAAAAUAAACUUAUUAAUUCAUAGUAUUAUGAAAUUAUAAUUUGGCCCCAAAAAUUAUUCUCAAAAUUAUACUAUGGCCCAAAUCAUUCUAAUAUUUUCGGAAUUAAUCCAAUUCUAAACUUUUGAAAAUAAACUUAUUAAUUCAUAGCAUUAUGAAAUUAUAAUUUGGCCCCAAAAAUUAUUCUCAAAAUUAUACUAUGGCCCAAAUCAUUCUAAUAUUUUCCAAAUUAAUCCAUUUCUAGAAUUUUGAAAAUCAACUUAAGAACUCCAUAAUUUAAAAAAUGUCGAAAUACACAUACACCAAAUUACAUUAGUUCAUUAGUUGAAUAGUACAUAAAACAUAAGCAUAACCUAACUUUGAUUACAUGCUUGGUUCAUUAGUUAAAAACUCCCCUUGAUUGGCCUCCUCGAAAUUUUGUUGCGGUGCAUGUUGCAAGUGCACAUGAUGAGCUGGACCGUAAUUCAUCCAAUACUGAUAGUAAGGGGGGGAAAAUGCAUGUUGUGGGGGUGCUUGUUGUGGUUGCUGUUGUACCAAAAAAAAAAAGUUAAACACAAAUUAUCAAACAUAUGACAAUGAAAGGAAAUAACAAAUAAAAAAAUAUUACCAUAGCCAUAUUGCUCUCUUGUGUUGGGAUUGUAGUGGCCACCUGAGAAGAUAAAUCAUGUAUCUCUGCGGCCUAAGAAUGCAGUCAACACACAUUUAAAGUAUAUAUUAAAUUAAUUUAAAAUGAAUGUAUUAAAGUAUUAAAUUAAUCUAAAGUAUAUACAAUUACCUCUAUAGUUGUGUUUAUCGAAAUGUUGUUCGAUUUCUGUUUUGGCCGCUUAAAUUGCUUUUGCUUUCUUUGACUAGGUGGCCGACCUUUACGCCGACUUACCACUGGAUCUUGUAUGUUACUACUGGAUCCACCAUCAAUGGUUGUAUCGUCGCCGUCACAUCGAACAUUUAGAGAAACAUCCUUCAUAGCUUUCUCAAUCCAACCCAUAAUGUUUUUAUGACUUUCUUCAUUUUUGGAAGCUACCUCAGCAACAUCAUAAAAAGCAGUGCACUCCUCUCUAUAUCGCUGAUGUUCAAUGCUCGAACUCCGUGCAUCAUAACUGACUCUGACUUUACUAGAGAACCUCCGCACAUCUUUCCUCCAUCUUCGUAGGAUAUACUUUUCAGGCAGUAAUUGCACACGGUUACGUGACAACACUGCGAUAGCGUGUUUGCAAAGAAUGCCCUUGUAUUCAAACAUUGAGCACACACAACGAAUUUCACCUUCAUCUUUUUCAAAAAUGACUCUAAAAGUCUUUUCUCUACUCUUUUCAUCGUUUUCAAUAACUUCAUAUUCUGACCCCCCACAACUGAAAACCUCACAAUAUAUCUUAUUCAUCAGCUCUUGCUGAAAUUCCUGAAACUUGGAAAUAGUGUACACUUCUUCAACUUGCUUUUCCAUGGCAAAACUGGUACGGCAUGGCAACCGUUGGCUAAAACUUCGUGCAUCUGCUUGCCAUUCUUUCUCAAUUUUACUUUCCAUUGCUUUCUCAUAUUUCUCCACAAAUUGCUUCAAAGUUGUCUUCGAGUUAACAUACCCAUCAAAGAAAGCAUUCAUACUCUCACUACGUUGAGUGGUUGACAUUCCAGCCCAAAAAGUAGUUUUCACGAAUGCUGGAACCCAACGAUUUCUUUCCACAUACAAAUCAUUCAACCACUGAUUAUUUCUAAGAUCAUAUCUAUCUAACAUGUCAUGCCAAGCUUCCUCGAAUUCAACAGGAGUAUGUAAGUCAUAAACAACAGAGAGUAAUGAAACUCUAAUGGCAUGAUAUUCUGCAUACCUUCCCAACUUCUCAGGCACCUUUUUCAAUAUAUGCCACAAACACCAUCGAUGCCUAGUGUCUGGAAAAACAAUCUGAAUUGCCCUUUUCAUCGCUUUAUCUUGAUCUGUAAUGAUUCCAAGGGGAGGACACCCAGACAUACAUGAUAGCCAUGUGUCAAAUAACCACGUAAAUGUUUCCGUGUCCUCAUGCGAAAUCAACCCACAUCCUAACAAAAUUGAUUGACCAUGAUGAUUAACUCCUACAAAAGGAGCAAAUGGCAUGUCAUACUUGUUUGUUAGGUAUGUGGUAUCAAAUGUGACAACAUCCCCAAAGUCCUUAUAGGCCGCCCUGCUCUUUGGAUCUGCCCAAAAUACAUUUUUUAACCGACCCUCCUCAUCUAGGUCAAUACUGAAGUAAAACCUAUCAUUUUCUGUUUGCAUUUUCUGAAAAUACCUCUGAAUUGCAAUAGCAUCCCCUUCUCCGAGUCUUAAUCGCCUCACCUUGUCAACAUGAUUUCUAGCAUCUCUUUCUAAAAAUGACACAUUUUCAAAGCCACCAGCCUCGACAACAAUCGACUUAAAACUUUGAGCCAUUUUAAUUCCAGCUUCUUCAUUUAUUUCAAGCUGCUUUUUAACAAAAGGACUAAUGGAACGGUUGCAUCGAUAAUACCUACUCUUGCUUGGACUCACGGCAUGGUUGUGUUCAAGGAUCAAAUUUCCAAUUACCCAUUUUCCACUAACAAUAUCCAAACGUCCUCCAAUUUUAGCAUUGCAUCCAAUCUUUUGGUUUGGUUGAAGCCGCAAAACAUUAGUAGCUUUGGCUUUUGACUUGCCGUUUCUCCCACAAGUAAACGUCACAUAUCUCAAACUCCCAUCAUCCCCUUUUCUACAAGAUCUCCGCAUCACUGGAAACCCCUCUUGUAGGCCAUAAGUUUUAUAAUAUUCAAACAUUUCUUCAGGACUAUCAAAAGACAUCCCAACCGUAGGCUCAACAACAUUUUCCACCACCAAUUCCUCAUUGUUUUCUUCCAAAUCAGCCCCCUGUAAAUCCUGCAAUUCCCCAACUUCAUCAACCUCCUCCACUUGUUCGAAAUUAUCCAUUAACUGCUGCAAAUUAAAAUAAUUCAAUCUCUUAUUAGUUAUUUAUCGCAAAUUCAUUAAAUUUAAAAACAAAAUUUCAAAAGCAAAAUGAAACAACUCAGAUGGUAAUUACAUAUUCUCACAUUGCUUUUUCUGUAGCCCCUGUAUUAAUUGCAGAUGAAGAAACACAAUAAUAUGAUCAACUAGUCUUGAAAUAAAUUGAGCCAUGUAUGUAGAAACUCAAAUCGAUUGAUACUGAUCAUAAUUCCUUUCUUCAGAAUAAUAAUAUUAAUUCUCUUGCCUUUAAAAAAACAAUUCCAUUAUACCCAAUUUAAUUACAAACAUAAUUAUAAAAAAACAGAGCCUAGGUCAUUACUCUACCUCCCUUCGUUCACAAUUUUUUAAAUUGAUUUUGAAUCCUACGAAGCUACAACCCAAUUUCAUAAACAACAUCAUUUCUACAUUAAAAAUAGAUUAACAUCACCAUCAAUUUAGCUUCAAACAACUCUGUUUUUUUUUUUCGUAGUGAUGCUAACAGCUAAUGUAUGGAAACUGUUACAAUGUUACUGAAGAAAUAAAUUCAAGAACAUGAGAACUGAAGAAAUAAAUUCACAGGGAAAAAUUUAAAAUUAAAUUAAAAAACAAAAUGCUACAAAGAAGACAGUACCGAAAAAAAAAUUCAAGCUUCCAAAAUUCAAUCUUUCAAGCACAAUGUUAUCUUCCUCUGCCGAAACUAAUCUUGUCGAAACUCAGCCGAAACCAAUCUUGCUGCUGUUGGUCUUGUUCUUCACUAAAUGCAAGGGCUGUGGAUCUCGUUCAGCUUAAUUAGUAGAUGCCGAAACUAAUCAUGCCGAAACCAAUCUUGCUCGCAGCCGAAACUCAACCGAAACUCAGCUGCUCUUGGUCUUGUUCUUCACUAAAUGCAAGAGCUGUAGAUCUCGUUCAGCUUAAGAUGAAGAGGAUGGAGCAAGGGCUGUGCAAGGGCUUUGGUCUUGUUCUUCACUAAAUGCAAGGGCUGUGGAUCUCGUUCAGCUGCUGUUACAAGGGCUGUGGAUCUCGUUCAGCUGCUGUUGCAAGGGCUGUGGAUCUCGUUCAGCUUAAGACGAAGAAACGAAAAAGAAAUGAAGAAAGGAUGGAAGAAACGAAAGAAAUGAAGAAAGCCUGGAAGAAACGAAAAAAAAAAAUUAAAGAAAACGACGCAAAUAAGAAGCCGCGAAGUAAAAAAAAAUUUAAAAACAAAACGACGCCGUUUUGUAUUUUUUGGGGUUUGACCCGGGACAAACAUCAGCACUCAUUAUUUAUUACUCAUUUACUACUAUUAUCAUUAUUGUCGUUAUUUUCCUUUUAAAACGGUGCCUUUGCUAUAUAUUAUCAGGGGAAUCUUGGGAACCAGAAAAUGAUUGGUACUGAUUCAAAAAGUCCCAAAAUCAUCACAGUUUUGAGGUUUAACCCCACAAGGAAGAAAAGAAGCUAAAAUUACAUGGUCACUUGAUUUCAAUUGCAUAGGCUGGAUGGGUGGACUUAGUAUGAAAUGGCGGCCGAGAUAAAAAGAGAAGUAGCAGGAACAUUUUGCACCACUGUAUCAUGACUGCAAUUUCUGCACAAUAAAAAGCUUAUUUAUAUGCCACGAUAAUAUUUAACUUAUUUAUACAAACAUCUUAUCAAGGCACAGAUGAACUUUAAAUUCAAAGAUGGCAAUUCAAAAGCAAUAAUAUUCCAGCAACUAAUACGAUAAAAGUCUAUGAUUAGCAUUAGCAUUGUGACACGGGGUACAUAUACAAGCUUACCAUUGGUUUGAUUUGGUAGAGUUGGCAAUGGCGCGGGUCCAAUGAGUUCUAUAAGAGGACCAAUAAAUUAAAUAAUAUAAUUUUAUAUAUUUUUGGAAUAAAAACCUUAAUUUCCGCACCACUUAAGUUUUUCUCGUAUUAAUGAUGGGCUCCAGUUCCUGAUGAAGCCUUCUGGGAUUUCCUGACCCUGUGUAGACGUGGCAAAAUUUUGUUUGUCGCAUAAACAGUUCAUAGCAAGGAGAGCAGCCAUGUUUGACUUUUUAGAAGGAAACAAUAUUGGAAUAAGCAGGAAGCAAGCUUUAGGAUGGCUCUCCACGCAAAUAGGCUGUAAGAUGAUUUAAGCCGCGUGUUUAUUUUAUGGAAAUGUGAAUGGGAAUAGAGUAGAAUGAGAAUGAGAAUAGGCGGAAAUGAAAAUGAGGAAUAUGAAUGAGAUUUUAAUAUUUAUUUUAUAAAAAUAAAUAGAAAUAAGAAUGUGUUGAAAUGUCAUUGAUGUGUUUAUUUGAUAAAAUAAAUGGGAAUGAGGAAUGGAAAUGGGAAUGGGAAUGAGAAUCAAUUUAUUAAAAUAUCCAUAAUAUUAAUAAUUAAUAAAAAUAAUUAAUUAAUCAUGAUUAAAAAUAUUAUCAUUAUUGUUUUUCUUGUUGUUGUUAUUAUUAUUAUUAUUAUUAUUAUUAUUAUUAUUAUUAUUAUUAUUAAUAAAAUUUUAUUAUUAAAUUUUAUUAACUUUAUUAUUUUAGUUAUUAUUAAUUACAUUAAUAUUAUUUUUAUUAAUAUUAUCAUUAUUAUUAACUUUAUUAUUUUAGUUACUAUUAAUUAUUGUUAAUAUUAUCUUUAUUAAUAUUAUCAUUAUUAACAUUUAUUAUUAUUAUUAAAAUUAAUUUUUAUUAACUUUAUUAUUUUAGUUAUUAUUAAUUAUUGUUAUUAUUAUUUUUAAUAAUAAUAAUAAUAAUGAUAAAUGUUAAUAAUGAUAAUAUUAAUAAAAAUAAUAAUAACAAUAAUUAACAAUAACUAAAAUAAUAAAGUUAAUAAAAUUUAAUAAUAAUAAUAAAAUUAAUAAUAAUAAUAAUAACAACAAUAAGGAUAAUAUUGUUAAUAAUGAUAAAUUAAUUAUUUUUAUUAAUUAUUAUUUUUAUUCUUAAUAAUGAUAAUAUUAAUGAAAAUAAUAAUAAUAAUUAAUAAUAACUAAAAUAAUAAAGUUAAUAAAAUUUAAUAAUAAUAAUUAUUAUUAUUAUUAAUGACAUUUAAAAUAAUAAAAUUAUUUGUGAUUUGAACAAGGGUAAUUUAGGAAAUAUGAAAAAAUUAGAAUGAUAUAAAAGUAAAUUUAUGUUUCAUUCUCAUUCCCACAUUUUAUUCCCAUUCACAAAUUACAUUUUACCAAGUAAACAUAAGUUUAUUCUCAUUCCCCAAACCCACAAGUAAACAUACCAUAAGUUCGAAAGGAAACUUGUAAAACUAGCUCCCUUCAACUUUUCAGACGGGGAAAAUUGUGGAUGACUGAUCAACACGUGUAAUUUAGACAGCUUAAAAGAAUAAAUUAAUAUUAUCAUAUGCAACAUAUAAUUAUGAAAAUGUCAAAAAGUGUAAUUAGAAAAUUUUGCUUAAGUAGAGAGAGAAUCAAAUAUCACAAACUUCCUUUAAUUUACUACUUUAUAUAUGCAUUGCUUGAAGCUUGUAUAAAGUAAAGCUCUUUCACUUAUUAAACGUUAAUUUUAAGUAUUAAUUAAUAAAUUAAUAAUGCUUGAUUAGAAAAAAAUAAGGGAUAUUAAAAUUUUGUUAAUAUUCUCAUACGCUCGUGAGUAUAUUAAAGUUUAUAUAACAUUUGAUAUAUUAUUAUUUCAAUUAGACUAGACCAUAACAUUUUUCCAUAAUAAACUUUUUUUUAUGUAUACACCCCCCAAAUUUUAUGUGGUGAAAUAAAUGACAUAUCGUAUAAAUCAUUAUAAAAAAUAAUUAAAAGAGACGACUACAUCUGUAAUCAAACAGAAAGGAGUGAAGAAUGAUGGGACAAAGACAUAAAAGAGAAAUGAUCAAAGAUCAGCCUCCUUCGGUGUCUGUAUUUCGAAUAUGGUUUGCAAGAAAAUUCCUUUCAAACUGUGUAUAGAAAGAGAUUUGCUGUUGUGUUAACUAUCUCUGUUGAUUUCUCUAAUAUCAUAUGUACUCUCUCAUAUAUAAUAAAUUAUUAAAUCAGUAGUAAAUUAACUUAACUUGCCUUAUCCAUUUAUUCUUAAUAAGUUUUUUAGCAUUAAUUUGGGUGAAGGGGGAUACAAUAGAUACAAUUGGACAUGACUGGAAGUAUAGACGAAAUGGUUUCUUUGAGGAUUUUGUUUUUCCGUUGUCUUAUAUGCUUGUGAAAAAUCCAAAACUGGGAUGCGGUCAUGGAAUGGUUCCCUAAAUGAACGGACAGGCGGCAGAUGAAGCAGUCAUAGGUAAGUAUUGUUAGGAAUUUGAGUUGGUAUUUCAAAAUACUAAUAUUUCACAUUGUUUAGACAAGAUAACACAAAUUGAUUUAUUUAUAGAAAUUAUAUACAUUUAGGUAACAAGAGCCUAAGAAAGGAGCCCGAGGAAGGAUCCUACACAUCAAGUAGUCCUACGACGACAUCCCCGUCGCUAUCGCGCACUAAAGAUAAAGAAGCCCAAAAGUCCUACGACGACAUCCCCGUUGCUAUCGCCACCUAAAGAUAAAGAAGCCCAAAAGUCCUACGACGACAUCCCCGUCGCUAUCGCCAACUAAAGAUAAAAGUCGUCCGACGACAUCCCCGUUGCAAUCGCCCACUAAAGAUAAAGAAGUAUUAUUUUCUAUUGACCAGGAAAUAAGAAGCUAUGCUAUUCACCAACACAAUGUACGGGUGUCGCUAUUGCCCGGGGAAAUAAGAAGCUAUGCUAUUCACCAACACAAUAUACGGGUGUCGCUAUCGCCCAAUAAAUAUAAAGAAAUACUCUUUGCCAUUGCCAUGGCUGUUUAAAUCCUUCUCUACCUCAAAGAAACCCAGGAACCCUUCAAUUCAAACCUCAGAAAAUGUGCCUCGGAAAUAACCCAUAUCAGUGCUCUGUGUUCUGGUACGAGGAUGAAAACCUCGUUCACUUCAAGUACCCUCUUCCACCAGGGGCGAAGCAAGAGGAUGUGAAGGUUGAGAUUGAUGAAGAUGAGAACUUGCUUACAGUAUCCCUAAGCUUCCCGAAGAAAAAGGAAGGAGACACCACCACCCCCAUAAUCUCAAUGAAAUUCAACUUGCCAGCGGGUCUUGACCUGGUUGGGUUGAAGACUACAAUCGAUGAUGCGGGCGUUCUAGCUGUUACCUUCACUAAACUGAAGCCGCAGAAGCCAGAGAAGAAAAAACCGAUGCCAAUCCCAAAGAAGAUGUUGGGUUGGUUGCUUAAAGCUGCGCCUAUUUGCUUCCUGAUAGGUUCCAAGAUGGGUGAUGAGAUGAGUUCGGGAGACUACUAAUAAGCUGGUGUCAAGUUGGUAUUUGCUUCGCGUUCAUGCUUCUGUUCUCUUGCAUAUGUAUUAGCGUUUGAAAAUAACUCUGGACUGUAGAGUCUAGACCACGUGUUCGUUGAUGUGUGUGUUCUGCUGCAUCUCCUUUUUUUUUCAGAACUUUGUCUCAUAAAAAAUGAUAAAUGUUGUUGACUGAAAAAUAAAUGUUUUUUUUUUCUUUUAAUAGUGUUGAAUGAAAAAAAAAAUGUUUGUUUGCGUAGUACCGAUCUGGGAACUCAAGUGUUCCACUUUCGUGCAUACGUAUGCAAUGAGACAGCCCCAAGAUAUUGGAGUAAAAUAUUUGGUUCCAAAAUUCUAUACUACUCGUGCAUACGUAUGAAAUAAGAUAGCCCAAUUUCUUCUUAACUUUGUCUCGUUUUCUUUUCUUUCUUUAAGUUUAUUACCAAAUUAAAAUUUGUUGAGAAGGGGAAAAAAAAUCCAGAAGAAGGUGACGGCUGCUUGGGGAGAAGGCGGUAAAAAAAGGAAAAGAAAGAAAAUUAAUUUUUAUUAAGUCAGUUUUAUAAUAUUAGAUUUCAUUUCUAUCCAUGCGAUUUUACUAUUUAAAUCCAAUAUUCUAUUAUUCAAGUCUAAGGACUCACUCAUUUGCCAUAAUGUACCUAAUAAUUAGUACAGGAUAAUGUAACUUAACAUUGUUACUUUUUUUUUUUUUUUUCAAUUGUUAGCGUUGGCACAUUUUUUUAUUUUAAAAAAAAUGAGUGCACUGGUAAUGGGUUGAGCCAAAUGGUCCAGCCAUACCCCCACUUGCCACUUUUCGCCUUUUAUAACCUCCGAUUUCAACGCAUUAGAGAGUAAAGACAACCUUUGAAGACGAGAACAAGAUAACAAAGAAAAUAAAAUGACCCAUGUCCAUAGAAAUCUACAUAAAAUUCUCAGGUUUCUGCAGUUGCACAUAAACAAAUAUUUCAAGAUCACGGCAACUUUUGCAACUCAUUCCUUGAGCUUGAAGCUGGCCAUCGUAGAAAUACCUCGGUAAUAUGUUACAACAAAUAUUUACCUUCACUAAACUGAAGCAAGAGGAAAAGCCAGUCUCAAGAUCGAAGAAGAUACUGCGAGGUUUGGCUAAAGCUGUGUCUAUUUGUUUCUUGAUAGAUUACAACAUAAGUGAUGAGAAAAGUUGAGAAGACUACUAAUUAGCGGGUGUCAGGUAAGAUAUUUGCUAACAUCAUGUUUAUUGAUUUGGUGAAAAAGGAAUUUGCUUUAUUUGGAUCCUAAAGGGGGGAAAUCCUGAUUCUGAUUCAUUUUUUAGAUUUCUUCAAAAAGAAUAUUUCAGUAAGAGAGUGCAGAGUAGGGCACCAACAAAAUAUAAAACAUAGAAUAAGAAACAAGGUUGCAAAAAACAAACCUGCAGUAAACGACGACACUUUAAUUUCCUCUGCAGUUUCAUCUUCUCUGAUUCUUUGUUAGGAUCCCACAUUGACUAGAUAUGGGACUAGUUGGUAGUUUAUUAACCCCAAGGCACCCUCCUCUUACAGGUAAGUUUUUGAGAUUAAGUCCCACCUUGUGGGUUUGUAACAAUUUGUGUGUUCGGAAACGUUCACUGUGCUUUGCCAUUGGAGAGAAUCAGAGAGCUUGAAGUAGGUGGCCAAUUGGCUCUCUCCCAAAUACAUGUGUUAAUGGGAUGCGCUCUAUUGCUGACUUUUUAUUGGCCCAUGUAACAAAUGUUUUUUCCUUUUUUUUUUCUUUUAUGUUUUUUUAUUGUUGAUUCUAUCAUGCUUCUUUGCUUGAAAAAUGGGCAAAUUGUCAAAGUCAAUUGUAAGAAUCUGCAGAAUUAUUUUGAACUUUGCUGGAAGGUAGUGUUGAAACUUGGUUAUUCAAAUUCCGAAAAUCAUUAUGUUUUGAGGUUUGACCAGAGAAGGAACAUAAGAGUAUUUCAAAUUAAAACCACAAUUACGGGAUCACUUUCUAAUACCACAAUUACAUGAUCACAUCAUUUCAGUUGCUUAGGCUAUGUGGUUGACUUAAUGAAAUAAUGACGAUAAUGAUCAUAACUGAGGAAAAGAAGAACAAGCAUGAACAUUUUGCACCACUGUAUUAUGAAUAUAAUUCAUUCAAAGUAAAAGGCUCUAUAUAUGGAAUAUUAAUAUUGAAUUAGAGUUAGUUAUAUACAAGGUCUUAGAUGUUACACAAUUAUUAUUAAAUUAUGUAAAUCAGUUCCUUUGUCCUUCAUGCUAUGGCUAAGUAUAUUUUCAUGCUUGUUGCAGACCUCUGUGGUUAAUGUAGUGAGACCUUGCUGGAUCUUGAGCCAUUUAAUAUGAUGUCGCACUUGACCAAAAAUGGAAACCUCGUGGACAGUUUGAUGUAAUUAUUAUUGCUUGUAAAUGGUGAUACAAUGCUGCUACCCUUGCUCUUUCUCUCUCAACAGCAUUUUAUAGUCUUAAAAUUUUGCAUUAAGAAAAUGAAUGUUUUUGUUAAUUGCAGUGGCAAAAUGUUAAAUGGGCUUCGCUAUUGGGGGAGAAAAAAAAAAUCGAUUUUACAUUCCAUCAUUACCUUGGAUUCAGGAGUUGCAAAGGUUCAAGUUUUGUACAGCAAUACAGGGAAACCCUCUGCAAAUGCAAACCCCUAUGAACGGGAUCCCACUUCAUGACAAUCCUUGGGGGUUUUGAGUUGGAAUAAUCUGGCAGGUUAAAAGUUGUGCCAAUUAAUUAUCUAUAGAAUAUAUGUUAUGUUACAUUAUAUGACUAUAUAGUGAUUCAUUGUGGGAUACUAGGAUAUCAAAAAGAGCUCAAAAUUUCAUACAGAUUUUCUCCCUAAAUUUGGUCAAAAACUGAUGGAUAGAUUUCAACUAAGCUUCAUGGCAAUUUGUAGGUGUAAACAUCUAGAAGGCUGGGACUAAAUACCAUUUGACUAGGUUAGAAUAAUAUGAGCUGAGCUUUUAAUCUAUGUUAUUCAUUCAAUUGCUUUUUCAGAUGUCCACAAUUCAUCAUGUUUCGAUGCUUCAUGCUGCAUUUAUCCAGUUUGUAGAGGCUGGAACUAAGUUCUAUAUGGACACUUCUUGUGGCAUCUGAGGAGCCCCGUCUGCUAGGUAGUGUAGCAUCAUUUAAGGAACCUUUGUUAAAGGCGUUGAUUCUGUCUCAUGGAUGGCAAAUAACUCAGCAGCGAAGCUUUUAAGUGUGGAAAAGUCACUUGUUUUCUAUCCUAUUUUUAAGGAAAAAAGAUAAGGAUAGAAAAGAAAUAAGAUAGGGAUAGAAUUUCAGUUUUUUAGAUAGAGUUUGUUUCCUAGUUUCUUGGUCUGCAGUUAGUUGUUUACUUUCCUACUCUAGCACAUUAUGUAGUUUAGAAUCUAUAUAUAUGUAUUGUGUAACCCUAUUGUAAAGAUAAGAAAAUGAGAUACAUAUUUCUUCAAUAAUUUUCUCAUGGUAUCAGAGCCGCUCUUUGAUUCUUGGAUUUAGUUUUCAAUUCUAUUUGAAUACCAAUGUCAAAGUAUAGCGAGCAAGAAACUUCUGAGUUGUCUUCAGAGCAAUUGCAACGGCAUCUACAACCAUCAAGUUAUGUUUCUAAUGAUAGUCCAUCACUUCAGAUCACAAUCCAUAAAUUGAAUGGUCAAAAUUUUCUUCAGUGGUCCCAAUCUGUGAAGAUGUUUAUCAGAGGUAAAGGGAAGAUUGGUUACCUUACUGGUUCAAUUAAAGAACCAACUGAAGAAGACCCAAAGUUUCAAACUUGGGAUGCUGACAACUCAAUGAUCAUGUCAUGGUUAGUGAAUUCAAUGGAAUCGGAGAUAGGUCAAACUUACUUGUUCUUGCCAACAGCAAAGGAUUUGUGGGAUGCUGUCACCGAGACCUAUUCUGAUUUGGGAAAUUCUACUCAGAUUUAUGAUCUGAAAACCAGAAUUCGAGAAACCAAACAAGGUAGUCAAGGAGUGACUAAAUACUACAAUAUUUUGAAGGGCUUAUGGCAAGAGUUAGAUCAGUACUAUGAUGGCGAGUGGGAAUGUGCUGCUGAUAGUGCUAAAUACAAGAAGAUGUUAGAAAAAGAGCGUGUAUUUGAAUUCUUAGCAGGUUUGAGUUCAGACCUUGAUGAAGUCCGUGGGCGAGUACUUGGCAAGGAACCUCUUCCUUCUACCAGGGAAGUGUUUUCUUAUGUAAGAAGAGAGGAAAGUAGAAAGAAUGUGAUGAUGGGAGGUUCUUCAGCAGAGAACUCAGCCUUGAUCUCUGUUACACCAGAAGCUCCACUGAUUGGGGGAACAAAAAACCUGAAGAAGAGUGAUGAGAAGGACAGAGUUUGGUGUGAUUAUUGUCACAAGCCAAGACAUACCAGAGAUGCAUGUUGGAAGCUUCAUGGAAAACCUCCAAAUUUGAAAAACAAUAAAUUCUCUGGUAAACAUAGUCGAGGUUUUCAAGUUUUUGGGGAGAAUCAGCAGACAAUCAACACUGGAGAAUCCGAAUCUCAACUCUUCACUAAAGAGCAGUUAGAGCAACUGUACAGGUUUCUUAAUCAGUCACAAUCUCUCCCAAAUCCUUCAUCUUCUAGUUCUUUAGCCCAGAAAGGUAAUAAUUUCACUGCUUUAGGAGUUGUUUAUGAGAAAAAAGAUCCAUGGAUCAUCGAUUCAGGAGCAACAGAUCAUAUGACCAGCCAUUCUAAAUUAUUUUCUUCAUAUAUUCCAUGUUCUGGUAGUCAAAAAAUUAAAAUUGCUGAUGGUUCACUAUCUUCUGUAGCAGGAAAAGGAUCUAUUCCUAUCUCCACAAAUUUGGUGUUAACAUUUGUUCUUCAUGUUCCUAAUUUGUCUUGUAAUCUUUUAUCUGUUAGCAAAAUUACCAAGGAUCUUCAUUGCAUUGCUAAAUUCUCUCCUUCCUAUUGUGAAUUUCAGGACCUGUGUUCGGGGAAGAAGAUUGGCAGUGCUAGAGAGGUAGAUGGUUUGUACUACUUUGAGGUGGAUGUUAGUUUGUGUGGAGAAGCUCAGGCAGCAAAUAAUGAACUAACUUUCUCUAUUGAAGAUGAAAUAAUGUUGUGGCAUCGCCGAUUAGGUCAUCCUAGUUUUUCUUAUUUACAACAUUUGUUUCCUUUGCUGUUCAAGAAUAAAAAUCCUUCUUUGUUUCAGUGUGAAAUUUGUGUAUUGUCCAAACAUCAUCGUGCAUCUUUUCCUUCACAGCCGUAUAAAAAAUCUGCACCUUUUUCUCUCAUACACAGUGAUAUUUGGGGACCUUCUCGUGUUACAAACAUUUCGGGGGCUAAAUGGUUCAUAACUUUUAUUGAUGACCACACUCGUGUUUGUUGGGUGUACUUGCUUAAAGAAAAAUCAGAAACUGCAACAGUUUUUAAAACCUUUCAUACCAUGAUUCAAACACAAUUUCAAGCAAAAAUCCAAGUCUUUAGAACUGACAAUGGGAGAGAAUAUUUUUCUACUGCCCUUGGUCAUUAUUUCAUGGAAAAUGGCAUUGUGCACCAAUCCUCUUGUGUAGAUACUCCUCAGCAAAAUGGUAUUGCUGAACGGAAAAAUCGACACUUGUUAGAAGUUGCACGCUCUCUUAUGUUCACAAAUAGGGUGCCAAAACAGUUUUGGGGUGAAGCCAUUCUCACAGCAUCAUACUUGAUAAAUCGUAUGCCUACCCGAAUCUUUAAUUUUCAGUCUCCAUUAAAUGUUUUCACAAAAUUCUAUCCUACCACUAAGUUUUUCACAUCUUUACCACCCAAGAUUUUUGGGUGCAUUGCUUUUGUUCACGUUCAUACACAGAACAGGAGCAAACUUGAUCCUAGAGCUUUAAAAUGUGUAUUUCUUAGCUAUUCUCCUACUCAAAAAGGCUACAAAUGUUACGAUCCAUUGUCUAAAAAAUUCUUCGUCACAAUGGAUGUCGCAUUUUUUGAAAAUAGAUCUUUCUUUCCCAAAACUUCUCUUCAGGGGGAGAAUCAUACUCAGGAAGAUCAUUUUUGGGAAUUAUCUCUCCCAAUGCCUAUUAUGUCUUGUGUACCUUCUGUUCCUUCUACAAUGCCAUCAAUUGUGAAUAAUGAAAAAUCAUUAGAGAGAGUUCCAGAACCAGAGUUUCAAGUCUACACACGACGGAAUUCGAAAAGGUCAAAUCAUCAUUCCUCUCCUCACUGCCAAGACUCGGAUCCAAACACAGGCAACUUGGAACUUGCAGGUAACAUUCAUUCUAAUCCUAUUUCAGAAUCUGUUUUAGAAACUACAAAUGAUCUAGAUGUUCCAAUUGCACUACGAAAAAGAACUAGGUCUUGUACUCUUCAUCCAAUUUCUAAGUAUGUGUCAUAUCAUAGAUUAUCUCCAUCUUUUAGAGCUUUUGCAGCUAACCUGUCUGUCAUAGCAAUUCCAAAAUCUGUACAAGAUGCUCUUUCUAUUCCAGAAUGGAGAGAUGCUGUGUAUGCAGAGAUGAGAGCUCUAGAAAAAAAUAAAACUUGGGAACUAGUCAAAUUACCAGAAGGAAAAAAACUAGUGGGUUGCAAGUGGGUUUUUACAAUUAAAUACAGAGCAGAUGGGUCACUUGAGCGGUACAAAGCUAGGCUUGUCGCGAAAGGUUUUACACAAACAUAUGGCAUUGACUACCAAGAAACAUUUGCUCCCGUGGCAAAGAUGAAUUCCAUUCGGAUUUUGUUGUCUCUUGCAGCAAGCUUAGGAUGGCAACUACAACAGUUAGAUGUUAAGAAUGCGUUUCUUAAUGGAGAGCUUGAAGAAGAGGUAUAUAUGGAUCUACCACCAGGUUUUGAGAAUGAAUAUGGUAUUGAAAAAGUGUGCAAGCUGAAGAGAUCACUUUACGGCUUAAAACAAUCUCCUCGAGCUUGGUUUGACAGAUUUACCAAAUCUGUUCAUAGCUUUGGAUAUUUACAGAGUCAAGCAGAUCAUACAAUGUUUUUUAAACACUUCACUGAUGGUAGUGUUGUGAUCCUCAUUGUAUAUGUAGACGAUAUCAUCUUGACUGGAAGCAAUGUAAUAGAAAUGGAAAAUCUCAAGAAGGUUCUUGCUAGAGAAUUUGAGAUGAAGGACCUUGGACCCUUAAGAUAUUUUUUGGGCAUGGAAAUUGCAAGAUCCAGUAAAGGCAUUUUUGUUUCUCAAAGGAAAUAUACUUUAGACUUACUCAAGGAAACUGGCAUGUUGGGAUGCAAACCUAGAGACACUCCUAUUGAUCCUUAUCAGAAAUUGGGAUAUACAAUUGAAGGAAAAUCAGUGGAUAGAGAAAGUUACCAAAGGUUGGUCGGUAAGUUGAUAUACUUGUCUCAUACUAGGCCAGACAUAGCCUUUGCAGUAAGUGUUAUUAGUCAAUUUAUGCACUCUCCAUGUAAAGAGCACUUAGAAGCUGUUUACAAGGUUCUCAAGUACCUGAAAAAAACUCCAGGAAAAGGCCUGCUAUUCAAGAAAAAUAACAAUCUGCAAGUUGAAGUAUAUACUGAUGCAGAUUGGGCUGGAUCUGUUAUUGAUAGAAGGUCAACUUCAGGGUAUUGCACAUUUGUGGGAGGAAACUUGGUAACUUGGAGGAGUAAGAAGCAAUCAGUGGUUGCAAGAAGCAGUGCUGAAGCUGAAUUUAGAGCAGUAGCACAUGGUAUUUGUGAACUUUUGUGGUUAAAGAAGCUACUUGAAGAAUUGAAGAUUAUCAUUGAUGUUCCUAUGAAGUUGUAUUGUGACAACAAGGCAGCAAUAAACAUUGCUCAUAACCCUGUUCAUCAUGACAGAACUAAACAUGUUGAAGUGGAUCGUCAUUUUAUCAAGGAGAAAAUAGAAAGUGGUUUGAUAUGCAUGACCUUUGUUCCAACAACAAAGCAGCUAGCUGAUAUUCUUACUAAAGGACUUCAUAAAUCAAGCUUUGAGUCACUAACUAGCAAGCUGGGAAUGAUUGAUAUCUUCGAACCAGCUUGAGGGGGAGUGUGGAAAAGUCACUUGUUUUCUAUCCUAUUUUUAAGGAAAAAAGAUAAGGAUAGAAAAGAAAUAAGAUAGGGAUAGAAUUUCAGUUUUUUAGAUAGAGUUUGUUUCCUAGUUUCUUGGUCUGCAGUUAGUUGUUUACUUUCCUACUCUAGCACAUUAUGUAGUUUAGAAUCUAUAUAUAUGUAUUGUGUAACCCUAUUGUAAAGAUAAGAAAAUGAGAUACAUAUUUCUUCAAUAAUUUUCUCAUUAAGUUUUUGAAGUGAUGGUCCUCAUUGUUGGACCUUAUUCAGCACUUUAGCCUAUGGAAAACAAAACAAGGUUCCACAGGUCUGUUUGUACAUAAAUGUGUGUCUUAUUUAAAAUACUUGUUUUCACAAUAUGAUAGCAUUGACACACCUUUUUUAUCAAUUGCCUAGACCUGUUGAAUCCAUUCAUACUUCAGCUUGAAAUCCGAGCAAUUGAAACAAGGCUGCAAUGAGUUCAAUUUUGGACUAUCCUUGUAGUUGUCUUAUUUCCCUAAUGGAUGUAUCUUUUAAGUGCUGUAUUAGGCAUACGAAAUUUAUUAAAUGAAAGCAAAUCAGGAGUUGGUCGUAAAUUGGUCUUAAAAGCAUGUUGUUCAAGGAAUGCAAUACAAACGGUAAGUUUAUUUGAGACAAUUCAUAGGGCUUCCCUUGAGUCAAAAAUAGUCAUAUUACCAUUUAAACUGACAUGAUAUGUUCUUCCAGUUUAUUCAAAGAAUUAUGAGAAGAAUCUCGGGCAUGUUAAUUGAAAAAUGCCCAAAAUGGACUGUUCAUAUUCAUGCCAUAGAAUCCCAAGUAUGUUAAUUUUAAACUCCAAUUAAAUGUUCUAAUCUUUCUUCAUUCAUUUAAGCAUGUGUUCCAUGAUUCAUGCUUUCUUUUUCCCCUUUUAAUUUUUCCUCUUGUUCUGUUUUAGCUUCCAUUAUAUCGGGAAUUGGUUGUUAAUGAUUUUGGAAAAAGGACUUGUUUUAUUUGGAUCCUAAGAGUGGCAGUCCUGAUCGUAAUUAUGUUCUCUUUUCCAUUUGAUGCCAUUCAUAUUUAUAGGUUUCUUCAAUAUAUUUAAGAAAUAACAACUGUAGUUAUUUCAUACAAUGCCAUGACACUGUUCACUACGCAGUAUUUAUAGUAAGGAAGAAAUGAAAUUAUAGAUCUAAGAUAAGAUUUGUGGAGGUAAAACGCACUAUCUUACCUAAGUGCAGUGUGGCUAUUACUUUAACUAAAACAAAUGAGAUUUGUCACUAAUUUUUUAGUUUUUAACUGUGAAUAGACCCGUAACAAGUGGGAAAUGUGGAGUAUGGCCAUUAUGUCAUACGCCCUCUUGCUGACUCUUUAUUAGCCUAGGUGACAAAUCUUUGUUUUGCUUUUGUGUUCCUUUCUUGUUGAUUCUAUCAUGUUUCUUUGUAUUAAAAAGGGGAAAACUGUCUAAUUAAAUCACAAUGGUAAGAAACCUAAGUAUUGUUUUGAAGUUUGCUGGAAGGUAGUGUUGCUGCUUGGGUAUUCAAAGUCCCAAAAUCAUUAUACCUUUGAGGUUUGGCCAGAGAAGGAAGAUAAGAGUAUAUGAAACUAAAAGCUACAAUUACAUGGUCACAUCAUUUUAAUUGCUUAGGCUGCAUGGCUACACUUAAUGAAAUGUGCCAAUAAUGAUCAUAACUGAGGAAAAGAAUAACCAGCACGAACAUUUUGCACCGCUGUAUGAUGUCUACAAUUCCUGUGAAGUAACAGGCUCUAUACAUGGAUAAUGGAUUAUUAAUAGUGAGUUGGAGUUAGUUAUAUACAACAUCUUACAUUGUAUACCUUUAUUUUUAAAUUAUGUAAAUAAGUUCAUAUGACCUUCAUGCCUUGGUGUAAUGCAUUUGAUGCUUGUUGCAGACCUCUAUGGUUAAUGUAGCGAGACCUUGCUGGAUAAGUAAUCUUGAGCCAUUUAAUGGGAUGUGGCACUUGAGCGAGAAUGGGAAACCUCGUGGGCAGUUUGAUGUGGUUAUUAUUGCUCAUAAUGGUGAUUCAGUGCUGCUAUCCUUACCGUUCUGUCUCUGUGUGGAUGUUAUAGUCUUACAUUUGCAUUCCAGAAAUGCAGGUUUUUGUUUUUUGCAGUUGCAUGAAUGAGAAAAUUGGCUUUGCUAUUGGAAAAAAAUAAAAUAUUUCUUAUUUUACUCUCUAUCAUUACAGUGGAUUAGGAAUGGCAAAUAAUCUGGUUUGGUACGGGGAAACCCUGCCCAAAUCCAGACUCCUAUGGAAAGGGUCCCUCUUCCUAACCAACCUGGAAUACCGUGGCGGGUUAGAAUGCAUAUAGUAUUACAUUGUAUGACUUUAUAGUUUGCUGAGUUCUUAUGUUUUUUGGGAUAUUAGGACUUGCAGACUUUUCACUGUAAAUUUGGAGAAAAUGAUGGCUAGAUUACAAGUAAGAUUAAGAGCAACUUGUAUAUUUAGACAACUGGAAGACUGGUAUUGAAUGGCUAUUAGUUAGGUUAGAAUAAGAUGUGCUGAACUUUCAAUCUAUGUCAUUCAUUCACUGCCUUUAGAUUUCUCCACAACUCAUCAUGUUGAGUAUUAUGUAGGUUGUUAUGGAAGAGUUGAAAAUAUCUAUAUAAAUUUAACAACCAGAUUAGGUUUCUUGAUCCAGAAGUCAAGGUUAUGUUUGUUUCCUUAAUCUUUCUACUGUUAAUUGCCUAUGUCUUUCUCUGUUUACAUUUUGGCUUAGCUUUGUAAUUAUAGUACCUUCAUGUAAUGAUAGGAAAUGUGCAAAUUGGUUGCUUGGUUUAUCUGGCUUACCUCAAAUAGCUAUACAAAUGAAGGUAUAUGCUUUGAAAUAUACAGUUUUUUAAUAUUAUCUACCCUAUGUUUUAUUCAGUAUCAGCCAUUUCUAAUUAUUUUGAAGAUUCAUGAUGCAUUUUCCUGGUUUGUAGAGGUUGGAACUAAGUUCUAUAUGGGCCCUUCUUGCUGCAUUGGAGGACCUCCUCCCACUAGGCAGUGCAUCAACUUUGAAGGCGCCUUUGCUACAGGUGUUGAUUCUGUCUCAUGGAUGGCAAAUAACUAUGCAAAACUUUUGAGUUCUCAGAGUGAUGCUCCUCACUGUUGGACUUCUUCACCGCUGCAGCUUUAUGGAAAACGAAACAAAGUUCCACAGGUCAGUUCGUAUAUAAAUGUGUGUCUUGUUUAAAGUACUUGCUUACCCUGUUACAUCAUCAUUAAAUGCUAGCAUUGGCACACUUCUUAACCAAUUGCCUAGACAUCUAUUUGAAUCCAUUCAUGCUUCAGUAUUUAUUCCAAGUUAUUGAAACAAGGCUGCAAUAAGUUCAGUCUUUUCGUGCAUAUUUGUUUCCCUUUUAUACUCGAAUCAAUAUGACAUUUCAGUUUUACAGCAAACUUUGGUGCUGUGUAGGUACGUAUCUGUUGCAAUCUAGGCUUUCUGCAAGAUUUUUUAUGAUUGUUUUUAUCAGUAUUUUGAAAAUUAUCCCAACUGCAACAGCAGAGAAGGUGAAAAUGGGUAUGCUCGAGGGUGUUGAGGCUGUACUUGGCCUACCAAAAAGUUCACUUCAGAAGCCUGUUUAUACUCGGGUCCAAUUAUGGUAAGACUCCACGUUUAAGGACAUGACCUUGUUUCAUUUUUAUCUUGUCCAUUUGGAUCCUUGUGACCUACUUGGGCUGUAACUAUUUGCUGUUGGUGUUGCUUUGGAAUGAGUGGUUUAUUUGGACAAACUUAACAAGUUUUUGUGUGGACUUGUGUAUAGUCCUAGUUCUAUUUUCCUGUUAUGCUCAUUUGAAAAACAAGAUGGAACAUGUCGUUCCGAUUUAUUAAAUAUAUAAAACAACUUGAGAAUUUCAUAAUUAAGAAAAUAGUUCCUCUGUGACGAAUUUGGUAUUUUUCUUUUUCUUUUUUUUGGGGGUGGGGGGGGGGGGGGGGGGGGGGGGUGGGGUUUGUAGGGGUGCAGCUCUUCCAACUAAUACUCCAAGUGUUCCAUGUAUCUUUGUUCCUCAAGGAAGGGCCAGUAUAUGUGGCGGUUGGCUGUUGGCUGCAAGUGUAGAGUUAAGGCAGCAUGGCUCUUGCCAAUCAUGUAAGCAAGAAUAUGAUUUUCUUUUGCUUAUUUGUUUUAUUUUGUGCAUAUAACUGUAUAUUUCAUGGUUGACAUAAAGUAAAUAAAUAAAUAAAUAAUUCUAACACAACCUUUUUGUCCCUAUAUGGACAUCUAAAUAUAAAUUUGUAGAUUGGCUUCAAUCAGAUUGUAAUAUCAGACAAGCUUAACAACUUAAGCUUGAAGCUUGAUUAUUCUUAUAUAAAUAAUGUAGUUGGUCUACAUAGAUUGCAGACUAUUUAGGAAGUGGUGGAGUUCAUCCUGAGGAACUUGCUGUUGGUUUAUACAAUGAUUUUCAGCCACUUGAAGGACAUGAUACUGGACAAUUUCCGGGUUUUGGAGUCCAUGGGAAAAGAGGAAGUUCAAGCAUAUCAACUUACCUCUUGAAUCCCUAAGCAGGCCAUGAAAAUUUCUAGUGUUUGUCAAGGUAUGCUUCUAUUGAUACACUGUGUAUGGCUUUCUGUUUUUCACUUGGGUUACUGUCAUGUUUAUUCUCUUGUUUUUAUAGCUAGGAUUAAGGAGUUUAUUCACUAGGUGCUGUUGUCGUCAUAGUUGCUAAGCAAGUAUCCUGAAGUUCUUUUUGUGAUACCAUCCAUCAUGAAACAUAAUGAGUACAGAUUCAGAGUAAAGGGGAUUCUUCGGGCAGCUAAAUCUUUUCUGAAAACUUGUUUUCAGUAGCAUAGAUGACAGGAAUCGUGAUAUUUCCCGGGCUUUCAUGGAAGAAAAUUUUCUAAUAACUGAAACUCUUUUCAGUUCUCCACAAAUCAAAUUUGAAUAUGAAGCCAAAUAUCAGAUGCAGAUUUACGGGCUUCUUUCAGAGCAACAAAGUUCAAUGCUAUCAGUUGUAUGGGUUCAAGUGAUCGGAGCUUCAUCCAGCUCAAGUACACAUAACAGAGUAUGAAAAAUAUCCAAACUUACCGUUAAAAGUUCUCAAGUUCCAGAUUUGACCUGUAGUCACAUUCAAGUUUAUACAUGACUACUGAUAUACGAAAUGGCAAUAUUAUUCAGUUCCAGGAAAGUUACAUGCAUAGGAUCUGAGUUUCAUUUUAAUUGAAUGGUUUCAAGCUGCAAUAUAUUAUAUAUAUAUUUUAUAAUUAACGGAGUUUGCAUUCCUCAUUACAGGAUAAGAAAGGAAGAUUAAUUCUCAGUUGGAAAAGCAUUGAAACAAGCUUCUCAUGCUCAUAAUCAGCUUCCCAGUUGCUCACCACGGUAUCUUUUCCAUAUGCACGUGUUGAUAAAAUUAUUUCUUGGUUAUAUAACCUGGAUAAAUAGCUGUUCGUUGGCAACACAAGCAACAAAAUUACACAAAUUAAUUCCAACAAAAAUAAUAUUUUUACACGAGAUAUUUGGUUGAGAGAAGAGGGUUAAUUAGAUGUUUACUAUUGAGAUCACAAGUUUGAAAUGAGCACAGGCAAUUGAACAAGCUGUUACACAGACCAUCCAGCUAAAGAAAUUGACGACUCUUCGGCAUUCGUAUGCAAGCUUGAAAACCACUGUCCUUCUGCUAAAUUAACUUGAUAGCUAGCAACCAAGACAAGGAGGGGAACCCCGCACAUUUGCAGUUUCUAGUUUUUCAUGCUUGCCAUCUUUUCUUGUGAUUGAAAUGAGUUGAGAUUUAUUAAAGGCUUUAUCUUAGUAUGCAAAUAAUGGUUUGAAAACAGAUUAUAUGUUAUUACAAGUUAAUUUUUCUGAUAACAAUUGUUUGAAUAGGAUUCUUGUUGUAGUAUAAUUAUUAAACAUGAUCUUAAAAUUAAUGAUUCAUACAUUAAGUAAAAUAGAAACCAGGAUUUGAAAACUACCAUGUUAGUAAAAUCACUUGGAAGCAAAAGCUUAGAAUUAUCAGAUGGUGUGAAAACGGGAAAGUUCUAUGAAGAGAGAUGAAAUUUUCUGAAGUUCAACUGAAAUGAUUGCAAGAUUUAAUCCAACAAUGCAAGAACAUAUUUGACAUAUUAAAACUGAUGAAAAAUUCUUUAUCAUUUUCUUGGAGGUAAUCAAAGUAUUUUUCAAUUAUACUUAAUUGUACUCCAAAUGUAAGACGAAAAAGAAAUCUCUUUUAAUGUGAUUAUUUCCAGAAUGGCAGAAUCUACUAUUUUGAAUCAAAGUAUAUCAUGAGAACAAGAAGGAGAGCUAAGGACAUUUUAAUUUGAGAGCUACCUGAUAGAGUGCUCCAUUCUUGGCAGAGUACCGGCCUUCGUCGUCAUGCCACAUAAUCUGAUCUUCUUUGAGGAAAUGAAUGCUUUGAUGGAAGAAGAUCUUGAGCAAGAAAAAGGCCAACACGGAAGAGAGAUGAAGAAAAUCUCCAAUUAUGCAAAUAUGUUCUGAUUGGCCUGUAAGAUAACUAACCAAACUAAUCACUACUUUCAAUCUCAAUCAAAUUCCAACAAACAAUCUAUUUUCUAUUCAAACUCAGGAGGUGAUUGGCUAAAUAAAGUUGCUUGAAAACUAUUCGGACAAAGCUCUGGGGAUAUGGUACAUUGUUUGUUGAUAUUGAAUAUGCAGACAGAAAAAUAAAAGCAUCUUGUAGAAAUUUGAUCGAGAUUGAAAGUAGUGAUUGAUUUGGUAUAACAAAUGUAUCCAUAACCAGGAUGAAGCUCGGGCGAAACUAAGUCGGUUAGAAUAAUAUGAGCUGACUUUCAAUCCAUGCCAUUGAUUCAAUGACUUUAGAUAUGUCCACAACUGGUUUUGCUGAUAAUGUCCUAUCUGUGACUUGUAAAAUUUCUCUUAUGAGUAUUACAUAAGCUGUUAUGAAAGAGCCUUUGUUAGAGGUGUUGAUUCUGUCUCAUGGAUGGCAAAUAACUCAACGAAGCUUUUGAGUUCUCAAAGUGAUGGUUCUCAUUGUUGGACCUUCUUCAGCACUACAGCUUACAGGGAAGGAAACAAGGUUCCACUGGUCAGUUUGUUUGUAAAUGCAUGUCUUGUUUAAAUACUUAUGAUCAUAUGCUGGCAUUGUCACACUUUUCUAACCAAUAGGCUAGGCCUCUAGUUGAAUCCAUUCAUCCUUCAGCUUGCAAUCUCAAGCUAUUGAAACAUGUUUUUUUUUUCACAUAUUUAUAUAGAGUUUGCAAUAAGAUUAGCUUUAUCUUCCCUUUUAUACUUGAAUCAAUAUGACAUUACAAAUUUUACAGCAAAAUUCUGUGCUGCGUUGAUAUGUAUAUGUUGCAAUUUAGGCUUUCUGCAAGAUUUUUAUGAUUGUUUUCAUAUGCCAACUGCAACAGCAUAGAAGGUAGGUGAAAACAGGUAUGCUCGAGGGUGUUGAAGCCGUUGCUUGGCCUGCCGAUAGGUUCUCUUCGGAAGCCCAUUUGUACUUGAGUCCAAUUAUGGUAAGGAUGCACUUUUAUGGACAUGACCUUACAAUUUCAUUUAUAUCACGUCCCAUUUGGAUCCCUUGUGACCUACUUGGGCAGCUACCAUUUGCUGUUGCUGUUGCUUUACAAUGAUUGGUUCACUUGGACAAUCAUCAAGUAUAAUAUUAAAACAUAGGUAACAAACAAGAUUAGGCUCAACUGGAACUCUUCAAACUAGUGAGACUUGAAUUUUUUUUGGUUUCUGAGUUUGUCAACCACAGCGAUGUUGGAAAUAUGGCUUGGGAGGAAGAAUCGGAACCAGAAUGAUAUGUCCUCAACCUCUGAUAUUUGGUCAUGCUGCUCAUUUCAUUGCUGCGAAUGAUUCUCAGUUUCGUCCGUUGGUUGACUGGAAGGUGGAAUCAGUGUUGGCAUGCGCAUACGGGAUCAUCAAUAUUGACAGAUCACCAUUCCCGUUUGCGCUAACCGUUCGAUUGACAUACUUUUACCAUGGAGGGUUGAGAUUUCGCCACGCCACCAUGCGCGGAAUACACUCACUGCAUUGGGUCAUACACCCAACCAUUCUUGUCUUAUUAGGAAGCAAUCUUGUUCGCUCAUUGUAUUGAUCCGAUGUUCCACAUUUAGCCACGUUUCCUCUUUCACUCAGCGAACAUUGUUGACCACAUCUGAACCGUUGGAUCGUGCAUCAAGUUUUCUUCAACGCAUGCUCACCGUGAUUAUUACGGUCACAGGAUUUUAAAAUGGAAGUUUUGUCUUCGGAUUGAAUUGAAAAGGUCGCGUGAUUUGGCUGAAAUAAUAAAAUUUCUUCCCUUUUCCUUUUUUCUUUUUCAAUUUCUGGCUUUUGUAUGUAACUUUUGUAAAUUAAUUAACAAAAUAUGUGCUUUAUUUUCCACUAUCUGUGGUUAAUUUUAUCAAGGUAGGGGGAGGUGAAGCUCUUCAUAUAAAGAUAUGAUUUAGUUAAGUAUUAUUUUUUUUAAUUGGGGAAAAAGAUGGUAAACUUUAAUAUAUUUAUUUGUAUUAAUAACACUAGAGGUCUUUUAGAAAAUGGUAAAUUUUGAAUUAUUUUCUGUAUAAAUUGAUUAUCUUCAAACUUUUUUUUAUAUUUGAAAAUUUUAAACUGUUUUUAUUUUAUUUUAUUUUAUUUUAUUUUAUUAUAAAAAAAAGGAGUAAAUUAAGAUUUUUAAAAGGUAAACAGAAUUAUAUUUAAAUAGUCCAGGAAUAAUUAGAAAUUAACUCAAAAAUAACAUUAAAAAUGCUCUGCCCUUAUUACCACUAUGUCUAUGCGUGUUUUUGUGUUUGUGUGUGUGUGUGUAUACAGAUCCAUUGUUACUCAUCUUCGACAGCCUAGGGUUGGUCAAGCUAGAUCUAGUCUCUCUGUGUUAUGGGUGCAGGCUGAAAACAGCGGGGACGGAGAAUGAAUUUUCCCUUUUUAACUUGAAUCAAUGUAACAUUUCAAUGUCACCGCAUGCUUUGGUGCAACAUUUGUAGGUACGUAUACGUUGCAAAUCAGGCUUUCAUGCAAGACUGGUAUGAAUUCUUUUUUAUCAUUUAUUAGGAAAAUUUCCCUACUGCAACAGCAGAAAAGGUGAAAAUAGGUAUGCUUGAACUUGUUGUAGUUAGGGGUGGCAAAGCGAAUAAAUGAAUCGAAUCGUAAACGAAUUGGGUUAAAAUUUUAUUGAUUGAGAUUCGAUUCGUUUAAUAAAUGAAUCGAAAUCUCAGAAUUCAAAUUCGCUUCGUUUAUUAAACAAAUAUUCGGUUCGAUUCGUUUAAUUCGUUUAAUAAAAUAAACAAAUAUAAUCGAAUUCGGAUUCGUUUACUAUUUGUUUAUCCUUACGAAUCCAUAAUGAAUCGAAUUGAAUCUGGAUUCGUUUACAAUUCAUCUAUAAACUAAAAUAUUAACCUUCAAAUUUUAAAAAAAAUUCAAAUAAAUUUAAGGACAAAAAAAUAAUUUAAUUAAACGAAUGGACCAUAUUCAAUUCGUUUAUAAUCCAUUUAUUAAACGUAAACGAAUAAACGAAUCAAUAUCUUUAAACCCAAAUUUGAUUUGUUUAAGUAGCAAAUCGAUUGAACUCAUCCAUUUAUUAAACGAAUCAAUUUUUUCAAAUGUAAAUCUAUUUAAUUUGUAUAGAAUCAAAUCGAAUAAAUGAACCCUAAGUUAGAUUGCCACCGCGAGUCGGAGCUGCGCUUGGCUUUAGAAGUUGGCUUUAGAAGCCCCUUUUUAUACUCGAGAGUCCAAUUAUGCUAAGACUCCACUUUUAUGGGCAUUACCUUGCAAUUUCCUUAUUUUUUAAUCGUGUCCCAUUUGGAUCAUUGUGACCUACAUGGGCUGUACCUAUUUGUGGUUUGUGUUGCCUUUGAUUUCGUGGUUGAUUUGGACAAGCUUAAUAAGCAAGUACUGUAUGGACUCUAGUUUUAUUUUCUUGUUUUGCUCGUUUCUCAGACGAGAUGGAAUAUGUCAUUCCAAUUUAUUGAAUAUUUAAAAUAACUUAGAGAAUUUCAUAAUUAAGAAAAUUCAAGGUUUCUUUUUCAUGAUUUAUGUAUUUUUUUUUUCUUUUUUUGGGGGGGGAUGUGCAGAGAUGCAGCUCUUCCGUCUAACACUCCAAAGUAUUCCACGUAUCUUGGAUCCUGGCGGAAGGGCUGGUAUAUGUGGCGAUUGGCUGUUGGGUUCAAGUUUAGAGUCAGCUGCCUUAAGUGGCUGGCUUGCCGAUUAUGUAAGCAAGAAUAUGAUUUUCUUUUGCUUAUUUGGUUUUACUUUUGUGCAUAGAAAUAUAUAUUUCAUGAUCGAUAAUUAAUACCAAAUAAUAAAAUCUGUAACACAACAUUUAUCUAUACCCCUAUAUACGGACAUCUAAAUAUAAACUAGUAUAUUGGCUUCAAUUAUGUUUGAAAUAUCAGACAAGUUUCAAUCAUGAGCUUCAAGCAUGAUUAUUCAUAUAUAAAUACUGUAAUUGGUCUCUGUAGAUUGUAGAUUAUUUAGGAAGUCAUGGAGUUUGUUCUGAGGAGUUUGAUGUUGGUUUGCAAACAAUUUUUCUGCCACUCGAAGGACAUGAUAUUGGGCAAUUUCUAGGUUUAGAGUCUAUGGAAAAAGACGAAGCUCAAGCAUAUCAACCUACCAUUUGAAUCAGUAGCCUUUAAAGAUUAUUAUGAGCUUUAUUGCUUGAAGCCCCACUUCUUGCCGCUGUUAGCGAUAAGUUGAAAACAGUAAUGGUUCCUUUUUAUCCACGUUACACAUUACACUCAUUCAAGAAUCUAGAGAUUACUUAACCGUGUUGUAAUUCAAGAGUGGUGUCCAACUUGGCCUAGUGGCAGCUUCUUAAAGCAAGAGUUUGGCCCAGAGGAUUGUUGCUCUCCACCAGAUGCGUUUGGUCUUAAGCUGAAUUCGCUUUUGUUGCCAAGUUCCAAUGAAAAAAUGUAACUAAAAAACAAAAAAAACCCGAUGAUUGAAUCUUUGUGGAAAAUGAUCUGGAUGCAAUGCUGCUGCGUAGUGUGGUUUAGUUAAUUAUCCACAACAAAAGAGUUAUAAAAAUAUGUUACGUGUCCCAUUACUUAUUGAAUCAGUUUUUGGCAUCCACACUUAUUAUAGAAUAACUCAUUUUUUUUAUAAUGGUUAUUCAAACAGUAAAAAUUGCCAAAAUUUUUGAGUAAAUUGGUCGUAGUUAUUGUUUUUUUCCUUUUAAAACGGUGCCUUUGCUAUAUGAGGGGAAUCAUGGGAACCAGAAUGAUUGGUACUGAUUCAAGGUCCCAUAAUGAUCACGGUUUUGAGGUUUAACCCCCCACAAGGCAGAUAAGAACCUAAAAUUAAUUACAUGGUCACGUGAUUGGAAUUGCAUGGGCUGCAUGGGUAGGCUUAUAAUGAAAUGGCAUGGUGGCAGACCGCUGUACCAUGACUGCAAUUCCUGCACAGUAACAAGCAAGCUGAUUUACAUAUAUAUGCCACGUUGACAAUUAGCUUAUUUAGACAAACAUCUUAUCAAGGCACAAACGAACUUGAACGUAAAGCAAUAAUAUCCCAGCAACUAAUUGUCUUAAAAUAAUUAUUGUAAUUCUUCAUAAUACACAAUCACAAUUUUGAAGUUUUGAAAGAAAUUAAGCGACGAAUGCACCGAAAGCUUUCCUCCCUAACCCUAAGUGAUUACUUACGUAACCGUGCAUGUUUGGCCCACCUUCAGUGAAUCUUUUUUGAUUUUGGCUACCUUAUCACGAAACACAAAUGGAAGGGGACUCUGACUUAAGUCUCAAUUGACGAAACAGUAGUGCUAACACAAACAAAUAUUGGGGACUCUGACACAAAUGUGAGGUGAGGAAAUAUUACAACAUUUAGACUAGGAAUGUAAACAAAUGAAUAAAUAAAUAUAUUACUGGAUUUAAGAAAAUGAAGCCGGUGGCGAGUACAAAGGAGCUCUUAUGUGUUGAUUCCCUAAUAUCGUGUGCACUUCCUCAUAUAUAAUAAAUUUUGAAUUUUUUGUUGUUGUUAUCUAUGUCAUAAUUGUUAUAACAUUAAUGUUUUUUCAAAUAAGGAUAAAAUUGAUAGAUUUAUGAUUUUAUUAUAACACACACAGUCAUAUAUACACCUAAAAUAUAUGUAGAACCACUACCACCUUAUAUAUAUAUAUGAGUGAUGAUACAGCCACAAACUCUUGUACAAACUUAUUUUAUACAAACUGAUGUGUCAUUAAUUCAUUGGUUGAAUGAAAAUAUAAAAUAAUAGAAAUAAAUCAUGUGGGCCAAGAGAUAUUUAAUUCAACCAAUAAAUUAACGCCACAUCAGUUUGUGCAAAAUAAAUUUGUACAAGAAUUUGUGGCUAUAUCAAUACUCUAUAUAUAUAUAAAAAAAAGUGUAUACAACAGGUUAUCAAGGCAUACCAUUAGCACUAAAUUAUGUAAAUCAAGUUUCUUUUCCUUCAUGCCAUGUCCUUUAAGGGUCGGCUGAUUCGGUUUUGGUGCUUGUUGCUGAUGAGCAUAUAAUAUAUACAUAUUUUACUCUUAAUUAUAUAAUUGCUAAUUAUUAUUAUUUGUUAUUUUUAAUUGAUUAAAUUAUUUUGUUGAAUGAGGAAUUAAUUAGAGAUUAUGGAUAAAAAAAGUAUAAAAAAUUUUAAUUUAGAAAGAAAUAAAAAUUAAAUUAGAAGACAAAAUUACAGUAGAUAAUUAAUGAAAGUCAAGAAGAUCAAAAUUCAAAGUCAACUUCUUUAAUAACGGACGGUGGGCAUGCAUUUAGAAGACAAACAUUUGGUGAUGGCAAUUGCAUUUACAUGACAUAAUAUAUUAUGGAAAGCAAUUUAAAGGGACCUGUGACUUGGCUUUCAAAGGUGGACAUAAACUGAUGGAUUAUGGUAUUGACAAAUAAUGAUGACAUAAAUUAGGAAAAUUGACUUUAGAAUUGGAAAUAGAAUCCCGAUUGAAUUGGGCCAAUUAAUGCAUAUGGAAUCCUUUUCAUAAUUGGUGGUCAUGGUAGAAGUGUGGCUGGUGCUUGCAAAAGAUGCAGCUGCCAUACUCAUUUCAAAAACUCUCCGACCCAAUGAGUUCUACAAGAGGAUUUAUAAAUUAAGUAAUAUAAUUUUAUAUAUUUUUAAAAUAAAAACUUUAAUUGCGCACCACUUGAUUUCUUAUCCAAAAUUACCUUUCCCGGUAAAGCUAAAGCAUUUUGUGUUUUCUUACACGGCAAAACAUUGUUUGUUACAUAAACAGUUCACGGCAAGAAGAGCAGCCAUUUUUGACUUUUUGGAAGAGAAUAAUAUUGGAAUAAGCUUUCGAAUUUACCGAUUACGAAUUACGAUGGCUGUCUAAGCAAAUGGGGUCUGAGAUGGACCGAUGGUUAAGUUGAGGGGAAAAUUACAGAUAGAUUCCAUCUUCAAAUAUAAGUUAAAAAUAUUUAAAGUUUUAAACUUAAUUUUAAAUAGAUUGUGAUACUUUAUUCUUUUUAAAUUUAAAAACGUUAUAUUUAAUUUCUUAUACCAACAGUUUAAAUUAUUUUACGAUAAAAAAUUCAUAUUAUCUCUGAUCAAUUUAAGUGAUUUUACAAAUAGUAAACAUCCAUCAAAAUGGUUUGUGUGUGUGUGUGUGUGAUAUGAUAAUAUUAUCCUUUAUAAAUUAAGUGAAGGUAAUUCCAUUUGAUUCCAUCACAUCCUGGAUUAUCUGUCAAUUUUAUUUACAUAAAAAAAUAUACAUUCUCUCAUUGACAACAUAUAAAAUAAGCUUCACCAAGUCUUUAAAAACUGUAUUGCCUACGUUGUUUAUGUUUUUCAGUUUUUAAGCCAAGAAAAAUGAAAGAGAAUUAAAGAUUACAUAAUUAGGUAAUUAACUCAAAUUAUUAAAGACAAUAUUGUCAUAACACCUGCAUAAAAUUUCAUUUUCAUGGAUGUCCACAGAUUGUAAAAUAACUUAAAUUGAUUAAGGUCAAUAAGAACAUUUUCAUUGUAAAAUAACUUAAAUUAUUAGAGUAUGGGGUUUCAGUAAUGCUACACAUCUCAAAUUUCUUAUCCCAAAAAGUUAUCCCAAAUGAUGUGUCAUUAAUUGAGUGGUUGAUAAUUAUUUACAAUAUCCAAGUGAAUUAAUUGUAUUAUCUCACCAACCAAUUGAUAAAUGACACAUCAUUUGGGAUAACUUUUUGGGAUAAAAAAUUUGGGAUGUGUAGCAUUAUUGAUGGGGUUUAGUACAACAUUUUUAAAUUUAAAGGGUUAAGUGUCAUAACCUAUUGAAUUUGAGUAUAAAUAUUUCUAACUUAUAUUUGAGGAGGAAUAUGUAAUUCUUCCUUUAGUUAAGUUUCUAAUCAAUUUACAAAAUGACUUUCCAUGUAAGUUAUUAAUUUUUCAGAAUUAAUGAAACCGAAGGUGAGAUAAUAACAAUUUGUUCAUUUACAUUAAAAAAAAAAAAAGGUAUCCACCUAAUUUAAAUUUACACAUCCUUUAUAUGGCUAUUGUGUAUACAAAAUAAUACAGACACACACACACACACAAAAGGAGAGGGAGGGAGGGAGGGAGGGAGACAGAAAGAGGAAUAAAAAGAAUAUCUAAGUUACAAAAAAUUAAAAAUAAUAACAAAAUUGUUUUAAGGACUAACGAUUAAAGAAACAGGGAAACAAAAUUUUUCUUUUCAUUCAAUAAUCAAUACUAUUGAAAAAAAAAACAUUUAGACUAGGAAUGUAAAUAAAUGAAUAAAAAAUGUAUAACUGAAUUUAUGAAAUGGAGCUGAUGGAGUACUAAGGAGUUCUUUUAUAUAUAUGCGCGCGCACACACACACGCACCAGAAUAUAUAGCAAAAUAAAUGAUAUAUCAACUAUAUCGGCAAUUAAACAGAAACGAGUGAAGAAUGAUGAUACAAGUACGUAAAAGAGAAAUGAUGAAGGAUCAGCAACUCAGGCACAAACUGAUGUACACAAGACUAGACUAGCUCAGCCCAGUAAGCAAAGCCGGAUACUACAACAAAAUUGAGAUAUAUAGCAUCUAAAAUGUGCUACUAAAAGUAGAAGGUACCACUUUUAGGAGUGAUAUGUUAGCCCAUGUUAAUAAGAGUAUAUCUUUUGGUAGCAGUUAUGGAAUGUCAUAAAUUACAUUUUGUAGCAUGAAAUAAAAGCUAUAUAUGUAUUUUCAGUAGCUUUAGGUAGACGUUACUAUUUCAUAACUCGUAGCAUUUAUAAAAUGCUACUAAAUACCUUGCCAUAGCAUAUAUAAAUGCUAUCAAAUUCUAAGUCAUAGCAUAAUAAAAAUGCUACAAUAUUCUCUUAUGAUUUAUAGCAUUUUUUUAUUGCUUAAAAUUACAAAUUUUGGUAGCAUUUAAACAUUGUUAUUAUAUUUGGUAACAAUGUAUCAUCGUUGUCAUCAUAAUUUUAAAGAAAUUGCUAAUUAGCUUAGAUAUUUAUAUCAUUCAUCUUGAUAAUAAUACAAAACUUUCACAAAUACAAGCUUUAUAAUCCAAAUGAACAAAAAGUACCAUAUAUUAUAUCAAAUAUUGCACCAAGGUCAUAAGUUGAAGAUAAAUAUCAACUCCAAAUAAAAAUUAUGCUUGACUAUGAACAAGGGCAAAACUAUGUUGUAACAUGGGUUUGGUACCCCUUCUUUUUGUCUUUUUCAAAGUCAAUUACAAUGGAGUCCUGUUAAAAGGUAAUUAAAAUUAUUUUCAAUAUAGAAAUAGAAUAAUAAAACAAAAUUAUUACUCUUAUUUUUUAAUUAAUUACAAAAAGAUAUUUUACAUUAAAAAAUAUAGACAAUCACUGGUGACCACUGCUUCUUUGCGUGCAAUAACAUUAUUAAUCGAAAGGGGUCAUGAAGGGUACCAUUAGACUUGAAAUUGGAUGAUCUACACAAUGAUAGCCUCAAAUGCUAGAAAAUGGUGAUAUGUAGAGUUGCACGCCCCUUCCAAAAUAACUGUGAUCAUAACUACACCACAAAAACACAACAAGUUACAUUGCACUGCCACCUUUUUUCAAUUUAGAGACCGUCAUUUGGUUGUUAAAGGCAAUGAACCUUGAAACCCCAUUUAAUCAUAGGGUCUUGCUACAGAUGUUUGCAUUGGAAGGCGUCUCUAUCACCGGUACAUCCAUUUAUCCGACAACAUUGCCACCAUUACACAGAUCUGAGAAUUUUGAAUAUGUUGAUAGUAUUCGUAUUUCUAUUCACUCACUUCUAUUUCUUAGUGAUGGUGUCGUCAUUGUUGUCAUUGACGGUGCAAUAAAUUUUAGCAAUGUUAUUUUGAUUUUUCAUCUAAUUUAUAAAACUUAAAUAUUAAUUAUAAUAUUCAUUUUUAGUCUUGUACGCUUAAAAAUUACUAAUAUUUAAGUUCAUAGAUGGAUAUCAUAUAAAUCAAAUCCAGAGUAUUUUGGAUGGAUAUUAUCCAAUCUAUUUGGAUCAAAUACUUAGAUAUCCAACUUGAAUGGAUUUGUUUGCUCUUCUUAGUUGUCAAUUCGAUUAAUAACUGUAUUGGAUUCGAUUUUAAAACUCCUAAUAUGAUAACCCAGUUCUGAUACGAUUAAUUAUUCAAUUAAUUAUACUAAUUGACUUAUAUUUUAAUUGAUAUAUAUGUCCUGAAUUGCCAUCUCUAUUGUUGUCCAUGUGCGAUGUUAGCAAGAGAGAAGAAAGAAUAUAACAUACUUAUUUUUAGUUUAUUUUUACUAAAGAAAUAUUUAAAUUAUUUUCAAAUAGAGUAACUGUUUAGAAUUUUUUUUUUACCCUUCUCUCAGGUAAGUUAAUAAAAGAUCUUAACCGUAUGGAUAAUGGAUCUGUACUAAUGACUAUUUAAACUGUUGGGGUGGAGUAACAAAAAUCAAUUUAUUUAAGUGUGCAAUUAAAUUUAUUCUUCUUAUUUAAGGACAAAAGCUCAACAAAAAAUACAAAACUUAUUGUUCAAACAAACAAAAAUGAUUUUACAAAUUCAUAAACUAACACUUUAUUAUUAUUAUUAGUGAAUUAACAUAUGUUUACUACAUAAUUAAAUAAUUGACAGUAUGUUAAAAAAAUAUUAUGUUACACAAAGAAUAAUAAAACAUUAACUACAUAGAAUAUGAAAUUAAAUUCAUUUUUGUAUUUUGCACAUUUUAUCUACUUGAGAUAGUAAAAUCUCUUGUAUUGAAAAAAAAAAAAAAAGUUAUGGGGUUUGAAUCGUAUUCACGUGGGUGAAAGAAAAUUGGUUGCCAUUAUGUUAAAUUAAAAAAAAAUCAUAUUUAUAUUUAUCAUUAAUUGCGGCUAGUAAAUAACAUACAUAGUUUAACUAUAUAAUAAAUUAGUUAAUUUAUUAAUUAAUGUAAAUUUAUUUAUUUAAAUAGAUAUUAAUAAAUGUAAGAAUAAUUCAUUUAAUUGGAAACCUAGUUCAAUAGUGUAAAAAAAAAUUUACAAUAUUAUGGACUUAUAUGUCAUAAUUUUAAAACUUUUGAUUUUUCUUAUUUUGCAUGAACAAUAAAAGCUUUUAAUGUUAAUAACCCAACAAUCUCAUCUAAGCCAUUAUACAACUCUGGUGUUAAAUCCAAUGGUAGAUUUGAAAAAAAAUAAAAAAAAAUGGGGUACCAAACUCCGUGGGUGACGUAGCUGGACCCACAAACAAAUAUGCUACUUUUAAAAUAGGAAAACAAUAAACAAAAACUAAUGCUUUGUCUUCAAAAUGUGGCCAAAACUUCUUCACUUGUAUUUAUCAUCAUGGCCUGCAUUAUUAUAAAUUGAGAAAGUAAAAAGAUAAGUAUGUACUAUCAUAAAAGAAACAAAUAAAGUGAAAAAUUUGUGUAAGCAUUUAGAUAUAUGAACUUAUUGCCAUGAGUUUUGCAUCUAAGAAUUUUCAGCAUAAUGUUUAAAUAAUAGUAAAAUUUUGGUCCUAAGAACUUUGUUUUCGACUUAUAGCUCUGGAUCAUCGUAGUUGUAAGAGGGUAGCAACUCAAAUAUUGAACUAAAAUAGAAAAUGAAGCAAAUUAAAGGCAAUUUAUUUUCAAGAACAACGUAAGAAAGAGAGUUGUAGUAAUUAAUGGAAGACAUUUAUGGCAUUUGAUUCAAAAUGUAUCUUUUUUUUUUUAUGCAUCACCGAAAUUGUCUUCUCACAUGCAAUACUCAUUUGGCUAAUUCAAUUAAGCUCUACGGAGAUAAAAACGGCAUACCUCAAUUUCCAUAAACUUUUUUGGGAAUACAUGAAUAUUAACCGCCAAUAUUUAACUGUACUAAUAAUUGCUCAAAAAUAAGUUUUAGACAAUAGUAUUUUCAUUCUCAUAUGUGUACGUAGUACAAUAGUUUGCUUUUAUAUAGAGAAAGAGAUGAAUAUACCAAUCCCAAAAUCGUUCACUCCAUGCAGGAUUUGAAGUGCUGAUGGCCUCUAAAACCGAAACUCAAACUAGCUUAAGUCCAUGUCAUAAUCUUGCUUGAUGUUCUCAUCUUGAAAUGAUUGAACUAGAUGGUAUAGAAGUCCCAAUAGUUCAAACAAAACCUCAUAUCCCAUUAUAGCCCAAAAUUGAUACUGACAAAUAAAAAUUACAAUGAUCUACUACCCCAACCAACAAGUAGAAAUCAAGUCACAUCAAUAAUAUGCAAAUACAAUAACAGUUACACAAAGAUAAGAUGUCAAUCUUCAAUACAAACCCACAAGCACAUCCAAAUUUAAAGAAUUCUAAUCUAGUAAAGAGAGUUGGUGAAAAUUGAAGAAGCAAAAAGAGAGUGAUAAUAUGAAAUUGACAGACACGAAGAGUUUUGCAACCAAUUUAGUGGAGAUAUUAAAAGAAAUAAUAAAAAAAAUUGAAAUCAAAACCCGUGAAUUACCUUUGGCAACCCAUAUUUGGGAUGAAGCUUCUCAGCAAGUUAUGGAAUUGAUUGGGUGUACGAUUUUUAAUGUGAGAUUUUGAAAUAAAGAAACUGAAUUGAGGGAUUUUUACGAAGUGUGGUGUCAUUGGAUGGUUGAGAGAAAUAUUAAAAAUAAAUAGCAUUUGAGGUUUUGUAGUCAAAUAAGAGUUUUAGGUAACAUAUAUAUAUGGAGGCUUAUUCUUAAUGUUUGGAGGUAGACAAAAUUUUUCCGCUUGAGUAUUCUUGUCCUUUUUGUAGCAUUUUUCUGGUGCCACAGAAUUGUUGUUAACUUAUACCGUUUUUAUAAUGCUAUAUUAUUCAAUGUUAUAUGUAGCACAUAUAAAUAUGCUACUGCGUUAGAUAUUAUUUAAUAUAAUAUUGUUUUAUAGCAUUUGUAGGUGCUACGAUAUUAAAAAUUAAAUUUAGCUCUAUAAAAAAAAUUAAAUUUAGCAUUUAAAAAGUGCAACAAAUUAAAUGUGAAAUACAAUUAAGAAUAUUAUUCAAUGACUAAUUGUAAUUUUUUUUUAAUAAAAUGUUACAAUAGCAUGAUAAUUGGCAACAUUUAAAAAAAAUGCUACCAAAAUUGAUAUUUGUUGUAGUAUAUAACUAAAAAUUGAAACAUAACCAUAGCAGGCUAGGAGAAGCACAGGGACUCAAUGAUGCAAGUGUUGGCUGGUGGGCCACAGGUGUCUGCAAAAGAUGGGGCUACUCACCAUUACAAAACUUGACAAAUUGAUGAAUGAUAGACUUUUGGUCAAGGCCGUUAAGUUUCCUCAUCCGUGAUAAAACGUGGCAAAUUUUUAUUGUUUGUUAAAUAAUAUCUUUGAAUUGCUGUCUGUUAAAUCCUUUGUCGAUUCGAUUAUAUGUGUAGCUGUGCUUAAUAAUUAAACUAUUCUUAAUAAUUAAAUAAUCAUUUAUUCUUAAUAAUCAUCAAUCUGAAUGAUUAUAUGUCUGUUAAAUAAUCAUUUAUUCUUAAUAAUUAAACUAUUGAUUUUUAGCAUUAAUUUAGUUGGAGGACUUACCACCGCAUGCAUAGGCUUUAGAUUUUUUAGCCUUGUGCCCAUUGGACAAAGCGCAGAGGAAAAGCAUGCCACUAGAAGCUAAAAUCAUUAAUGGAGACAACGAUAAUCUAAAAAGGUAGCGUUGAAAUAAUACUGACAUGGAAUAAAAAGUACAGGACACAACUACAUCUGCAAUCAAACAGUAACGAGGGAAGAAUGAUUGCAGAUGUAGAUUAUAUAUAUAAAAGAACUCCUCAGUUUGUUUGAUUUAUAUAAAAGAAUUAAACCUUUUUCGAAUGCCUAAAAGAGAAAUCACGAAAGAUAGCUUUUUUCAGUGUCUAUAUAAAAUAAUUACGCUUUUACAAAUGCCUAACAGAAAAAUCAUGAAAGAUCAGCAUUUUUCAGUGUCUGUUUGUCCCGCUCGCACUGCCGCUAGCAGUGGUGUGUAUUUACGCUCUCCAAAUAGUAGCCGUCCGAUUAACAUACUUUGACCAUGGAGGGGUGAGAUUUUGCACGCCACUAUUCGCAGAAUGCACCUCACUACACUGGGUCAUACACACCCAACCAUCCUUGUCUUGAUCCGAUUCUCCAAGUUUUGCCACGUUUUUCCUUUACAUGACCACAUCUGAACCGUUGGAUCGUGCAUAAACUAUUCCCGGACACGCAUCAACUAUUCCUGGACGCGCAUUAGCUACUCCUGGACCAACUUUCCACUUCAGACACACACACACAAUUUGCCUUUCACUCCCAUGAGUGGCGUACGCUAUAUUUACUUGCCCACGACUCCCUCCCAAAAUCCAAGAAACCCUAGCAUUCAGCUCAGGCCUCAAAAUGAGAAAUAACCCAUAUCAGCUGCACUCUGUGUUCUGGGAUGAGGAUGCAAACCUCGUUCGCUUCAAGUACCCUCUUCCAAUAGGGACGAACCAAGAGGAUGUGACGAUUGAGGUUGACGAAGAUGGGAAUUUGCUUACAAUGAAAAGCAAGGUGGUAAGUUCACAUAACGAUCCUCUCUCUUCAGCUUUUAACUCGAUGGUCAUAUCCGGAUCUUCUCUCUUAAGCUUCCUGAGGAAAAACGAAGGAGACCCCGCCACCCCGAUAAUCUCGAUGAAAUUCAAGUUGCCAGCGGGUCUUAACCUGAAUGGCUUCAAGACUGCAAUGGAUGAUGCCGGCGUUCUAACUGUUACCUUCACUAAACUCAAGCCAGAGAAGAAAAAGCUGGUGUCAGUAGCAAAGAAGAUGCUGGGAUGUUUGGCUCAUGCUGUGCCUGCUGCUUGUUUUCUGAUAUGUGAGAAGAUAUGUGAUGCGAUUUGUUCAGGAGACUAAUAAUAAGCUGGUCUCAAAUAGGUAUUUGCUUCGUGUUCAUGUAUGUUGCUUCUGUCGUUUAUCUGCUAGUGUCUGACAUAAAGUCUGGACUCUGUGAGUCUAGACCAUGUGUUCUCUAAUUACUGUUGCGGUAUCUAAAUGUGGAGUGAAAAAUAAAUGCUUUUUUUAAAUGUUUGUUUUGCUUUUUUUUUUUUUUUUUUUUUUUUAACGUAUGCAAUAAGAUAUCCCUACUAUAGAAUCUGCAAGAUAGCAAGAUCUCUCUUUUUUUCUUUUUCUUUUUUUAAAUUGUUAGCGUUGGAAAUUUUCUUUAAGUGAAAUAGAAGAUCUUGUCUAAUAAAAAUGAUGAUGUUUGUAUCUCCUUUUUUUUUCAGAGAAAUAGAAGAACUUUAUCUAAUAAAAAAUGAUAAUUAUUGAGUGAAAAAUAAAUGCUUUUUUUAAUAGUGUUGAAUGAAAAAGAAAUGUUUGUUUUCCUGUUUCCGGCCGCCUCCCACAUCACCCCUCACCGCCGAUCACUACCCAACCAGCCGGAAGCCCCUUUGCUAACCGUUACCGCCCCAAAACGUAAAUCCAAGUUCACGGCUUCCCCAUUAAAAUCUACCCGCCAUCUCCUCCACCACUGUUGGUGGUGUUUUACAGCCGCUUGAACCGUCCUCUGUCACCUCACAGCCACUGUCCCACAUGGUUCACCAAACCCCGUCGACCACGCAUCUCCCUUCAACGCGUGUCGGUCCAAAGCGACACAAUAAACCCUAGUUCGUUGCCAUUUUCCCGUGGCGCCACCGGCCUUCCUGCCAUUGCUGAACCUGAUGUGCUGCCUGCGGUUCACUCCACAUCAUCCCAACAGCCGCCGCUUAGCCUCCCACUGCUGCUUUUGGCCCUCUGACUCCGAAAGCCUCCUACAAUCCAAAUCCGACUCUUCACCAAACCCUAGCCCGCUUUCUCUUGGCCCAACACAGACCCUAGCGGCUGCCCUCUUUCUUUGGCCGCUCACUCCUUCACCGGUGAUGGUGGCUGCCCUCCUUUGUUUCCUUCACAGCCUCCGCACAGCCAACAAACAUCCACCUCCCAACUUGGCGGCCAUGAUUCACGCUUCCUGCCUUCAACUAGACUGCAACAGCGGAGAAGGUGAUAACUGGUAUAAGAAUAUGAAUCUCUUUUGCUUAUUUGGUUUUAUUUUGCACAUAAAAGUUUAUAUUUUAUGAUUGAUAAUUUAUAUCAAAUUAAAAAAAAUAAAAUCUGUGACACAACCUUUAUAUCCCUAUAUAUGGAUAUGUAAAUAUGAAUUAGGAAAUUUUGUUCUUUUCAGUUUGAAAUAUCAGACAAAUUUCAAUCAUAAGCUUCAAGCUUUAUUAUCCAUAUAUAAUUAAUGUAAUUGGUCUAUGCAGAUAUUUACUUAUUUAGGAAGUAAUGGAGUUUAUCCUGAGGAGUUUGCUUUUUGAAUUACUCUUAUUUAUUAAUUCUCUUGCUUUUAUGGCAAGAAUUAUUAGAUUGGAGUCAUUGAUGAGAGUAUAUGCUUAAUGCGCCCUAAGUACCUGCAUAUUCCGCCACCAAAAUAGGACUCGGCUAGAGUUAUCCAGGCUUGUGAAACUUGAAUUUUGUGUUUCAAAGUUUAGUGCUGAGUUAGCCAACCACGCCCAUGUAAAUAUUAUUCAUUACUACUAUUAUCAUUAUUGCAUGUAAAUUUUGCACCACCGUAUUAUGACUACAAUUCCUGCAAUGUAAUUAGCUUGAUUAUACAUGCCGCAUAAAUAUUGAAAUGGAGUUAGGUGUGAGCAAGCAUCUUAUCAAGGCACAAAUGAACUUAAAUUCAAAUAUGGCAUUAACAUUGUGACAUGGUGUUUGGAUACAAGCUUACCCUUCGUUCUAGAUCUCUUUUGUUAAUUUUUUUUUUUCCAUUGUAACGAAAAUGAUAUUUCCGAUUUUUUUUUACUUGACUACGAACGUAAUUAUAGUUGCUAUGGCCUUGUAGGCACGGUUGGCAGAUUUGGUAGUUUUUAAGCCAACAAAAAAAAAUCAAAAUUACAUAAAUUAGAUAAUUAACUCAAAUUAUUAACGGCAAUAUUGUCAUAACACCUGCAUAAUAUUUCAUUUUCAUGGAUGUCUAAGGUUUGUAAAAUAACUUACAUUGAUGAGGGUCAAUAAGAACUUUUUCUUGUAAAAUAACUUAAAAAACUUAAACUAUGAGUGUAUCGGAUAGGAAAAUUCUAUGAUCCCGUAAUGAUAAUUACGGCAUCAAUACAGUGAUAAACAUAAACAUUGUAAAUUACACACAAAACUUGUAAAUGUAAAGUAAAACCAGUAAAUUCAUACAAGAUUAUUAAUUAUUGAAAAAAUUAACAUCGUUUCUAUAGAGUUUUAGUGAAAACUAUUUUAUUCAUUUACAAAAAAUAUUUUCUUUAAUAAAAAAACUCAUUAAUUAAACAAAAAAUUAUACUGAAAAAAGUGGAAUAUGUUUUAUUGAAUUUGUUUAACCAUUAAUUCUAUAUUUAUUCUAGGACAUUUGUAUACUUUUUUCCUCCCAUUUUCUAUAAUAAUAUCUAUUUAUUACAUAAGUGAAUCAAGCACAAUUAUUUAUCAUGAUAUGGAUCAAGCAAAAACAAACAAAAAAAAUUCUUAUAAUACUAGACAUAUGUACAAUAUAUCAAUGAAAUUAUAUAUAAUUUUGAGCCUUAUACAUAUAGGAUUGUUCUUGAGGAAGCGUAGAAAGAUACAAAAUAACCUCAUUUUACAACAACUAUGAAAGAUAUUGAAAUAAUUUUUUUUUUAAAAUCCGAUUUUGAGAAUAAAUUUCAUCCUUAAUAAAAUAUCACAUGUAUUACAUAAAUGCAAAACUAGCAUUAUUCAAUUUAAAUUAAAAAAUAUAAGGUAAUAAACAUUGUAAUGAGUUUUUAUUUUACAAUUGUGAAAUGUUUUUGUAAUAACUCUUAUAUCAAUUUAUUUAUUUUACCUUUUAUUCAUAAGUUUUAGACGUAAUCUAUAAAAUUUAUGUUUUAUUUUGCACUUAAUGUUGAUUUACUUGUUUUAUGUUAUAUUUGUAAAUUUUCGUUUAAUUUAUCAAUAAUACAUUAAAUUACCAGCUUUAUAGUAAUUUACUUGUUUUACCUUCUUUUUACAAGUCUUUUGUUUUAUUUCUAAAAUUUAUAUUUUAUUUCUUAGUUAGUGUUGAUUUACUAGUUUUAUGUUCUAUUUACAAGUUUUUGUUUUGUUUAGCAUUAAUACAUUAAUUUACUAGUUUUAUAUUAAUUUAUUUGUUUUACCUUCCAUUUACAGGUUUUAUGUUCCAUUUUCAAAAUUUAUGUUUUAUUUUGCGCUUAAUGUUGAUUUACUAGUUUUAUGUUAUAUUUAUGACUUUUUGUUUUAUUUACUAGUAGUUCAUCAAUUUAUCAGUUUUGUAGUAAUUUACUUAUUUUACCUUUCCUUUACAAGUCUUUUGUGUCAUUUUCAAAAUUUAUGUUUUAUUUUACAGUAAAUGUUUGAUUUACUAGUUUUAAGUUAUAUUUGCAAGUUUUUGUUUUGUUUUCUAGUAGUACAUCAAUUUACUAGUUUUAUAUUAAUUUACUUAUUUUAUCUUUUAUUUACAAAGUUAUAUUUAAUUUUUAAAAAUUAUGUUUUAUUUUACACUUAAUGUUGAUUUAUGCAUUUUAUGUUAUAUUUGCAAGUUUUUGUUUUAUUUACUAAUAAUACAUGAAUUUAUCGGUUUUGCAUUAAUUUACUCAGUUUAUCUUUCAUUUACAAGUCUUAUGUUUAAUUUCUAAAAUUUAUGAUUUAUUUUACAGUUAAUGUUAAUUUACAAGUUUUAUGUUUUGUUUACAUAAUUUAUAUUCAAUUACGGUAUUGAUACCGUAACUUUAUUCACGGCAUCAUAGAAUGACCCAAAGUAUAAGGAAAAUAUUUUUAAAUUUAAAGGGUUUAUAACCCAUAUUAAUUGGGAUUCAAAUUGAGACUUAGAUGAUGGGAUACCUCAUAUUGCUCAUUUAUACUUACACAUCCUUUAUAUGGCUAUUGCGUAUACAAAAUAAUGCAAAGAGAGAGAGAGAGAGAGAGAGAGAGAGAGAGAGAGAGAGAGAGAGAGAAGGAAUACAAAUAAUAUCUAAGUUACAAAAAGUCAAAAAUAAUAAUAAAACUAUGGUAAUAUAUCCACGAUGAAGAGCCCAAAAAAAAAAAGAUAAGAUAAUUAAAGCAUUAAAAUAUGUUCUUAACAAAGUGGGGAAAAUACUAUGUGAAAGGAAAAAAAAAACAUAUGUAUAUGUUACACGAAAGACAAAAAACUAUAAUUUUGUGUAAUUUAUUUAUUAUUAACUUACAAAUUCAUUGAAACUCAAAAUCAAGAUUUGAGAUCACCGAAAGACUCUUUAAAUGAGAUUUUAUGUCUCAUUUGAAGAGUCACAUAAUAAAUGAGAUUCUUCAAAUAAGAUUGUCAUUCUCUCUCUUCAAUAUUAAAGAGAAAGAAGCACUAUCUAAUUUGAAGAAUGUUAAUUCAAAGUGUUUUAGAGCCUCUAAUUUAGUAUUAAAUUAGUUUUUAUCUUAUUAUUGUUGAAGAGAGAGAAGUGCUAUAAUUGCCACUAUUUUAGUAGAGUAAAAAGUUUGAUUAAAACAAAAUAAAUUUAUUUUGAUUUAAAAAAUUUUGUUGUAGAGGUCAUAUUUUUUCACUCUUCUAUUUGUCAAAUAGGUAAAUAAAUAAAUAUUUGAAGAGUAAAUUAAAAAUUUAUUUUGGUGAUGCUUUAAGAAGACGACUCUUUAGAUGGAAUUAAUUAGUCCUCGGCUUAAAAAAAAAAAAAAAAGACUAAAGUUUAUGCUUGUCCAAAAAUACAAAAUUGUCGAUCUAGUAACCUUCAAUAUUUUUGGACGGUUUGAAUUGAACAUAAGCUUCCAGAGAUUUCUUCCCAACAAGUGGAUAUGUGUGCUCGCGCAGUCGCACUACUUAAUAUGAGUAUGACCCCCCACCUACCGGCUGCUAGUUUUCUCCAUGCCACAUCAUAUUACACGCAUUGAGUUUGCAAUUUUGAGGUUUAAUUUAGCCGAAAAAAUGGUAGCUUGAUAUGAUUUGCGCCUAAUUCCUUGUCUAAAUUAUUUUAAUUACCUAAUUAAUAGUCGCUUGAUAUGAUUCAAGUGGGAAUAUAGGCACUCUUUCGAUGAUGUGACUAAGAUGACAUAGCCCGGGCAACGUCAUUCGGAUUUGCAUAUGGUUAUGGUGGGGCAAAGCCUUUUUGACAAUCUGCGUCCAGAAAAGAAACUAGAUGCCGAAAGAAAUAAUACAUGUGGUACCCCAUUAAUAAUUAAUAUAAUCCAUGUUCGUUGAAAACGUCAGGUCACACGUCACAACUUUUUGUUUUCAGAUCGGUUGGCAAAAUCCGGAUGUAGGCGCAUUCGGAUCCGUAUUUAUAUUUUUGUACUCGUAUAUGCAUUUGGAUUUGUAAAAUAAGAUGUAAAUCCGGAUAUAGGUAAUAUCCGCAACGGAUGCGAGUGGAUAUUUCGAAUAUCCGGAUUCGUAAAAAUUAAAAUUUAAUAAUUUAAUAUAUAAUUUAAAAAUUCAAUAAUUUACUUAAUAAUAUCAAAUCAAAUCAAUCAUAAUUUAACAAUUAAUAACUCAAAGUGAAUAACAUACAAUAAUCUUAUAAAUCUACAAAUAAAAGUUUAUUUUCAAUAUAUAUUUUUAAUUUAAUUUUUAUUUUAAAAUAAAAUUCAAUAAUUUACCUAAUAAUAUCAAAUAAAAUCCAAUCAUAAUUCAACAAUUAAUAAUUCAACAUGAAUAACAUACAAUAAUCUUAUAAAUCUACAAAUAAAAGUUAAUUUUUAAUUUAAUUUUCAAUAUAUAUUUUUAAUUUAAUUUAAUUUCAUUUUAAAAUAAAAUUCAAUAAUUUACCUAAUAAUAUCAAAUAAAAUUAAAUCAUAAUCCAACAAUUAAUAAUUCAACAUGAAUAAUAUAACAACAUCAUAAAUCCAUAAAUAAAUUUUAUUUUUAUUUUUCAUUUAAUUUUUAAUAUAUAUUUUUAAUUUAAAAUAAAAUUUAUCCCCAUCUGGAUCCGUACGGUUCCCAAAUUUUCAUAUUUAGAUUUGCAUUUUUUAAUAUACGGAUCUGGAUUUUUCCAAAUCUAGAUCUUCCGGAUCCUUACAAAUCUGAGCUGGAUCCGAAUUUAAUUGUCAUCCCCAUAUCAUAUUUUGGCUAGGUCAUAUUUUGGCGAUUGCGGUUCGAUGUUCUUGCUUAACUUUUUAAGGAUUUUAUUAGACCUAUCUACAUUAGUUAUUAAUGGCUAAAUUUGUUAUCCUUGUAUUUGUUUUUUAUUGAAUUUUAUUAAUGUAAUUUAAUUAUUUUUUUUAAUUUUCUAAGGGUUAAAUUGGUAAUUUAAUUAUUUUCUUUUUAUUAAUGUCCAAACAAAAAAAUUAUUAUAAAAGGGUAAUAUUGUAAAAGUAAGCCAAAAGAAAUAAAAAGUAACGGUAGGGGUAUCAAUAUUUUAACAGCAAGAAUGUUUCGAGACAUUUUUAAAAAUAUAGGGAUUAAAUGGAUACUAAUCUUAAAAUACAGGGACUAAAUGAAUUUUUACCCUAUUUUUUCGUUGAUUAAAAUGCCUAUAACAAAGAUUAAUUCAGAAAAUUUAAUUGAUUUAUCCUACAAACUGAGACUGGGCAUGGAGUUUGAUUAAGAAGAAGUAGCAUAUGAAUUCUAUAAUAAGCAUACUGAUGAGAUUAAGGAUAAAACUAUCACAAGCACAUGGGAUGAGGUAUAUUCAGAUCCUAUUCAAGUUCCCGUCGGACCCGUUACAAGAGCUCGAGCAAAGAAAUUCAAAUAAGCGCUUAAUGGAUUGAUUCAAGCAACUUGGGCUCAAUCAAAUUCGUGGAGACCCAUUGAAGGAAUCACACAUGAUAAAUGCAUGAUUCAGGCUCUUGAAGUUUUCAAAUAAUCACUUCCAUGAAAUAGGGAGUUGGCUUAAACAUUAUGGCGGGAAAAUAUAUUAUUUUCCUUUUUCAGAUACUUUCCCGUUUCUUGAGGAAACUAUUAGGGAAUCAAAUUAGUUAUUUCUAUUUUAAUCGCCCAGUUUUCAUUUAAUUGAUGUAAGGCAUUUGAGACAAUUAGGAUCCUGAUUUAGUUUAAAUUCUUUCCUAUUUACUUAGAUUAGGAUUCUGAUUUGAUUUAGAUUUUUUCCUAUUAGGGAAGAUUUAGAUUUAGAUUUGAUUUUUUGGUUAGGAUUUAUUUCCAAAAAUUCUUGUAACCAACCCUAUAUAAAGUACUCAUAUUCAAUAAAUAGAGAAGAAGUUUUUUAUGCAAUUGGUGAGAGAGUUAAUUCUCUUUGGUUCUUUACGAACUCUUUGAACUAAUCGGAUUUAUGUGGCGUUCAAAUUCUUGACUUAUCAAUCAGACCAUCCAUAAUUGAUUGUGGCGUCUUCACAUACCAAGGUUCGUGCUUUCAAUAAGCAUUGGGUUGAGGUUCCAUUCCAUUUCUGAUUUAGAUUCGAUAUUGGGAACUAAAUUGAUUAGGAUCGCGUCAGUUCUUGACAGGGUUCGUAUCACAUACCUUAAGUAUGGGUUUUAGUAUUAGAAAAGAUACUCAUGCUAAUAAUAAGUGUACUAGUGAAAUUACAUCCAAAGUAUGUGUUUGUUGCAAACAAGGUUAUCGAUUGAAAGCCAAACAGAUCUUCCAAAAGUAAAGUAUAGAGCAAAUACAAGAGCCAUGUAUCAUGCUGGAUUAUUUAUCAAGCAAAAAGGAAGAAGAAUAAUUGGUUCGUUAAUCAUUUUAUUGAGUCUCAUAACCAUUCGCUUCUAAUGCAAGAGUGUGCCCACAUGCUACUUUCUCAAAGACAAAUAACUGUUUCGCUAGCAAUUGAAGUAGACUUGGCAGAAGAAUUCGGGAUUUCACUUAAAUCUGCAUAUAGUUAAUGGGCAAACAAGUGGGAGGGCGAGAACCUCUUGGAUACACAAAAUUAGAUCAAAAUAACUAUCUUAGAUCAAAGAAAUAGAAAGAUUUAGCUUACGGAGAAGCAGGGUAUUUAUUAAAAUAUUUUUCUGAUGAAACUUUAAAAAAUCCAUCAUUUUUAUACUCUAUGCAACUAGACAAUGAGGAACAUGUCACAAAUAUAUUUUGGGCAGAUUCUAAAAGUAUUAUUGAUUGUGGCCAAUUUGGAGGUGUUUUAAGUUUUAAUACAACUUACAAAGUAAAUAAAGAAAAUCGACCAUUUGCAACUUUUGUUAGAUUUAAUCAUCAUCGAGUGACAGUUAUAUUUGGGGCAGCUUUGAUGUAUGAUAAAACUAAUAAUUUAUUUAUAUGGUUGUUCAAUUUGAAGGCAAUGUCUGCGAAAUCACCAUAAAUGAUCUUUACAUAUUAGGAUGCUGCAAUGGCUUAAGCUAUUUCUCAUGUAAUGCCUAAUACUACAUGGCAUAUGAUGCCAAAUGUCUUAAAACGUGUAAAUAAUGUUUUUAAAGGUCCUAAAGGGAUAAAAAGUGCAUUAUCUACUUUCAUGGAGUCCAUUGAAGAGAAAGUUUAGUUUAGUUUUCGAGUGCUUGGAAAGCAAUGCUUGAGGAAUAUGAUGUGUAUGAUAAUAAUUUGUUGAAAAUUGUAUUUGAGUUAAAGGGAGAAAUGGGCUUAUGCAUAUAAGGCAAGCAUGGUUAGCUAGAAUCAAUAGUAACCAACUUAGUGAGAGUUUUAAUACUAUAACAUAAAAGAUUACUGUUGUGCAAAUUUUAUUGAACUCGCAAGUGCACGAAUCUAUUGUAGAAUAGAUUAAUGGUGACAAGUGUCGAUCCCACGGGGAGGUGGAUUUUAAUUAUAUGUAGAAUUAAUUUUGUAUGAGGGUGGUUGGAUUUGUGGUGAAAAUGAUUUGGAUUAUCCUAAAAUUGGAAUUGAAAUGGCGAGAAUAAUUUGAAGAGAAUUCUAUUGAAAUGACGUACUUGUGUAUCUGGAUCCGUAUCAACAUGCAUCAUGGGCUAAAUAUUCCUUAUUAAUACCAAUUAAAUCAUGAGGGGGGAAUCCACACCUCAUGAACCACACUCUAAUCAAUAUGGUGCUAAGAGCUUAUCGUGCCAAAUAAUAAUAACCUUGUACUAGAGAGCUGGUGAAACCAAGGCGGUAUCUAGACAAGAUUAUUAUUAUUUGUCGACGAGAAGUCAAAACAUCCAAAAAAAUUAGAGGGAAAGAGAAAAGAAAUUUACCAAAUAAAGCCCAUGACACAUGUUGAGACUUCACCUUCAACCCAAGCUUGAAAGAAAAUUAGCUACUCAUAAUUGAACUAGGGGCAAAAUGAAAAUUUAUUAAAAUACAUAGAAAAUACAAGAUGGAGAAGGAAUUACAGAAAAUGGAGUCCAAAAAUGGAUUCAGAGAUAUCAAAUUAGGUGGGGAGGCCCCCUUUUUAUAGAUACAUUGAGUAAAUCAUGGUCAUCGGAUUAAAAACAGUUUGGAUGCUCAGGAUUGCGCCACGUCAUCAGUCAACAGUACGCGGUUUAACCACGCGGGGUGAACAGUAACACGGUUUGACCCGGCUUUGAACAGUAACGUGGUUUGGUUGAAAAUAAUCUUGUGUAAUGCAUGUACUGUACGCGCAAGUUUUGGUCCACUAAUAUAUUGCCAUGUCACCAUCAACAGUUCAUAAGAAUUUUAGACCAACAGGAUCAUGACACCUCAUCAGUCAAUGCCACAUCAUCGGUCAAUGCCACAUCAUCGGUCAAUGCCACAUCAUCGGUCAAUGCCACGUCAUCGAUCCGUCUAUGUGAACAGUGUCGUGAACAGUAACGUAGACAGUACCGUACAUGUGAACAGUGCCAUUUUUCUUUUUAUGCUCCUCCUAAGGUUUUCGACUGUCAUGAGUUCAAAAGUGAUGUCUGUUUUGCCGUUUGAUCUCUCGUUUAUUGUGAAAUGACUAUGAUGCCCCUAAAAUACACAAAAUACUUAAUUAAAAUAAAACACACAUAAUUAAAUUACAAGAACCUUAAAUACAUAAAAGUAAGGGUUGUUAGUAAGACUUAAAAUGUAAAAUGACAAUUUUCUCCUUUAUAAAUAUACAUUUUCUAACACUCAACAAUUACCUCAAGUGAGACCUCAAUGUAGCAUAAUUUCUUAUGCAUUUCGAGAGGGUAAUUAAUGAUAAAAAGUACAAGAAGUUGGAAGUAGAGUACAAUUUAUGCUAUAGGCUAGUUUUAUUUUGGGAAAUUAUCACUAGUAUACCCUUAAAUGUCACCGGUAUCAAACGUGCUACAACAUUUUUCACUUAUAUCACUCGUAUACCCUAAGUUGAUAAAAGAGUUCUAGCGUCCACCUUUCCGUUUACUACCGUUAAGACAUGCUGACGUCAUAGGGGUAAUAUAGUCUUUUAAUAAAGAAGAGGCUGCAAAGGAAGACGGCGUCGUUUUAAUACCCCGAAAACGCUGCCGUUUCACUGUAAUUGAAAAUUAAAAAAAAUCCGACAUCGUUUUUUUAUUUUGGUUAAAAAAAAAGUUACGGAGAAACGACAUCGUUUCACUGUAACUCAAAGACAAAAAGAGAGAAGUGGUCCAUCCUCCCCAUUCUUUAUUCACAGCGAGAGAAGUUUGCAUGCAUAUGAACAACCGAUGCAAGACUGUAUGCAUGCCUGCCAUCUUUUUACUAAAAACCCUCAAUAUUUGACCAUUAAACAAGUUUAAGUGAUAGUUGUGGAGAUUGAUUUGGACCUUGAUAGAAGAGUAAGCUGAUUUCGAUCGAAUCCAGCGAGCGAAGCAUCGAGUUGUUAGGUAUGUUCAUAUGUAAUUUUUUUUUCAUGCAAUAUAUCUCUUAUCUCUUAUUUAGUCAAUAGAUGUAAGAAAUAAUUUGAAAUUAUCCGAAUUUAUGAGAAUUUAAUUUUUGUUACAAACCCUAGAAUGUAGAAAACGAAGAAAUAAGCAGUGGUUAUUUUUUGGGUUAUUUAUGUUCUUAUGUAAUCAAUGUUUUAGGUUUAUAGAAGUGCAUUUAGAUGGUAAAUGAUAUCGGUUCUGGUUUUUGCAUAUUGAGGGUCUGUUUGCUGUUACAUGUAUUUCGUUAAAACUAAUUGAGGCUUUUUUCAACUUGCGGAUUGUUAAGUAUUGUAUGAUAUUUAUUUCCUACGCUGUGUUUGAAAAGCUUAAAUGAUCCAUAUUUAAGCACAUUGUGUUAUUUUUGGGAUUACAGUAGGACAUGUCAACAAUGGAGCUAGUGAUUUCUUUCAAAGGAGAAAAACAUCAUGUCGGUAUGAUUAACCCUGAAGAUUGGACUGUUGAUAGAAUAAAGGUUGAGGCAUUGAAGAUAACUAUUGUACAUGGGUUAGAUACAAUUGGUAAAAUCUUAUUGACUGUUAUGAACCCAGAUUGUAAAGUCAAGGUUGUUUUAGAUUCUGAAUUUUGGAUGAAAUGCUUAUUUGGGUUUCAUAAUUUAAUGGGUGUUACUACAUUUGAAGUUGAAGUUGUGCCUGUUUUAUGCCCUCAAAAUCCAGAUGCUCCGUUAAUACAAUCAUUGCUGUUUAACUUAGGAGUACACCUGUCUUCAGAAGUUAUAGAUAUCUUGAAUGAUCAAGCUACACCAGAAGUUAGCCAUACAGUUCAAGAAGAGGGGAGUAACACAGAUGAAUUCGAUGAUAUGCAAAGGGGUUAUGGACACGAAGCUACUGCAACUAUUCAUGAGGGUGAAAUUGAUGAAGACAAACUAUUAUCAGAUUGGUCAGACAAAAGAAGUGACAGUGAUGGUGAGGAACCUGUUGUGCAACCAAUACCUACUAUGUCUGUUGAUGAUAUUGUGUCUGUUGAGGACAUUGAUGAUAGUGAGGGCAAUGAGGACAGCCAAUGCGAGAGUGAUAGCGAUGGAGAUGGAGAUGGAGAUGGUUUACUAGAUGAUGACACUAGGGCAGUCGAAAUGGUUGUGAACUCUUCUGAUGAUGACAUCAAUGUUGGCAGUGUGAAGUUUACAAAAUAUUUAGAGAAACAUGAGUAUAAAUUAGAUGCUGAUAGGAUACAUAGGCUGAGAUUAGGUGAUGUGUUUAGGGAUGUGAAUCACUUUAGACAAGUGUUACAUGAGGUUAUGAUUAGGAAAGGGUUUAACAUUAGCAUAAAAUAUAGUGAACCGCGGAGAUAUUAUGCAACUUGUAAGGAGGUUGGCUGUCCAUGGUUUGUUUAAGGUGCAAGACUGAAUGAUAGGAAUGGUUUUUAGCCGCGGGGAUAUCAGAAGAAGCAUGAGUGCAAGCUUACCAAGAAAUAUGUGAAAGUUACUUCAACAUGGAUUGCUGAAAUGAUAAAGGGAUAUAUUGUUAUUGAUGCAAAUGUCAAGAUAUCUCUUCUCAAGAAUUAUAUGCAAGAAAAAUUCAGGUUGAAAAUUGAGAAGCUCACAAUAUAUAUCGCUAGAGAAAAAGUAAGGAUUCUAGUAUAUGGUGACCAUUCGAAGGGCUAUGAGAAGAUGUUUUAGUACGCUGCAGCUAUUCAUCGGGCUGAGCCAGGAGCCGUUUGCAAAGUGUUAUGUGAUGCAGUCACUGUUCCUGAUAAAUGUCUAUUUCAAAGAUUUUUUAUUGCAUUUCCAGCACAAAGAAAUGCUUUUCUGAAUGGCUGCAGACCGUGCAUUGGAAUCGUUGGGUGUCACCUAAAGGGAAAAUAUGGUGGAGUUUUGUUGGCUGUUGUUGCUUCAGAUGCUAAUAAAGGGAUUGUCCCAUUAGCAUUGUGUGUAUGCGAUAUUGAGAACACAGAAACAUGGACUUGGUUUCUUGAUCAUUUGCAUAGUUACUUAGAUGAUGGAAGACGGGUAACAUUUAUUAGUGAUAGGCAAAAGGGGCUGUUGAAUGCAAUUCCGAACACAUGGCCUACUGCCUAUCAUAGGGCAUGUUGUAGGCAUGUGUAUGUUAAUUUUGCGAAAGAACAUGCUGGUGCCAACUUGCGGACUCUUUUUUGGAAGACAGCAAAAAGUAGUAACAAGCAUGAUUAUGAGGAGGCAAUGGCACAUAUCAAAGAGGAAAAGUUAGCAGCAUAUAAUUUGUUGGAAAGAGAGCUGCAGGGAUACACUUGGUCUAUGCAUACAUACGACAGAAACUACAAGGUAGAAAGGACUUACAACAAUGCCUCCGAGUGCUUCAACAGUUGGAUUCUGCCUUAUAGAGAUAGGCUUGCUUUGUCAAUGCUUGAGGAAAUUAGAUGCAGACUGAUGAAAAGAUUUACAAAAAGAAGAAAUGAGGGAAAUACUUGGCAAAAAACUAUUGCUCCUAGGAUUUACAAAGAGUUGGAUCAAACUUUCAAGAAAGGAGAAAAAAUGAUUGUGCAAUCCUCGAGAGACUUGAAUUUUCAAGUCAUGGAUAAAUCUUAUUAUCCAGCUAGGAGGUUAUAGUGAAAUUAGAGGACAAGACGUGCGAUUGUAGGUAUUGGGAAAUUGCCGGCUUACCUUGCUCUCAUGUUAUGGCUGCCAUAGGUUAUGCAAGACAUGAAAUUAAGGAGUAUAUUCCAUUUUGCUUUACCAAGCAGGCCUACAUUAAUACAUAUUCAGUUAUGUUUAAUCCAAUUCCCGAUGAGCGGACAUGGGAGCGUGGUGAUAGGCCCCUAAUUGAUCCCCCAAUUGUGCGGAAAAAGAUUGGAAGGCUAAAGAAAUGCAGGAAGAGAGCAGCCACUGAACCUCAAAAACGCAGCAGGAGAUUCUUUGUCAAUUGCUCGGUUUGUGGUGGCUCAAACCACAAUGUAAGAUCUUGUCCAUUGAGACUAUCGGUUGCAAGGGCAACCAAAGCUACAAGCACUAAUUCUCAUUUAUCUAUUUAGUCCAUCAGUUUUAUUCAUUUAUGUUUAUUGUUUAUAUUGUCAUCUAACACAGAAGUUACAUUUUUUCAGCUGUCAAUUGGAAAUUCUUCAGGCCAAUCAGCAGAUCCUUUAAGCCAGCCAUCAAAGCAAACCAGAACGAGAAAUACAACGAGGAGAGACCAUGUACCAAGUGAUCAAAGUAAAAGCUCCAGUGUUGGAUCGAUGAAAAGAAAAAGCGCAAAUGCUGUUGGAGUUGCUGGAACAAGCAAAAAAAGAGGUUGAAUUUCGUUUCUUUUUGUUCAUAUUUCAUAAUUGCAUAUAAGGAGCUUAAUUUAUUUUCUUUUCUGUAAUAUAGGAAAGACUUCACAUGUCAACUUAUCCCAAGUCAGCCAAUCACAGAAUCCAUCACAAGCGUCCACUGUCACAAGUGCUUUGUAAUGAGUCCACUGUCACAGGUGCUUUGUAAUGAGUUUGAUGCUCAUUUUGCAAUGUUUUGUUGGAAAUAAUCUAUCAACUUCAAUUUCCUUAACUAUUAUGCUAGUUAUGUGAUUUCAACUGAACUUAAUUAUGCUCUUGCAUGAGCUAAGCUAUUGAAAUGGUUUUUGGAAUAUGUAUUUGAAGGCGAUAUGUUGCUAUCUGCAUAUUUUGGAUAUGUUAUGAUUAGAUUAAUGAUGUUUUAGUUGAUAAUUAUGACUGUUGAAUAUUUCUUGAAUACAAACUUUGUGUGUUACAUUACUUUCUCAUAAGGACAAUUACAAAGACACACACUAGCACAAUUAGGAUCCAUUUAAGCUUUCCUUCGAUGCUUUUUAGCCUUGUCUUUAUCUUAACCAAAUCAUCAUUCAGCUUCAAGUUUUGCCCUGCCAUCACGCCAUUAGCACUAUAAUAUAUAAGAGAUUUCACAGUGAACCAUUCCCAAAAUCCACAAUGCCUCGCUCCACAAUGCUUCCACCUGCAUGACCAAAACAUUGCAUUAGGGUUUUGCAAUGUAGUUGACACCAUAGCCACUGCUUGCACGCCACACUUACAGUAUUUUGGUUGACAUUUUACUUUAUCAUAUCUGGUAUGUCCACUGUCAGCAGAACUUGAUGCUUCACUGGAGGCCAUUUUCAUAUGAAUUGCUUGGUAUGUGAUUGCUUGGUAUGUGAUGGAUCAAUGAUUUGUUAAUGUGCUUUUGGUUUUCAGUUGGAAAAGAGUAGCAAAUUGAUUGAAUUUAAAGAGAUUAUCAGAUGUGUGGUGGCUGAUUUCUUGUUGGAAAUUGGUUGAAUGUUGUAAGCUAUUUUUGUUGUGUUUUAGGUCAUUAUAUAGUUGAAAAUGUAACCGUUAUUGGCUCCCAACGGUUACAUUUUCAAUUGCUUCACUUUCAGGAUAAAUUUGUCUUUUUAAGUUUAUUUGAGUUUAAAGGGUAAAAUAAUCAUUUUGCUCAAAUUCUGUUAAGUUCUUAACGGUAGUAAACGGAAAGGUGGACGCCAAAACUCUUUUGUCAACUUACGGUAUACGAGUAAUAUAAGUGAAAAAUAUUGUAGCACGUUUGAUACCGGUGACAUUUAAGGGUAUACCAGUGAUAAUUUCCCUUUUAUUUUUAAAGAUUAACCGAAGAAAAUUAUUAUGAGUAAUGCAUUUGUUGUUGCAGUGUGGUAUUCAAGAUAAGUUUCAGCACUUAUUUCACUUUAUGCUUUUUAUAUUUUAAUUGAUGAGUUAAUUGAUUUAAAGUUUUGUUUGCUUGAGUUCAUAUGUUAUAUAGAUUGACGGAUGCAAAAUUUUAUGUAGUUUUUUAAACUUCAUUAGCCAAGACAUUUAUUUCAGAGUGGAAGACAUUCUUACAUUUGAUGCAUCCAUGAAAUUUCACAUUUUGUUGUUUUCAACGAGCACAACUCAGCUCAAUUGAAAGCUAUCUCAGAAACAGAACAAACUUUAUACAGAAAUUGAACUUCAGAUGCUAAUAAACAUCUAAAAUAGUUUUGUUACUAGAUUAUAAUCGAAGACAAUAAAAAAUAUUGCAUUUUCCCUUCAUAAUAAUAAUAAUAAUAAUAAUAAUAAUAAUAAUAAUAAUAAUAAGUAUUACGUAAAAUAAGAAGGGUAAGAAUGACAUGAUAAACGUGGCAUCUGCAUAACAUCCCUAACAAGCCAAACAUGGCAUGUAUUCUAUAAAAUCUUGUUCUUUUUCCUUUUUUCUUCUGCCCUUCUUCUAUUUUAGCUUCCAUGUAUUGGGAAUUGGUUGUUAUUGAUUUGGUGAAAAUGGAAUUUUGCAUUAUUUGGAUCCUAAAAGGGGCAAUCAGGAUCCUGAUUCAUUUUUCAGAUUUCUUCAAAAAGAAUAUUUCGGUUAAAGAGUGCAGAGUAGGGCACCAUUAAAGCAUUUUGCAGAUUUCUUUUUUCUUUUUGGGAUCCCACAUCGACUAGGUGGCCAAUUCACUCCUUUUUUUCUUCACCUCCAAAAUACAUUGGUGUUAAAGGGAUGUGCUCUAUUGCUGACCUUUUAUUGGCCCAGGUAACAAAUCUUUUUUCCUUUUUUUUUCCCCUUUUAUGUUCUUUUGUUGUUGAUUCUAUCACGCUUCUUUGAUUAAAACAUGGGGAAGUUAUCUAAUUAAGUCACAAUGGUAAGAAUCUGCAGUAUUGUUUUGAAGUUUGCUAGUGUUGAAACUUGGCUCCCAAAAUCAUUAUAGUUUUGGGUUUGGACUAGAGAAGGAAGAUAAGAGUAUAUCAAACUAAAACCACAAUUACAUGAUCACAUUAUAUCAGUUUGCUUAGGCUAUAUGGGCUGACUUAAUGAAAUAGUGACGAUAAUGAUCGUAACUGAGGAAAAGAAGAACAAGCAUGAACAUUUUGCACCACUGUAUUAUGAAUAUAAUUCCUUCAAAGUAAAAGGCUCUAUAUGGAGUAUUAAUAUUGAGUUGGAGUUAGUUAUAUACAACGUGUUACUUGGUAUUCCAUUAUUAUUAAAUUAUGCAAAUCUGUUCCUUUGUCCUUCAUGUCAUGGCUAAAUACUUUUUCAUGCUUGUUGCAGACCUCUGUGGUUAGUGUAGUGAAACCUUGCUGGAUCUUGAGCCCAUUAAUGGGAUGUGGCACUUGAGCUAGAAUGGAAAACCUCGUGGGCAGAUUGAUGUAAUUAUUAUUGGUGAUACAGUGCUGCUACCUUUGCUCCCUCUCUCAUCAAAAAAUUGUCUUAAAAUUUUGCACUAAGAAAAUCUGUGUUUUUUAUAUUGCCGUGGCAAAAUGUUAAAUGGGCUUCACUUUUUUUUUUGGGGUGGGGGGUGGGGAUAAAAAAGAAAACAAAAGAAAAUUUUCAAAUUUUACAUUCCAUCAUUACCUCGGACUCAGGAGUGGGGAAAGGUUAAAGUUUUGUACAGUAAUAUAGAGAAACCCUCUGCCAAUCCAAACCUCUGUGAAAGGGAUCCCAUUUCAUGACAAUCUUUGUGGGUUUUGAGUUGGAAUACUCUGUCAGGUUAGAAGUUGUUUCAAUUAAUUAUCUAUAACAUAUAAGUUGUGUUAAAUUGUAUGACUAUAUAGUGAUUCAUUGUAGGAUACUAGGACAUCAAAGAGCUCAAAAUUUCUGACAGAUUUUCUUCCUAAAUUUGGUUAAAAAGUGAUGGAUAGAUUAGAACUAAGUUGCUCAGCAAUUUGGAGCUGUAAACAUCUAGAAGGCUGGAACUAAAUGCCAUUUGAUUAGGUUAGAAUAAUAUGAGCCGAGCUUACAAUCUUUGUCAUUCAUUCAAUUGCUUUUUCAGAUGACCACAAUUCAUCAUGUUGAUAUUAUCCGAUUGGUGCCUUGUAAAUUUCCUUUAUGACUAUGAUAUAGGGCAUUAUUGAAGAGUUGAAAACAUCCAAAGAAAAUUAGCGAGAAUAGGUUCUGGAUUAAAAAGACAACUUUAUGCAUGUUUCCUUUCUGCUUCAUCAAUUGAUUAUAGACCAUUAAUUACCUAUGCCCUUUUUUGUUUCGGCUUUGCUUUACAGUAAUAGUGCCUAGAUGUAAUGAUAGGAAAAUGUGCAAAUCGGUUGUCUAUUCAUCUGGUGUACCUCUAAUAGCUAGAAAAAUGAAGGUAUAUAUCCUUUGAAAUAUUCAGUUUGUUUAGUGUCUAAACUAUGUUUUGUUCAGUCAACCAUUCCUAAAUUGUUUCGAAGCUUCAUGCUGCAUUUAUCCAGUUUGUAGAGCCUGGAACUAAGUUCUAUAUGGACAGUUCUUGCAGCAUCUGAGGAUCCCCUUCUGCUAGUAGUGCAGCAUCAUUAAAGGCACCUUUGUUAAUGGUGUUGAUUCUGUCUCAUGGACGGCAAAUAACUCAGUGAAGCUUUUUAGUUCCCAGAGUGAUGGUACUCAUUGUUGGACCUUUUUCAGCGCUGCAGCUUAUGGAAAAUGAAACAAGGUUCCACAGAUCUGUUGGUACAUAAAUGUGUGUCUUGUUUAAAAUACUUGUUUUCACAUGAUUAUAUGCUAGCAUUGACACACUUUUUUAUCAAUUGCCUAGACCUGUUGAAUCCAUUCAUACUUCAGCUUGAAAUCCGAGCUAUUGAAACAAGGCUCCAAUGAGUUCAGUUUUGGACUAUCCUUAUAGUUGUCCUAUUUCCUUUAUGGUUAUAAGUGCUGCGUUUGGCAUAUGAAUCUAAUUGAAUGAAAGUGAAUCAGGGGUUGGUCUUAAAAGCGCAUAUUGUUCAAAUACAAAAAGUAAUAUUAUUUGAGACAAUUCAUACGGCUUCCUUUGAGUGAAAAAUAGUCAUAUUACCAUUUAAACUGGCAUGAUAUGUUCUUCCAGUUUAUUCGAAGAAUUAUGAGAAGAACCUCAGGUGUGUUAACUAAAAAAUGCCCAAAAUGGACUGUUCAUAUUCAUGCCACUGAAUCCCAGGUAUGUUAAUUUUAAACUCCAAUUAAAUGCUCUAAUCUUUCUUCACUCAUUUUAGCAUGUAUUCCAUAAUUCAUGCUUUCUUCUUCCCCUUUUAAUUUUUCCUCUUCUUCUCUUUUAGCUUCCGUAGUAUUGGGAAUCAGUUGUUAUUGAUGUUGGAAAAAGGAAUUGUUUUAUUUGGAUCAUAAGAGGGACAAUCCUGAGCUUGAUUAUGUACUUUCCAUUUGACGCCAUUUAUAUUUAUAGGCUUCUUCAAUAAGUUGAUGUCGUUAUCUGUGUGAAUAUUUUUAGCUCUUGUAAUAAUGCUAUUUGAUUUCUGAUAACUAGUAAUUGGGUAUGGAAAGUGAAACAAGGUUUCCCAGGUCAGUUCAUAAAUAAAUAUAUGUUUACAUUCACGCACUUGCUAGUCAAUUGCUUAGAGCACUAGCAUAGUAGAAUAGCUUCACACUUUAGCUUGAAUUCCCAAGCUAUUGAAUGAGUUCAGUUUUAUGUGCAUAUUUAUUUAGAUUUGGUAAUAAUAUUAGCUUGAUUUUCUGCGUUAUACUUUGAAUCAAUAUAAUGUUUCAAUUUUACAGCAGAGAUUUAUGUUGCUAUUUAGCUUCAGAAAUAUCAGACAAGGAAUUUUAAACAUAAGCUCGAAGCUUGAUUAUUCACAUAUAAAUAAUGUGAUCUAUGUCGAUUGCAGAUUAUUUAGGAAGCAGUAUAGUUCAUACUGAGGUGUUAUCGUGGACAAAAUUAUUGUUUCAUCUGACAUAUUGUUCGCUUAAGCAAUAGUAAUGAACUUGAGGUGUUAGUUUUUGAAGUCUUCUGUUUAUAUAUAAGUUGUAUUGAAUCUCUCUCGACAAUCUUUCUUCUAGUUUUGAUCAUUGCAUCAUAAUUUUCACAUCUGUGUUUAUAAUAUAACUCUGUGCAUUACUUCAUCUUUUUCUCACUUUUUGAUUCCUUGCAUCUUGAAUCUGUUUAAUCAAUAUUCUGGACUUCUUUUGUGGAGAGGCUGCCCUUCUGAGAAUCUGUUUUCAGUUAUCACUUACCCCUUCUAAUAGUUUGCAAACCAGAUGUGGUUUUUGCAUGUUCAUAAACUUGCAAUGUAAUUUGUUUAUUAGUUCAGUUAAUACAAAUUUCAAAGAUGAAAAACACAAAAUGACUAUUUAUUCCAAGCGUAUAUAUUUAUAUCUUGGACAGCAUUGAACUCUUUUUUUAAAAAAAAAAAAAUUGUUACAAUUGCCACAUUUGUAAUCUAAAAUUUAUUGGAAAUCUAGAUACAGACACUUAGUAGUGCAAUCAAAAAUAAAAAAAAUCUGUCGGACAUUAACUUGAAAAUAUGUUUCUACUACUAUUUGGAGAAGUGUAUAUUGUACGUGGCAUUGAACUUUUCUUUCUAUUUCUUUUUUCAAAAUUAUUACAAUUCACACAUAUUUCAUUCUAAAAUUUGUUGAGAUUCUAGAUACAAAUACUCAAGGAUACAAUUUUAAGCAAAUGACUCGUGGAGACUGGAGAUAUCUACCCUUAAUUAUUUAGUGAAAAUAAAUUAGAUAUCAAAUUUUGUCAUAACAAAAUUAAUCCAAAACAAAACAAAAGAUGUCACCUUAAUUGUUGAUAUAUCUGAAUCUUAUUAUCCUCCUUUUGCAACUACGAAAACAAAAGAAUAUUUCAGCAGUGGCGAGAGAGCAGGGCAGAAUCAAGUAUAAAACAUAGGAUAAGGAACGAGAUUAUAACGAACAAAACUACCACUAAAUGAUGACAACUUUCAUUUCAUUUGCAUCUUCAUCCUCUCUGAUUCUUCAACCCCUUAAACCCCCAAAAUCCUCAAGACUCUCAAAAGCAAAGACACUAACUUCAACCAUUAAAGCAACUUCUUCUCAACCAAAACCCAACAACGCAAAUGCUUAAAAACCCACUUCAAGAAACCGCAGAAGAUCAUCGUAUGGCAGUUCGAGAAGGUCAGCUCUCAAGAAAACAUUCGCCCAAGAGCAAGUCACGUUCACUACACCCGUCUCCAGUGACCCGCGUGUGGGGAUUAUUGGUGGAGGCAUGGCCCGUCUCGCACUCUCGCUUGUGCUUUGAGUUUGGAUAAGAGAGGUGUAAAGUCCACUAUUUUUGACACGGUUUGUCACUUGUCUGGUUUCUUGGCCUUUUUUUUUUCUGUACUUUUGUGUUUUUGAUUGGAGAGCUUGAAGUGGGUGGCCAAUUCAAUUAUCUGUUUAAUAUGGUUAGGUUGUGUUUGUAUUUGAGAGUAUACGCUUGUAUAAUGGUAAUGUAAAAAAUUUGCUGUCAACAGUCUAGCAUGUGUUGUUAUGCAUUGAAUUUUGAUUAUAAGCAUCUUUUGGAAUUGAGGUGCUCUGACCUUUGAUCUGCGUUUGUUGAGGAAUGAAAUUAAAACAUUAGCUGCUAAAUAAAAAUGGGGGUUCAUCAAAAUUUUAGUCAACCACAUUUAUGUAUUCUUAACACUGUGCUUUGCUAUAUCAGGGGAAUCAUGGCUUGGGAGGAAGAAUGGGAACCAGAAUGAUUGGUCCUCAACCACUGAUAUUUGAUCAUGCUGCUCAAUUCUUUACUGUGACUGAUUCUCGGUUCAUGAGUUGGUUGAUGGUUGGUUGGAGAGAGGUCUGGUGUGACCAUGGGAAGGUGCGAUUGGAGAGCUUGAAGUGGGUGGCCAAUUCAAUCCAUUUCCUUCUUCACCUCCAAAAUACAUUGGUGUUAAUGGGAUGCGCCCUCUUGCGGACUCUUUAUUGGCCCAGGUGACAAAUCUUUGUUUUGCUUUUGUGUUCUUUUCUUGUUGAUUCCAUCAUGCUUCUUUGAAUUAAAAGGGGAAAAUUGCCUAAUUAAAUCACAAUGGUGAAAAAACCGAAGUAUUGUUUUGAAGUUUGCUGGAAGGUAGUGUUGCUGCUUGGGUAUUCAAAGUCCCAAAAUCAUUAUACCGUUGAGGUUUGACCGGAGAAGGAUGAUAAGAGUAUAUGAAACUAAAAGCUAUAAUUACAUGCUCACAUGAUUUUAAUUGCUUAGGCUGCAUGGCUAUACUUAAUGAAAUGUGCCGACAAUGAUCAUAACUGACGAAAAGAAUAACCAGCAUGAACAUUUUGCACUGCUGUAUGAUGACUACAAUUCCUGUGAAGUAACAGGCUCUAUAUAUGGAUAAUGGAUUAUUAAUAGUGAGUUGGAGUUAGUUAUAGACAGCAUCUUACAUGGCAUGCCUUUAUUUUUAAAUUAUUUAAAUAAGUUCCUUUGUCCUUCAUGCCUUGGCUUAAUGCAUUUUGAUUCUUGUUGCAGACCUCUAUGGUUAGCAUAGUGAGACCUUGCUGGAUAAGUAAUCUUGAGCCAUUUAAUGGAAUGUGGCACUUGAGGGAGAAUGUGAAACCACGUGGGCAGUUUGAUGUGGUUGUUAUUGCUCAUAAUGGUGAUUCAGUGCUGCUAUCCUUUCUCGUUUUCUCUCUCUGUGGAUUGUUAUAGUCUUACAUUUGCAUUCCAAAAAUGCAGGUUAUUGUUUUUCGUAGUUGUAUGAACGUGACAAUUGCCUUUGCUAUUGGAAAAAAAAUAAAAUAUUUCUGAUUUUACUCUCUAUCAUUACAGUGGAUUAGGAAUGGAAAAUAAUCUGGUUUAUUACAGGGAAACCCUACCGAAAUCCAAACUCGGUCCCUCUCCCUAACCAUCCUGGAAUACCCUGGGGGGUUAGAAUGCAUAUAGUGUUACAUUAUAUGAUUUUGUAGUUCGCUGAGUUCUUAUGUUUUCUGCGAUACUAGGACUUCAAAAAGUGCUGAAAACUUCAUAGAAUUUCAUACUGAUUUUUCACUGUCAAUUUGGAGAAAAUGAUGGCUAGAUUACAAGUAAGAUUAAGAGCGACUUUUAAAUUUAAUCAACUGGAAGACUGGUAUUGAAUGGCUAUUAGUUAGGUUAGAAUAAGAUGAGCAAGACUUUCAAGCUGUGCCAUGCAUUCACUGGCCGUUGUAGUAUUACGUAGGUUGUUAUGGAAGUAAAAAAGAUCUCUAUAAAUUUAACAACCAGAUUAGGUUUCUAGAUCCAGAAGUCGAGGUUAUGUUUAUUUGCUUACUCUUUCGACUGUUAAUUGCCUAUGUCUUUUUCUGUUUACAUUUUGGCUUAGCUUUGUAAUAAUAGUUCCUUCAUGUAAUGAUAGGAAAAUGUGCAAACUGGUUGCUUGGUUCAUCUGGCUUACCUCAAAUAGCUAGACAAAUGAAGGUAUAUGCUUUGAAAUAUUCAGUUCUUUUAAUAUUAUCUAGCCUAUGUUUUAUUCAGUAUUGGCCAGUUCUAAUUGUUUUGAAGAUUCAUAACUCAUUUUCCUGGUUUGUAGAGGCUGGAACUAAGUUCUAUAUGGGCCCUUCUUGCUGCAUUUGAGGACCCCCUCCCACUGGGCAGUGCAUCAACAUUUGAAGGCGCCUUUGUGAAAGGUGUUGAUUCUGUCUCAUGGAUGGCAAAUAACUCAGCAAAACUUUUGAAUUCUCAGAGUGAUGCUCCUCACUGUUGGACCUUCUUCAGCACCGCAGCUUACGGAAAAUGAAACAAGGUUCCACAGGUCAGUUUGUAUAUAAAUGUGGGUCUUCUUAAAAGUACUUGCUUACACAUGAUAAUAUGCUAGCAUUGGCACACUUUUUAACCAAUUGCCUGGACCUCUACUUGAAUCCAUUCAUGCUUCAGCUUGAACUCCAAGCUAUAGAAACAAGGCUGCAAUAAGUUCUGUCUUUUUGUGCAUAUUUAUGUUCCCUUUUAUACUUGAAUCAAUAUGACAUUUCAAGUUUACAGCGAACUUUGGUGCUGUGUGGAUAUAUAUAUGUUGCAAUUUAGGCUUUCUGCAAGAUUUUUAAUGAUUUUUUUAUCAUUUAUUAGGAAAAUAUCCCAACUGCAACAGCAGAGAAGGUGAAAAAAGGUAUGCUCGAGGGUGUUGAAGCUGCACUUGGCCGACCGAAAGGUUCACUUCAGAAGCCCAUUUAUACUCGAGUCCAUUUAUGGUAAGACUCCACUUUUAAGGACAUGACCUUGUAAUUUCAUUUUUUUAUCUUGUCCAAUUUGGAUCCUUGUAACCUACUUGACCUGUAAAUAUUUGCUGUUGGUGUUGGUUUAGAAUGAGUGGUUGAUUUGGACAAGCUUAAAAAGUUAUUGUGUGGACUUGUGUAUAGUCCUAGUUCUAUUUUCCUGUUACGCUCAUUUUUAAAAAAAGAUGGAACAUGUCAUUCCAAUUUAUUAAAUAAAUAAAACAACUUCAGAAUUUCAUGAUUAAGAAAAUAGUUCCUAUGUGAUGAAUUAGGUAUUUAUUUAUUUAUAUAUCUAUUUUAUUUAUUUAUUUUUUUGGGGGGGAAAUGUGUAGGGGUGCAGCUCUUCCAACUAAUACCCCAAGUAUUCCAUGUAUCUUUGAUCCUCAUGGAAGGGCUGGUAUAUGCGGCAAUUGGCUGUUGGGUUCAAGUGUAGAGUCAGCUGCAUUGAGUGGCAUGGCUCUUGCCAAUCAUGUAAGCAAGAAUAUGAUUUUUCUUUUGCUUAUUUGGUUUUAUUUUGUGCAUGUAACUAUAUAUUUCAUGAUUGAUAUAAAUAAAAUAAAAUAAAUCUAAGACAACCAUUCUAUCCCUAUAGGGACAUCUAAAUAUAAAUUUGUAGAUUGGCUUCAAUCAGAUUGAAAUAUCAGACAAGUUUCAACAACAUUAGCUUGAAGCUUGGUUAUUCUUAUAUAAAUAACGUAAUCGGUCUAUGUAGAUUGCAGACUAUUUAGGAAGUGGUGGAGUUCGUCCUGAGGAAUUUGCUGUCGGUUUACACAACGAGUUUCAAUCGCUCGAAGGACAUGAUAUUGGACAAUUCCUGGGUUUGGAGUCCGUGAAAAAAGAGCAAGUUCAAGCAUAUCAGCUUACUUCUUGAAUCCCUAAGCAGGCCACAAAAAUUUCUGGAGUUUUUCAAGGUAUACUUCUAUUGAUACACUCUUUAUGGCUUUCUUUUUUUCACUUGGGUUACUGUCAUGUUAAUUCUCUUGGUUUUUAUGGCUAGGAUUAAGAAGUUUAUUCACAAAAUGCAGUUAUUGGCAUAGUUGCUAAGCAAGCAUCCUGAAAUUCUUUUUGUGAUACCAUCCAUUAUGAAACGUAAAUGAGUACAGAUGCAAAGGAGAGCGGAUUCUUGGAGCAGCUAAAUCCUUACAGAAAACUUGUUUUCAGUAGCAUAGGUGACAGGAAUUGUGAUAUUUCCCUGGCUUUCAUGGAAGAAAAUAAAAAAUUUCUAAUAACUGUAACCUUUUUGAGUUCUCCACAAAUCAGUUUGAAUAUGAAGCCAAAAAUCAGAUGCAGAUUUCAGAGCAACAAAGUUCAAUGCUAUCAGUUGUUUUGGGUUCAAGUGAUCAGAGCUUCAUCCGGCACAAGCUCGCCUAACAGAGUAUGAAAAAUAUUGAAACCUACAGUUAACAAUUCUCAAGUUCCAUAUUUGACCUGUAAUCACAUUCAAGUUAAUACAUGACUACUGAUAUAUGAAAUGACAUUUUUAUUCAGUUCCAGGAAAGUCGCAUGCAGAGGAUUUAAGUUUCAUAUUAAUGGAAUGGUUUUGAGCUUUAUUAUUAGAUUUUUAAAAAAAAAUAAUUAAUGGAGUUAACAUUACUUAUUACAGGACAAGAAAGAGAGAUUAAUUCUCCAUGGGAAAAGCGUUGAAAGAAGCUUCUCAUGCGCGUAAUCAGCCUCUCAGUUGCUUACCAUGGCAUCUUUUCCAUACUUAUACACAUGUUGAUAGAAUUCUUUCUUGGUUAAAUAAUCUGGGACAAAUCGCUGUUCAUUGGCAACACGAGCAACAAAAUAUCACACAAAUUAAUUCCAACAAAAAUAAUAUUUUUACACGAGAGACUUGUGUGAGAGAAGAGGGUUAAUUAGAUGAUUACUAUUGAGAUCACAAGUAUGAGCGAAAUGAACACAGGCAAUUGAACAAACCGUGACAGAGUCUAUCCAGCUGAAGAAAUCGAAAACUCUUCGGCAUUUGUCUGCAAGCUUUAAAGCCGUCGGAAAACCAUUGUGCUUCUGCUAAAUUAACUUGAUAGCCAGCAACAAAAACAACAAGAAGAGCCCAGCACAGUAGCAGUUUCUAGUUUUUCAUGCUUCCCUUCUUUUCUUUCUUGAGAUUGAAAUGAUUUAAGAUUUAUUUAAAGGGUCUUUGUCUUGGUAUGCAAAUAAUGGUUUGAAAACAGAUUAUAUGCUAUUACAAGUUAAUUUUUCUGAUAACGAGUGUUUGACUAGGAUUCUUGUCGUAGUAUAAUUAUUAAACAUGAUUUUAUAAUUAAUGAUUCUACUAUGGUAGUAAUGAUUCUAUAAUGAUUUUAUAAUUAAUGAUUCUACCAGGAUUUGAAAACUACUAUGGUAGUAAAAUUGCUUGAAGCAACAGCUUAAAAUUAUCAGAUGGUGUGAAAACCGGAGAAGAUCUACCAAGAGGGUAAUGAAGUUUUCUAAAGUCCAACUGAAAUGAUUUCAGGAUUCACUUCAACAAUGCAAAAACAUAUUUGAUAUUUCAAAACUGAUGAAAUUCAUUAUCAUUAUCGUUAUCUUGGACGUAUUUGAAAUGCAUUAUCAUUAUCGUUAUUUCAAAACUGAUGAAACAUAUUUGAAAUGCAUUAAUUACUGAUGCUAGCACUUGAAAUAAAAAAAUAAAAAAUCAAAUGAUAGCCAUGUUCAAGAAGCGAAGUAUUUUUAUAUUUCAUACUUGGCCGUACCGCAAACCCAAUUUAUAAGACAUGAAGAAGAAAUCUCCUUUAUAGAGUUAUUUCUAAAAUGGCAGAAUCUACCAUCUUGAAUCAAAGUAUAUCAUUAGAAAAAGAAGGAGAAUUAAGGACAUUUUAUCUCGAGAGCUACCUGAUAGGGUACUCCAUUCUUGACAGAGUAACGGCCCUCGUUGUCAUAUUGCCACAGAAUCUGAAGUUCUUUGAGGAAAUGAAUGCUUUGGUGGAAGAAGACCUUGAGCAAGAACAAGACCAACAUGAAAGAGAGAUGAAGAAAAUCUCUAAUUUUGCAAAUAUGGUCUGAUUGGCUUGUCAGAUAACUAACCAAACUAAUCACUACUUUCAGUGUCAAUCAAAUUCCAACAAACAAUUCAUUUUCUGUUCGAACUCGAGUGGUGAUCAGCCAAAUAAAGUUGCCUGAAAACUGCUCCGACAAAACUCUGGGGAUAUAGUACAUUGCUUGUUGAAAUUGGUGUAUGUAAACAGAAAUUCAAAAGCCCUCACCGAAAUUUGACAGAGAUUGAAAGUAGCGAUUAAUUUGGUUAGAUAAAACUUACAAGCCCACAAGACCAAUUUGAUUAGUUAGAGAUCUUCUUCCACCAAGCAUCCACUUCCCCAAAGGAUUUCACCCAGAGGAUUUCAAGAGAUCGAUCUUUAAUUUGCCGUCUCUGAACAUGAAACAUGAUCCAAUAUAUUAUCACCACCUAGCAAUAUCUGAGUAGGCUUCUCUUUAACCUUGCAUGUUAUAAAGAUUGAGUACAUAUAAAUAAAAGGCAAGUGCUAAGUUAUAUGUAAUGUAACUUACACUACUCACAUGAACAGUGAGUGAGCCCCACACCAUCACUAUUAAUGUGAGUAGAUGUAAGUUACAUUAAAUAUAACUUAGAGGGAUCUAGAUAAAAUUGUACUCUGAAAAUUUGCCCUGGCCCUCAAUACAUGUUAAUCCAUGAGUUAGGUAAGAGUUAGUUAGCUUUGUCCUAUUUAGGAUUGCUGCCUUAUAGGUGUAGCUUCUAAGCAACAACCUCGGUUAAUGACUUUGUAUUUGAUGAAAAAUCUUUGUUACUCUCACUAUUUUUUUCAAUUAUUAUUUUUCAAGCUUUAAAAAUCAUAUUUAUCAAUUAUUUUCAACUUUUAUUUCGUUGCAAUUGUAACUCAAUUUUUAAGCCACAACACUCUAAAUAAAUCCUCAACAAUUAAUGGUCUCUUUAACCUUGAAAUAUUAAUAACCCACCUUCGGUCACCAUGAGCCACCACCGCACCACGAACUGCCAUCGGCAUUUAUAUUUUGCUAUCUUUUGACGUUAAUUUUAUACUAUUAGAAUCUUUAUUACUGGAUCUACCCAACAAUUGCUUGUAUCAUCGACAAUAAAGUUUCUCGUCAUUUUAAGUACAUAGAUACAAAACUUUGACCGUAAAUCUACGAUGAACAGAAGCUCUAUUUUCGGUAUUACAUUUACUGUUAUGAAACUCCAACGAUAAGGAUUCUCUUGGUAUCAAAAUUGACGUCAAAGGAUGCCAAAAUUAUAUCGAAGAGGGUAGAUUACGGUGGUUGGUGAUGGUCAAUAAUUUUGCCAUUCAAAUUUAUUAUUUGAUAAACUAAUGAUAAACAAAUUAAAUAUGUUUUAGUGUGUUAAAUAAUUUUGUAUUUUAAAAGUCAACAAGACAUUGACGGGGAGGGGGGAAGGGGGCAUGGGCUUUGAUAACGCAGCAAAAAAUGCAUUAACGUUGUAAUUAGUGUUAUCCAACGCAUUUCAUUUCAAUUACUAAAAAUUGGUUUGUUUCAAUUAAUGUUGUACCCAUGAAGUAGAGUAUGCCAAACGUAUUUUUUAAGUAUUGAAAUUGGGCAAAAGUUAUACCAUAAAAAUAUUUGAUAAACACUUGUUACUAUAAUUUAAAAUUUAAGUUGAUUUGAUUAAUAAGAUAAAAAAUUUAAAAUAUAUUUUUUGUUUUUAUAAAAUUUUAUUUAAAAAUUAUAUUUAUUAUGCAUUAUUAAUUUUUAUAUCAAUUUAAACAAAAAUGCGAAGAAGCCCCGGCCUUUUAAUAGAAAUGCGAAGGCAGUGUUGCAACUUGGGUCGGUCCUCCCAAGUACAGUACUAUGGUACUGAUCAAAGUCCCAACCUCAUCUCAGUUUUGAGGUUUAAUCCCAUAAGGAAAAUAAGAAUAUAUGAAACUAGAAGCUAAAAUUACAUGGUCACAUGAUUGCAAUUGCAUAGGCUGCAUGGGUGGACUUAAUCAUAACUGAGGAAAAGUAGUAGCAUGAACAUUUAUUUUGGCACCACUUUGUUAUGACUAUAAUUUGUGAAAAGCAACAAGCUUAUUUAUAUAUGCUACAUUAGUAUUGAAAUGGAGUUAGGUGGAUACAAACAUCUUAUCAAGGCGUAUGCCAUUAUUAUAAAAUUAUGUAAGGCAAGUUCCUUCAUGUCAUGUCCUUUUACGGGUCUAAUUCUGUUUUAAUGAUUGUUGCAUCUUAAGGUUAAUGGAAUGAGACCUGCUGGACAAGUAAUCUUGAGCCAUUUUUUCUUCCCAAUUUUGUUUGUUUGUUUGUUUUGGGGAUUGUAAUGCAAAAGAUUUUAGACUGGGAAUGUAAUUAUAUGUUGCUAUGAGCUUUAGUUUGAUUAUAAUGAAUAAAUAAAUGUAUUACUGAAUUUCAGAAAUGAAGCUAGUGGGAAGAAGAAUUAAGCUUAAUUGAGAUUGAUAUAUAGAGGGGUACUGUGAUGAUCCAAGCAUUGAAGGCACAAAGAUCCAUCUCUGUUGGAUUACAAACGAGCAAGGAUAUCAAAGAAACCCCACCAACAAGGCAAUUUAGAGACAAUCUGUUCUACAUAGAUUCACUUAUUCUCUAACAUAAAUUACUUCUUGUGUGUUUUCUUAAGCAUUCAUUGCUUUUUGGGACUUGAUAGAGUGUUGUGGGAGUUUGACAAUUAUAGUAUCUGUGGAACUUAUAUCGUAGCUUUUGUUAUGUCAUGACAUCGCAGCUUAGUUUUAAUCUCAAUUGUUAAUGUCAUCAUCACGAUUCAUGAUGUCAUGGAAGUUCAUGAAUGUUUAUCUUCAGCUAUGUAAAUGAUGCAAAUCAAUUAUUAAAUGGUCAAUUUUAUUCAUAAAUUAUUAAUUAUAAAAGAAAUGAAAAAAUCUCAAUAGUCGGUAGAAGUAAAGGUAUCAAUUUAAUUAGAUCAUAGAUAAUAAACAAAAAAUAAAUUUUAAGUAAAUCAUAAAUAAAAAAUAAAAAAAUUAAUUAAUUACUAUAAGGUAUAAAUAAAAAAUAAUGACAUAAAUGGAAGUCUCAUAAAUAGAUAUUUAUAUUUUAAUCUUAUCCCACUUAAACUCAUGCAUAAAUUAGGAUUAAUAAUCUCAUAAUUUAGGAUUAAAUUUAAAUUUAGAUUUCCUCUGUCUAAUCGAGAUAAACUUACAAAAUAUAGGAUAAAUAUUUAAUCACAAAAUUAAUCCAAUCUCAUACUUAAAACCUAGUAUCCACUAGGAGCUGUACGUUGCAGAUGGUAAUGGGCACUGCUUGCACUCCGCAUUGGGCUUAUUAUUACUAAAUCCACACUCGCAUAAAAUUUAAAUUAUCAAACCGACACCCACAUCUGCUGCGGGUUUUAAUUUUUUAAGAAAAUCCACCCGUUGUAGGUUUUGACAAUUACUAUCUACAAUGCUACCCGACGGAUUUUUUGCGGGUUCUCAUAUUUAAAAUAACAAAUGUUUAAUAUAUAAAUUUAUAUUAAUAAGCUAAAAUUCCACAAAAAUAUACUCAAUUCUAAAUUUAAUCAAAGUAAAUAGAAAAUUAAAAUUUCAAUAUCAAUUCAACACAAAUUCUUAAAUUUAAGUAUGAAAUAUAUAAAUCCAUAAAAAAAAACCACAAAUGCCACGAAAAAUUCAUGGGUGUGCGGUUGCGGCACAAGGGUGAAAGGAAAAUGGGUAUGCUACUGCUGCUCAUGGGUGGAAGGGAAAUAGUUUGGAAGGCUAGGUUUUGCAGCUGCUGCUCAAAGGUGAAAGGGAAAUAGUUUGGGUUUCCUUUAGGUUAGGCUAUGAGUUGCAACUUGCACACACGACAUGUAACGUAUUUAUACUUUACAUUUAUUUAAUUUAUAAAUUUUUAGAUUUAAUUAUUUUUUCAAUUAAAAUUACAUUAAAAAUAUUUGGGGAAAAAAGUUACAGGUUUAGUAGAUAUCCAGGCGGCAUCCAUCGGAUAUUUAGUUAAUACCAAACCCACCCACAACGUAGUGCAAGUUUCAAUUUUUGAUACCAAACCCGCCCGUAACCCACAAAAUUACUAGUAAUGAGCGGGUUUUGGCAGGCAAGUUUGGACGAAUUUACUGGUUUGUAGGUACCAUUUAGGCUUGGCAAAAUCUGGAUCCAGUCCGGGUUUUGGUGUUGCCCGGGACUGGACCAAAUGAGUGAAACUCAAGACCGGACCCGGGUUAAAACCCGAUUUUUCCAGGUGCGGUCCGGGCUCAAGCCCGGCACCCUCGGGCCGGGGUUUUUUAUCCGGGUUUCUAAGCCCGCAUGUGAUAACUCAAUAUUUUUUUUCUUCAAUUUUUUCUUUCAUUUAUCUAACAAUGCAAAUUUUAGAAAAGAAAAUAGUCGAAUAAACUCAUUCAAUCUCAAGCUUUAAAAAAGAAAAUAAUCAAAUACAAAUAUAUAACAUACUAACAAUGCAAAUUUACACAAAUAAUAAAUAAAAAUUAUUUCAAUCUACUUUCUGAUACCUAAAUUCAUCCAAUUUCUAACCUAAACUCAUUCAAUUUAUAUAAAAAAUAAAAUUAAAUUCAACAACACAAUAAUCACACAAUAAAUCUAAAUAACAUCCAACAUAUCAUAAAUUCAUAAUUAUAUAUAUAUAUAUAUUAAUUUAUUAAGAAACCAGGGCCGGGUCCGGGUUGGGUUUUUGGUGUUGAACCCGCAAAAUUACUCACAGCGGGCGGGUUUUGGCUGGCAAGUUUGGAUGGAUUUGCGGGUUUGUAGGUACCGUUACCAUCCAUAGUUGCAUGUUGCAGUUAAGUUGAUGCGGAAAAAGAAAUGUAGGCAUGAAAUAAAAAUUAAUAACAUAUAGUAAAUAUAAUUUUUAAAUAAUAAUUUUAACAAAAUUAAUAAAAUUAUAAUUUUUUUUUAUCAUACAAGUGUAAAAUCAAAUCAACUUAAUUUUUAAGUUAUAACAACUAACAUUUAUCAAACAGCUUAGUAUUAUUGUUUAAAAUGCCUAAGUUACCCAUUUAAUAAUUUAAUAUAUAAGAUACAUAUGUAAUCGAAUGAACAAGGGAAUUGACAUAUAAGCAAAUCAAAGAUAUUGUUUAACAAACAAUAAAAUUGUGCCACGUUUUGUAAGGAUGAGGAAACUUAACGGGCUUAACCGGAGCCUAUCGUUCAUUGAUUGUCAAGUUUUGUAAUGAGUACGGCUGCUCGAUCGCCAUCUUUUGCAAGCACCAGCUGCCACACUGCAGACACUUCCACCAUUGCGAAAUGGUCAUGCUUCAGUCUUUUUGUUUUUGUUAUGAGUGCCGCUAAAUAUCAAGAACAACGAGAGAAGGAUGAGAGAAUUACCUAUUCUCUCUCUCUGUUGUUGAUUUUUUUUUUCUCUCUCUUCUCCCACCACAUGCUUCAUUCUCUCGUCAUUCUUUCGUUUUUCUUGAUACUUAACAUUUUUCUUUUGUUAUACACAUUCGAGCAAGUCUUGCGUACAUCAGUUUGUGCCUGAGUUGCUGCCCUUUCAUUUUUACUUUAUGUAUUAAAGCAUCAUUCAUAAUCCUCCUCCCCACUAAAAAUGUUUUGAUAAAAUUAAUUAAAUAUUUAAAUUAUUUUAUUUAUUUAUUGUAUUAUGAUUACCCAAUAACUUAUUUACAAGAUAUUUAAUUUCCUUAUUAUUUUAACUUAUUUACAACGAUGGCAAUUGAACUCCCACACUCACUUCAACGACUUGACAAUUAAUGGUAGGAUAGUAAGCCUUUGAAUUUACGGAUUAUGUAAUGACUUCAAUGACUUUAGGCUAUGUUUUGGAGAUAUGAUUAAAUGCAGGAUUAGAUUAAUGUUAGAAUUAAAUAUUUAUCUUAUAUUUGGCAAGCUCCACUUUGGAUUAAAUUAUGGGACUAAAUUUGAAUUUAAUCCUAAGAUUAUGGGGAUUAACAAUCCCAAUUGAGAGAUGGGUUUAGUUAGGAUUAACUUUAAAAAUAAUUGUCUAUUUAAUUAAUUAUUAAAUGAAUAUCUAAUAUAAUAUUGGUUACUUUUAAAUUAUUUGCUAAUUUUUUGAUAAAAUAAAAUUAAAUAUUUAAAUAAUUUUUAAUUUGAUUUAACCUAGUCUAGUUUAUAUUUGUUUAUUAUAAUUAUAAUUGCCUAAUAACUAAUUUUCUGGAUAUUUAGUUUUAAUUAAUUAUCUUUUAAAUUAUUAUCAUUAAUUAUUUUAUUAUUAAAUAUUCAUAAAUAAUUCAUAUUUAUAUUUAAAUAUCAACUUAAAUGCUAUUUAAUUUUAUUCAAAUAAAAUUUAAUAUAGUCCAUUCCAAUACUAUACCAAACAUAAGAUAAUAUUAUAUAAGACAAGCUAAUUUAAUUAAAUUUAAUUAAAUCUAAUCCUAAUAAUUGGUUCAAUCUAAUCAUGCUUCCCAAACGUGGCCUUAACGUAAUAGUGCCGAUAUUUAGGGAUGGCAAUGGAUUGGAUUUGAUUCAAGAUCCAUGUGAUCCAAAUCCAAUCGGAUCGGAUUUGGAUCGGUUUAAAAUGGAUUUGGAUCGGAUUUGGAUAUCGAUGUGCGGAUCUAAGACGGAUCUGGAGCAGAUAUGGAUCUAUCUUAAUAUCUAAAUCCAUAUCCAUAUCCACUCAUCUUUUAAUUUUAUUUUAUUUUAAAAGUUUCUUAAUAAUUGUGGAAUGAUAAUGAUAAUAAAUUUUAUUCAUAGCAUAUUAGUAGUAUUUACCAUGAAUUUAAACUCUUAAAACUUAAAGGUUAGUUUUGUAAAUUUAAAGGUCAGCCAAGCCUCAAAGCAUGUACAUGCAAUAUUCAAAUUGCAAUCCAAGUAAUAUAACUUGGUAAUUUAUUUUAUCAUAUUGGCCAAAUAAUUUUUAAGGAAUAUAGUUAUUCAUAUAUUUAGUCAAAUAUGGUCAUAAUAAAAAUAAUAAAGGACUGAAUAUAAAUCAUAUUUAAUUUAUAUGUCAUUAUCUAAUGUUGUAGGAAUGAGGGUAGGUGUAUCGUGAAUACUAGAAUGAUGAAGGAGACAAUAGAAUAUUAGAUUGAUCUUACUCCUGUAAUUACUUCUGAAUGAUAUUUUAUUAUCUUUCUUAUUUGUUGUUUUGGUGUAGAAGUAUAAGCUACAAUAUUUAUUAUAUUUUUGAGAAAAAUUAUAUAAUUUAUUUGUUAUCAAUACAUUUUAGCACUCAAUUUUCAAUCUAAAAAAUUAUUACUUUUUUAUUACAAAAUUUUAAAAUUCAUGACGGAUCUAGAGCAGAUUUGGAUUUUAAUUUUUUUUUUCGGAUUUGGAGCAGAUAGAGAUAUUUAUUUCUUUUUUUGAUCUGGAUAUGGAGCGAAAAAUAUGGAUUCAUAACGGAUCUGGAGCAGAUGCGGAUCUUGAUUUUUAUUAUGGAUUUGGAUUUGGAGCAGAGUAGAUCCAACCCAUAUCUGCCCCAUUGCCAUCCCUACCGAUAUUGAUCGUGAUAAUGCACUCACUAUAUUGGGUGAUACACACCCAACCAUUCUUGUCUAGUUGGGGACCAUUCUUGAUCUUUUUAUUGCACUGAUCCGAUGUUCCACAUUUAGCCACGUUUCCGCUUUUACACAACCAAAGUUGUUGACCACAUCCGAAUUAGGGGUGUUAAAAAUGACCCGCCCAGUCCAGAUCCAAACCGCACCCUGACGUUGUGAGCCGAGUAUUACCCGGCCAGUUAUAAAGCCGGGCUAGUUUAUGAAUUAUUUGAUAAAUUCGGGACACGACCCAUAACUCGGAUUUAUUAAAAAAAAAAUUAAAUAUAUAUUAUUUUAAAUAUUUAUAUUUAUUUGACCCAUCUAUUACACAUAUAUAAAGUUUUAAACAUUUAAAGUUUAUUUUCAUGUCAAAAUUUAUUGAAAUAAAUUUAAAACUUAUAAAAUUACAAAAAAUAAAAAAAUUAUACAUAUAUAAUAUUAAAAAAAUACAUUUGUCGAAUAAAAUUUAAAUUUUGAAUAAAUAAAAAUUACGGAGUUGAAAAUAAGAGGUUUCCGUCACGCUAAUUUAAAUGGAGAGGAUAUUAAGUUCAGGCUAAAUAAUUAUUAAAAAAUUCAUAAUAAAAAAGCAAAAAGAAAAUAAAAAUAAUCCCAAUCUGUUUGAUGAACAAGGAUAGAAAAGGAUGAUUGUUUUAUGAGUAGAUUUGGCUCAUUGGUUGGAACAGUUUGGUUGUUGACUUGUCAAGUGUUGAUUGGAUGCUCAUCUAGUGGUCCCCAUAAUGUUAUUGAAUUAUAGUUAUUAGGGUUGGUAAAAUGCGGGUUUGGGCUCAGGUAUCGCAAUGCCCGGACCUGGCCCAGAUGUAAUUUUUAGAUGCUCGGACUGGGUUUUAAUUCGGAUACCUGGAUUUUAAAUUUUUUAAUAUUAUUUAUGUAUAAUUUUUUAUUUUUUUGUAAUUUUUUAAGUUUUAAAUUUAUUUUAAUAAAAUUUGACAUGAAAAUAUAAAUUUUAAGUAUUUAAAACUUUAGAUAUGUGUAAUAGAUGAGUCAAAUAAAUAUAAAUAUUUAAAAUAGUAUAUUUUUUUAAUAAAAUUUGAGUUUCGAGCUAGGUUCUGAGUUUAUUAAGUGAUGUUUAAGACCGACCCGACUUCAUACUCAGACCAAAUAAUACCCGACCCACAACGCCUGGAUGCGAUCUAGAUCUGGACCGAGGGGGUAUUUUUACCACCCCUAAUUGUUAUCUUCUUUCGUUUUCGUUUCCAUGUUUCAAGAUUUUCUAAUUAUUUAAUUAUGCUAUUUUCUUUUAAUAUGGUACACGCUACACACACUAGACAGGCAAUCCCAUUGAUGCUCUUUCCAAUCUCAUUAAGCAAUCAUCAUUAGCAUAUUUUUACAGCAUUCAAAUUAUUAAAAAUUAAAAUAACAUCAUUAACAGUUUGGAUUGGAACAACAUCUUGAAAUUAUAUAUCAAAAAGCUAAAAUUAUUAAACAAAAAGAAGAAAGAACUUGUAUACUUAUUGAUUACAACUUUCUCAUCUUAUUUGAACAAUGAAGAUGUCUUUCUGUGUGCACAUGCGCCGUAAGAUGAUUACGUUGUGGGGAAAACUGUGAUAAAAUUUUGGACCCAGUUGCCUUUGAUUUUUCAGACUGUCGAAAAUUGCGGCUAUGUGUUCACACUAUAUUAGUUCAGUUUAACCAUGCAAAGUUUUUGGGUAUUAUUCAUUGCGUGACACUGGAGACAAUUUAUAUUUAAUAGUUGGUUAGGCAUUUUGCUUGAUAUUAUUUGGACUCGUAGGGGUGUUAAAAUUUUUGUUAAUUUAUAAUUCAGAUCUUAUUGUAAUAAGAUAGCAAUUUUUGUUGUGGCAAAAUGUUGUUUGUUACAUAAACAGUUCAUACCAAGAAGAGCAGCCAUAUUUGACUUUUUAGAAGGACAUAAUAUUGGAAUAAGCGCAAUUAAGCAGUUAGCAAGCCUUUAGGAUGGAUGGCUUUCUAUGCAAAUGGGCUAUAAGAAUAAGAUGAUUUAAGUUUAGGGGAAAUUUGUACAUCUAGUUGCCUUCAAUUUUUCUGACGGGGAAAAUUGUGGAUGACACGUGUAAUUUAAACAACUUAAAAGAAGAAAUUAAGAUUAUCAUAUGAUAUAAUUAUAAAACGUCAAAAAGUGUAAUUAGAAAUUUUUGCUAAAGUAGAGAGAGAAUAAAAGGUCACAAAUUUGCUUUAAUUUACUCUAUGCUCCACGCGGUAUACUAGCUAGUACAAAUUCAGUAUGAUCACUACUUUAUAUAUGCAUUGCUUGAAAGUUAUAUAAAGUAAAUCUCUUUCACUUAUCAAAUUUUAAGUAUUAAUUAAUAAAUUAAUAAUGCUUAAUUAGAGAAGAAAAAACUAAGGGACAGUCCGGAAAGAUUAUUUGAUUAAAAUAUAUUCUUAAAUUCUACUAAAAGUUCAAUAGUGAAUAUAAAGUACAAAUAUAUAAUUUAAUAAUUUUCAAACAGAAUGUUCUUUUUUCAAUAAGAUUGGCUCAUAUUAAACUCUUUAUUAUUAAUCUAUAUUCCAUAAAGUACAAACUCUUUAUUAUUAAUCUAUAUUAAACUACCAACAAAGUGUUGGCUCCACUGGCAAUGGAGUCUCCUUAAGUGGUUUGACUGGAUUUGCUCCCCAGUUUGAGUCGCUGGGAAGUCGCAUUUGUUGGGAGAACAUGUGUCUCUCGGUUCGAGCAGGGACUUUUAGUAUGGGUUGUGGUACGGGCUUAAAAGUGCAUCCCAUAGUUGGGGCCCUUCCCAGGAUACCUCGUGGUCAAAACAAAAAAAAAAUUAAUCUAUAUUAAACUCAUGUCUCUUUCUAUACACAGUUGGCCUCCGUGCAAAAAGCAGUUUUCCGCGCGUAAAUCUUGUAUUAAUUUAGUGCAUGAUCUUAAGCAACAUCUUUGAUUUGCUAUUGUGUUGAUUAUCUCUGUUGAUUUUCCUAAUAUUAUAUCAUUUGUACUCUCUCAUACAUAAUAAAUUAUUAAAUCAAUGGUUUAUUCUUAAUAAGUUUUUUAGCAUUAAUUUGGGUGAAGGGGGACACAAUAGAUACAAAAUGGUUUCUUUGAGGAUUUUGUUUUUCUGUGAAAAAUCCAAAACUGAGAUGCGGUCAUGGGAUGAUUCCCUAAAUGAACAGACAUGUGGCAGAUGAAGCAGUCGUGGGUAAGUAUUAUUAGGAAUUUGAGUUGAUAUUUCAAAAUACUAAUAUCCCACGUUGUUUAAACAAGAGAACACAAGUUGAUUUAUUUAUAAAAACUAGAUACAUUGUGGCAUCAGAAUAAUGUUAUGUUAUAUGUAUGUAACUUAUAAUCCUCUCACAUAAAUAGUGGAUGAACCCACACUAUUAUUCAUGUGAGAAAAUUAUAAAUUACAUGCAUGUAACUUAGGGGAUCUUGUGGCAACAAAUCCCCGCAACACGAAACCAAGCAUAACUAAAAAUACUUUAAAGAAAUAUACGUAAAUUCCCAAGAGUUCAAAAGUUCACAAAACCAAGCAAUCCUUCGAAAGUUAAAUUCCCACUAUAAAGAAAUACAAGAAAUUUGUUCCAAACUCAAAAAGAAGACCCAAAGACCUAUAACUCUGAAAGCUACCUUUGAGACACAAGUAACAAAAGAACUUUGAAAGCUACCUUAGUGACACAAAGAACAAAAGAACUCUGAAAGCUACCUUAGUGACACAAGUAACAAAAGAACUCUGAAAGCUACCUUAGUGACACAAAUAACAAAAGAACUCUGAAACCUACCUUCAGAGCAAAAGAGAAGAAAUUACACAAGUAACAAAAGAACUCUGAAAGCUACCUCCUUCAGAGCAAAUCUGAAGGUACAAGAAAUUUGUUCUAAGCUCAAAAAGAAGACCCAAAGACCCAUAACUCUGAAAGCUACCUUAGAGACACAAGUAACAAAAGAACUUUGAAAGCUACCUUAGAGACACAAAUAACAAAAGAACUCUGAAAGCUACCUUCAGAGCAAAAGAGAAUAAAUAAAUUUCUAGAGACACAAAUAACUCUGAAAGCUACCUUCAGCGCCAAAGAGACACAAAUAACAAAAGAACUCUGAAAGCUACCUUCAGACCUUCAGCGCAAAAGAGUCCCUGGAAAAGAAGUCCCAGGAAAAGACCCAAAGACACAAAUAAAUAAAUAAAUUUCUCUUCUCCUGACACAAAGACACCGCAGAUACUAAAGCUACCUUCAGACCUCAAAAACCCCCUAUAAAUAAAUUUCCCCCUCAAAGCCAUCAGACCUCAACGCCAAUUCCCAAUUUCGCAGAUACUAUAAAGAAAUACUUUUUAAUUAGUUGAAACCUCAAAGAAACCCAGAAACCCUUCAAUUCAAACCUCAAAAAAUGUGCCUCGGAAACAAACCAUAUCAGUGCUCUGUUAUCUGGGAUGGGGAUGAAAACCUCGUUCACUUCAAGUGCCGUGUUCCAUCAACGACGAAGCGAGAGGAUGUGAAGGUUGAGAUUGAUGAACAUGGGAAAUUGCUUAUAGAAAUAAGCAAAGGGGUAAGUUCACAUAGUGAUCCUCUCUCUUCAGCUUCUUCCUUGAUGAUCAGAUUCGGAUCCUUUCUCCUAAGCUUCCUGAAGAAAAAUGAGGGAGACACCACCAGCCCGAUAGGCCCGAUGGAAUUUAACUUGCCAGCGGGUCUUAACACGAAUGACUUCGAGACUGCGAUCGAUGACGAGGGGUUGCUGACUCUCACUUUCAAAAAGCUCGUGCCCAUUCGUGCCCAUUAUCAGCGCUCUGUGUUCUGGGACGAGGAUGAAAACCUCGUUCACUUCAACUACCGUCUUCCAUCAGGGACGAAGCGAGAGGAUGUGAAGGUUGAGAUUGAUGAAGAUGGCAAAUUGCUUAUAACAAUAAUAAGCAAGGUGGCAGGUGCACAUACUGAUUCCUCCAUGAUCAUAUCCUCUCUCUUCAGUUUCCUGAAUAAAAAGGAAGGAGACACCACCAGCCAGAUAAUCCGGAUGGAAUUCAACUUGCCAGCGGGUCUUAACACGAAUGGCUUCGAGACUGCGAUCGUUGACGAGGGCUCGCUAACUCUCACUUUCAAAAAGCUCGUGGAGUGGAAGAACAAAAAGCGCGUCUUUCACUUCAAGGCCUAUCUGCCAGCGGGGACGAAGAUGGACGACAUGACGGUUGACAUAGAAGGUCGCAAAUCCCUUGUGAUAGGCAUUCAUGAUCGGCUGAAGAAAGAGGAAGGGGACACCAGUACCCGCAUGUGCUUGAAUGGCAAGAACUUUAGGAGCUUCAUUUUGCCAGAUGGUGUGAACCCAAAUGGCUUCGAGACUGCAAUGGAUGAUGCCGGUGUUCUAACUGUUACCUUCACUAAACUCAAGCCGGAGAAGAAAAAGCUGGGGCCAAUAGCGAAGAAGAUGCUGGGAUGUUUGGCUGAUGCUGCUCUUAUGCUGAUAUGUGGGGGGAUAACUGAUGCGAUUUGUCCAGGAGACUGCUAACAGGCUGGUGUCAAGUAGGUAUUUGCUUUAUGUUCACGUAUGUUGUUUCUGUCGUUUAUCUGUCAGUGUUUGAAAGAAAAAUAAAAAAGAACUCUGGACUCCAUAGUCUAGACCAGGUGUUCGUUAAUUUCUGUGUUGUGUGGUGUUGUGACUCCAGAUCGAGUCAAGACCAGGUGUUCGUCAAUUUCCGUCUUUCGUGGUGUUGUAUCUCCUUUGUUUCAGUGAAAUAAAAAAUGAUAAAACGCUGUUGAGCGAAAAAUAAAUGCAUUUUUUUUUUAAUGGUGUUGAAUAUUAAAAAAACAAAACAAGGCCUGGUUUCAUGCAUACGUGCAGCCACAAGAUAAAGGAGAAACUGGAGAUCGGUCAGGUGAGCCAAUCAUGCUACAAAAUCUGCAAUCUGUGUAUAAUAGAAUUAAAAAAAAAAAAAAACUGCUUGCGGUUGGAUUUUUUUUUUUCAAAUGAGUACAUUGGUAAUGGUGUCCGUAGGAAUGGUAAAAUCCGCAUUUAUAUUUUUAUAUUCGGAUCUGCAUCCGUAUCCGCAAAAAAAAUAUACGGAUCCGGAUGCGGAUAAUAUUCGUAACGGAUACGGGUGAAUAUUCUAAAUAUUCGGAUCUGCAAAAUUAAGAUUCAAUAAUUUAAAACGUAAUUUAGAAAUUCAAUAAUUUAAAAAUUAAAGUAAUUAAAUCAAAAACCUAAUUAAUAAUUAAAGCAAAUAUAAAAUUAAACUAAUUUGUAAAGGUCCAGCCAUGAUUUUUCACUAAAUUUAUGCUUUUACAUAUUAAUUUACUAAAACUAUGAAUAUUGAUUGUUGGAAAGUAAUUGGCGUGGGCUUGGCAGUUGGCUCACCUUUUGUAUUUCUAUUUUCGGGCGUUUAUGAGUGGUGGGAAGCAAGGGUUGAUUUCGGCCAUUUGUGAGUGGUGGGGAGUAGCCGAGCAGGGGCUGAUUUUAGUUGCUUGUGGCUGUACCCACUACUACAAAAAUUCAAAAUAAUGACCCAUAAAUUAUUACGGUUUUUAAAAAUAACUGUCAUUAAAAUUUUUUUAUAACCGUUAUUAUGUAAACCAUCAUAAUAUUUAAUACUUACAAUAACGAUUUUAUAAAAAAAUCGUCAUUAAAUAUAAAUUUAAAAUAUAAUAUUAUUUUUAAUGACGGUUCGUUAUAAAAACCGUCAUUAAAAAUAUUAAUACGAUAAUGACGGUUUAUUAUAAAAAUCAUCAUUAAAAAUAUAUAAUUAUAAUGACAGUUUAAUUAAAAAACAAUCAUUAAAUAUAUAAUUAUAAUAUAAUGUUAAGUUUAAUGACGGUUUAUUAUAAAACCGUCAUUAAAAAUACAAUAAUGCUACACAUCCUAAAUUUUUUAUCCCAAAAAGUUAUUCCAAAUGAUGUGUCAUUAAUUGAGUGGUUGAUAAUUCUUUACAAGAUCCAAGUGAAUUAAUUGUAUUAUCUCACCAACCAAUUGGUAAAUGACACAUCAUUUGAAAUAACUUUUUGAGAUAAAAAAUUUAGGAUGUGUAGCAUUAUUGUUAAAAAUACAUACUUACAAUGAUGGUUUUUAAACUUAACUGUCAUUGUAUCUCUACUAAAAUAUAACCUUAGUAUUAAUGACCGUUAUUUUAGGAACCGUGGUUAAAGAGGAAAUUACUAAUCUUCAUUCAUGACCAUUUAUUUUAUAAACGGUCAUGAAUAAUACAAAUAAAAAAACAAAGCCGAUUUCUAGACUUGGCAUUUUAUUUCAUCACUUCAAAAUAUCUCUCCCAAAUACCCAAAUUCCUUCCAUCACACGCUCAUUUCUCUCCAGAAUAGCCAAGAUUGAUUGUUGCCCACUUCGUAACCAUCACAACCUUGGGAUUAUUGUGCCGUCUCAGUAGCCACCGAGUUGAAUCCCAUUGUUAAUGCUCCAAUGCAUCCUCAGUUCACUGCCUAGGUCAGCUCUAUUUGACGUUUUGAUUUAUUUGUAAUCAAAUUGACACAUUAUCAGCUCCUCUAUUGAAAGCCCUCUACUUUCCACAUACAUUACUGGAAAGGAAUUUGAAAUUUCUUAUUUAUGAGCCAAAUCAUUCUCGCUCUCUAUCUCUCUCUAUAUUUUCAUUUUAUUACUUAUAAAUCUCAUUAAUUUGAUUGGGUAGGUUUCAUGGUUUUGUAACCUAGCAUUGGAUGACUCUAAACAUGGCUACUUCUCUCAGAGAUUAUUGGUGUGCUUGAUAUUAGUAUUGAGUUCAAUCAUCUGCAAGGUUUGUUUCAGUUCUAAUAGUUUGUUUUAAAAUUUUUCGUUGCCAUGUAAUUCUAUGGUGUGGAUUUUAUGAAAUUCAUGUUUAAUUCAGCAAACUCUGUUUCCUUUAAGUAUUUAGUUCUAUGACUGGCAAUAAUAGGUAGAAAAACCUUGAAAGGGCCAUAACAUUUUUCUUUUUUGUUGUUUUUUUAACUUUGUUUUGAUGUAAUAAAAGUAUUCCUUCCUCCCAAACUCAAUUGAGAGGAUUUAAUUGUUCUUUUCUUAUAUUGAAGUGUUUAGAAGCUCUGAUUGCCACUGAUUUAUAAAGAAAACAGCAAUUGUAAAAUUAUUCUGCCGUUAUAUGCUGUUAAAAACAGCACAUGGAACUUCCAAGCACUGAUUUUAGCAACUGGACAACAUCCAUAAAAUUUUCUCGGCGUGUCAUGCUGCUAUUUGUUGUAAAAAAACAGCAUUGAAAAGUUUCAGAUGCUAUUUUAACACAAUUACAGCAGCAUGACAACACCCAAAAAAUUUUCUAGGAGCUGUCUUGCUGCUAUUUGCUGUUAAAAACAGCACCUGAGAGUUCCAAAUGCUGUUUUUAUCAGCUGGACAGCACUAAAAAAAUUUUUAGGUGCUGUCAUGCUGCUGUUUAAGGCUAAAAACAACACCCUAAAGUUGCAGGUGCUGUUUUUAACACAAUUUUAGCAGCUACGUAGCACUUAUAAAAAAUUCUAGGUGCUGUAAUGUGCUGUUUGCUGUUAAAAACAGCACCUAAAAUUUUUUUGGGUGCUGUCAUGCUGCUGUUCAAGGCUAAAAACAACACCCAAAAGUUGCAGGUGUUGCUUUUAACCCAAUUUUAGCAGCUAUUUUCUAAGUGUUGUCAUGAUGUUGUUUGCUGUUAAAAACAGCACUUGAAAAUUUCAGUUGCUGUUUUUAUCAGCUAGACGGCACCCAAAAAUUGUUUGGGUGCUGUCGUACUCCUGUUUGAUUAGAAAAACAGCAUCCAAAGUUUUCAGGUGCUGUUUUAACAUAAUUUCAGUAGUUAGACAGCACUCGAAAAAAUUUUUAGGUGCAUUCAAGCUGUUGUUUACUGUAAAAACUGCAAUGAAACUUUCAGUUGUUGGGUUUAUUAGUUAGAUAGCACCUAAACUACUUUAGGAUGCUGUCAUGCUGCUGUUUGAUGUUAAAAGUAGCACCCGAAAGUUGUUAAUGAAAUAGUGACGAUAAUGAUCAUAAUUGAGGAAAAGAAGAACAAGCAUGAACAUUUUGCACCACUGUAUUAUGGAUAUAAUUCCUUCGAAGUAAAAGGCUCUAUAUAUGGAAUAUUAAUAUUGAAUUGGAGUUAGUUAUAUACAACGUCUUACAUGGUAUGCCAUUAUUAUUAAAUUAUGUAAAUCAGUUCCUUUGUCCUUCAUGCCAUGGCUAAAUACAUUUUCAUGCUUGUUGUGGACCUCUUUGGUUAAUGUAGUGAGACCUUGCUUGAUCUUGAGCCAUUUAAUGGGAUGUUGCACUUGAGUGAGAACGGAAAACCUUGUGGGCAGUUUGAUGCAACUAUUAUUUCUCGUAAUGGUGAUACAGUGCUGCUACUACCUUUGCUUCCUCUCUCAGCAGAAGUUUAUAGUCUUAAAAUUUUGCAUUAAGAAAAUGCAUGUUUUUUAGAUUGCAGUGGCAAAAUGUUAAACGGGCUUCACUAUUGUGGGG
rnacentral:lncRNA from 1 species